GCAAGGGAUCCAAGCCUGGCCACCUUAUCCUCACCCCAUCAUUGCUACCAUCUCCGACGUGGAGAUCAAGAGCAUAGUGGCGACGACUUCUCCUUUACACUCAAGGAGGGCCCGACUGUCACUUGGACGCUCGACACCAAGGCCCCACUCAAGUACCCCUUCUGCAUCCGCUUCAUCAUCAAGUCCAGCAGCUACGGCAUCACCAACAACGUCAUCCUGCCGAUUUCAAGGCCAGCACCCUCAGCAUAUGAUCACCCUCUUAUGACGAAUAAUCUUUCAAAAGAGCUCAUCUAGUCCAUGUAUAAGCGAGCUAAUAUUUAUUUUUUUUCUAUGGUUAUUUUGUGGCUCCACACAAGCCAAGAAAUAAGUUAUGUUACAAGUCCCUUCCCACAACUUGUUGUGUUGGGUUGAUAUGCAUGAUUACAUAAAUUGAAAUACUUUGUUUAUUUGGGGAGAAAUAUAUUCAUUUGGUCCACCUUCAUUAUCAAGAUGUUGUAUAUUUAAGUAUCAAAUGUUUUGAUACUCAUGAAAUGCUUUGAUUUUGUUGUUUCUAUGACCGAAACAAUGGAGUUUGUUUUAACGAUUUUAACAUGUAAGGAAUGAUGUACCAUUGUUCAUGCCCGUUUUCGUCGGUCGUAUGACCAUGGAUAUAUUGUGAGAAGCCCUUAUUACUUACCCCAUCCAUACAUCUUUCCUUGAUAGAAAUUAGUUUUCUGGAUUUUUUGUGGAGACCAUUUCUUCAUGAAAAAUCUAUAGAUUUUAGCUUUUAUUUUUGGCCAAAAAUUCUAGUCGUAACCUAAGGAUCUUUGGUGAGAGACUCCUAUUACUUGUCCCACUAAUAUUUUCUUGAUAGAAAUUUGUUUCUUUGAUUUUUUGUGGAGACCACUUAAUCAUAAAAAAAUCCAUAGAUUUUAGUCUUCGAUAUUACCCAAAAUAGUUGUUCAUGCCCGUUUCUACCAAAAAUAUCAGUCGUAUAACCAUGGAUAUUUAGUGAGAGGUUCCUAUUACUUACCCCAUACAUAUUCUCAAGCUAGAAAUCAGUUUCUUUGAUUUUUGGUUGAGACCAUUGCUCAUGAAAAAAAUCAUAGGAGUUACCCUUCGGUACUGCCAAAAACAGUGGUUCAUAGCCAUUUUCAGCCAAAAAUAGUGAUAGUGUACCCAUGGAUUGUAACACCCGAAAAUCAAAAUUUCUAGAAUUAGGAAUUUUUUCUCUCAAAAAAUGAUUGAAGUAAAAUGUCUUUCAAUAAAGGCUAUGCAUACCCUCUCAAAUAGAAUUAAGUAAUGUAUCUCCUAAUAGAGAUCAUAUACUAAAAACUAGGUUCUCGUAAAAUAAUCAAGUAAUAGAUAUUGAAAUCUUAAAUGUAUUUUUUAGUUCGGCUACACAUUCAAAAAUAAUAUUUCUUGAUUCCUAAACAAAUGAAUAAAGUGCUUAAUAUAAACCAAAAUGUAUAUUUAUGCAUCUCAUGCUGGAAUUUUUACUUGUGCAUUUGUUUUUGAAGUUUAAACUUAGACCUGGAUUCAAAUUUGAAUUUGGAACUUGAAGAUUCAAAUAGAAAAGAAAACAGAGAAAAAAUAGAGCUUACCUCGGUCGAAUCCCUGGCUCCAGCCCAAAUUACUUGUCUCAUCACACCGGCCAACUUCACCUAGCGUCGAUAGGUCAGGCCCACGCGCCAGCAGCUCAUCCCAGCCGAUGUCGUGCACGUGCUUGCCCUGAGAAUAUGACAUGUGGGACCCUCCCCUUCUACAUUGUUCUUCUUCCCGUAACAAACUCCCGCCAGCCGUAUGCCCGCUCAGCCAGGAUUCCUCUGCUCUGGGGUAUAAAAUAUCGGGUGUUGUGCGCCCCCCUUGACCACCUUGCUGCAAUAUUUCGAGGAACUACGGCCAUCGCUUCCCGUCGUCAUCAUCAUUCGGAUAACGAGUAAGGGUCGCGGGGAAUCAGCCGCGGAACUGUGCCUCACUGUGGGCAGGGUCCUCUACUGCACAAUCGCCAGUAACAUACCCUCCCUAGCAUUUGCUCGAGUAACUGCUUUAAUUAUCAGAAUGGUGGGACGACAUAUAGUCGAUGAUGACUGCGGGAAAGGCGCCGUCGGGAUUCAUAUCGGGUUGGAGAAGGGCCAGUCGUCGUCGAUACUUUGAUGGACGCUCGAGAUUAUAUCGUGAAGAUACCGUUUCAAGGGUUGAAUCUCGGGCGUUGAGAUUCUAUCAAGUGGAUAGGAAUAUAUCAACAUGUGAAGGGCUUUCGGGCUAUGGAUCUCGGAUCCGAUGGCUAAAAGAGGGUACUGAUUUGCGCUUGUAAUUGGGAUCCUAGAUCUUAGAUCUAGCGUCCUAGAAUUGAGCGUGUUAUAUAGUCAUGGCAAAUAUGUUAAAGAGAUCUUGAUCUAAGGAUUGGUCCUGGAAUUUAUGAAACAAACCCUGGAAAGUUUUAAAAUACUAAUUAUAGUCCUAGGUCCUUCGAUUACUGAUAAAAUAAAUAUUAAAAAUGAGUUAAUAUAAAAAAAUAAUGCAAAAGUGCAUAACUUCAACGUUUUAGCUCCGAUUAUAGUGGUACGCGAACCUUAGACGCGUAGAAUAUUAUUACCUAGUUUGUUUCUUUGUUUGGUGAAAUGACAACUUUUAUUAUAUUUGCUUGUUUGUUUGUAGUGUUGCGAUUAGACAGGCGAGUGUACGUGGAUAUGAAGAUCAACACUUCUGAAGAAUUCUAAGCAACAAGUUAUCACAAGUAAAAGGCAAGUUAUGUCCUUGAUCACGUUUGCUUGAAUUAAUAAUAUUUACUAUUAUGUUCUCACCCUGCUUGCACAGUAGGUUAAAUUGAUGGACCUAAUAGGUUACCUAGAAUUGAUUACCCUAUACCUUGUUCAUACGUGGGUUACUUAUCAUCGAGUAGAUUUGCUAUUGCUCUAUUUGAUUUUUAGGAUAAUGAUACUUGUGAAUCCUAAUCAUAUUCUAUUAUGAUUCAUUAUUGCUGGAUUGUUUGUUAUGUAUGAUAAGAUUACUUUGUUUAAUUGAAACAUGGAGCGACCACCCAAGAAAACGGUGCAACCACAAGGACUACUAUAGCUCUGGUCUUGGCAAAUUAAUUCGGGAAGCUAGUGUGUCAGGCCUUACCCGAAAGGGGGCAGGCAGGGAGUUGCACAAGUAUAGGGAGGUUCCCGAGCCAAUCUGUCUAUGGUAGUUUUUCGGACGAGGGAGUCCUAUACCCCUCUGCCUGAAAUCGUAGCGAGUUCUCUCGUGCCACUGGAACUUUGUAAAUGCCUCGUAACGUCCCUAUACAAUCACACAUCAGUAGUGUGGUAUUGUGCUUGGCCGGCGCAUGCAUGGUUGAGUGCGAAGUUCUCAAAACUUUUACGCGACUUCUGUGUAAAGAUGUGCCACUUCUAUGGAGUGUAAAACUGAUAUAUCAGUCGCGCUCACGGUAAAGAGCGGCUCGAGCCUCCCGCAUGAUUAAUAUAUGAAAUUAAAUUUAACCAAAUAUGCAUUGCAAUGUGGGUAUUUCGUUUAAGAUCAUUUAUUUAAUUAGGGUGGUAUUUACUUAUAUUUAGUAAUUGCUAACAAAGAUUGACCAACAAAAUUAAAAGCUAAUGCUCAGCCUCAGUCAUGUCCUUGGUAAGCCUUACAUUACACUUUUUCCUCCACAUUUGCUGAGCGACGACUGUAUGGGAGCUCAUACUUACUAUAAACAAUGGGGCAAUUCCCUGUAUGCUAUCGGAAAAUAUACUCAUUCCUUGUGUGCCACUAGCCCCACAUGUCACACACACACAAAAUUACCUAAAUAUCACUCAGUGGCACACAAGAAAUGAAUAUAAAAUCUGAUGGCAUACAGGGAAUUUAGGUCAAGAGCAGGUACCGCAGGAGGACUACUAUGAAGAGUUCGGAAAGGUCUAGGCCGUCGUCUCCUAGUUAACCACGCUUGUGGAGAAGUUAUCUUAGCUCGUUGUAUUUUAUUCAAUAAUUUUUAUAAAGACAUCUCGAUAUGUAACAAAGAUUGUGACAUAGGUUUCUAUACAUUAAGUCGUCAUAUGUGUGAAACUUGAUCCUCACACGCAUAUGAGAUACAUCUGGAAUUGUCCUUUAAAUUCAAGUGUGACAUGGAUCUCUGGUGAGAAGCUCCUAUUACUUACCUUAUACAUCUUUCCUUACUAAAAACAACUUCUUGGAUUUUUCGUGGAAAUAAUUUCUUAAUAAAAAUCAUAGGGGUUCACCUUCAGUACUAUUGAAAACAAACGUUCAUGCUCUUUUUUUGCCAAAAAUAUCGAUCACAUGCCCAUGGUUCUUUGGUGAGAGGCUCCUAUUACUUACCCCCAUAUAUAUUAUUAUCAAAAAUUAGUUUCUUCGAUUAUAGAUGGAGCCCAUUUAUUCAUGAAAAAUGCAUAGGUGUUUGUCGUUGGUAUUGUCGAAUAUAGCAGUUCAUGACCAUUUCUAUCAAAAAAUACUUGUCGUAUAUCCAUGGAUCUUUGGUGAGAGGCUCCUAUUACUUACCUGACACAUCUUUUGUAGGUAGAAAUUAUUUUAUUUGAAUUUUGUGGGGAUCAUUUAUUCAUGAAAAAUUCAUGGGUGUUAGCGUUUGGUAUUGCUAAAAAUGGUUGUUCAUGACCGUUUUCAAACAAAAUUACCAGUUGUGUGCACAUGCCCAUCGAUUUUUGACAAGAGGCUCGUAUUCCUUACCACUCACAUGUCCUUGCCUUAAAUCAGUUUAUUGCUUUUUGGUGGAGACUAUUAUUCAUAAAAAUUGUAGAUGUUAGCCUUUAGUGUUAUCGAGAACAGACGUUCAUGACUGUUUUUGACCAAAAUUAUUGGUCGUAUCCCCAUUGGUCUUCGAUGAUAGACUCCUAUUCUUUACCACUCACAUAUAUCAGUGCUAGAAAAAAAUUUCUUGGAUUUUUGGUGGAGGUCGUUUCUUCAUAAAAAUAUCCAUAGAUGUUAGCCUUAGGUAUUUCCGAAAACGGACGUUCAUGGCCAUUUCUGGCCAAAAAUAUCGGUUGUAUACACAUGGAUCUUUGGUGAGAGGCUCCUAUUACUUACCCCAUACAUCUUUCCAUGCUAGAAAUAAGUUUCUUGUGUUUUUUACGGAGACAUUUCUUCAUGAAAAAUACAUAGGUGUUAAAUAAUGAUCAGAGCAAAAGAUUGCCAUAAAACAGAGAGUAAUGCUAGUCCCUCAAGAAUGUGGCAAAAGCUCAACACAACUAGCAAAACAUCUCCUAGAACUCUCUCUAAAAGAAACAACUGCCCUUGAAGAAGUGAUCAAAGCCACAUAAAAGAAUGCAUCCUCGACAAGAUAUUUGUGUAUGUGUAUAUUCUCCACCAUGUUGAUAAGUGCACUCAGCAAGCACCAUCCAUAAGCAUAGAAACCGUAAAUCACCCCCAAAAUAAUUCUCCCCUUUGGAUAUGCAUGAAAGCAGAAAGAGAUGUAGAAAAUGUAAGAACUCGAUCAUGCAAAUCAUACCUAGGAGGCUAGUGAAUUGCGUUACAAAUGCAAGGAUUCCCUAGGGGAUAGCCACUAUUAAACAAAGGCUUAAGCUAUGGAUUUAGUAUGUAAUGGAGAUAAUGUGGUAUGAUUUCCACUAUUGCCAGUUCUAGUUAAGAAAAGGUUGAGUUCGAAUGGCUCGCUAGCAGAAUGAAACUUACACUCUUUGAGUAACCCUAAACACUAACAAUAAACCCUAACCCUAAAACCCUAGACCCUAAGCCCUAAUCCUAAACCCUAACUCCUAAAUCUAUGAGUGCAAAAAUGGUGAAGGCAGAGAAAGAUAUGAUAUUUGACUAAACUUUUGUUUUGGGGCGAAAUGAGAGGCAUCUGGAGCUCGGUGUAUAUUGCGGAGUACUGUCUCCUUUAUGCAAUAUUUGUCCAAUAGCACAACAAGCACACAAACUAUAGAAGCAAUGCCAAGAAAAAGUUAAUGUGAAAUGAUGAACCAUGACCCUGUUAAAUAUUGUGAUGUGAUAAUAUCUUUUCGAGCUUUUAAUUAGGGUAAUGAAAGAAAAUGUUAAAUAAAUAUUCUUGGUAUUGUGACAUCAAGAAUGGAAUCAAUAUAUAAUAGUCUUCACUAGAGCGAAAAAAGUGACUGGACUAAGCAUAGCUUGGGUGGUAAGGGUAUUUCUGGUGGAAUCUACCCAUAGGGUUCCAAGGAUUACUUCUCAAUCUUAAGAAUCUAGAGGUUAUCCGAGCGUCUACAUUCGUAAUUUAUUUUUAAAAAGAAUCUAAAAAGGGAUUAGAACAUGAGUGUUAUUUGUUGUUUAUAGGUUACAUAAUUUUAAAAAGAAUUCUGAAAGGGAGUGGAACAAGAGUGAAGGCGAUUUAUUGUUUGUAGCUUUUUUUAAAAGAAACAAGUAGAGAGUUUAUGGGGAUUGUAUGCUUUUGCUUUUCUUCUCCUUUCUUUUACGAGAGGAGUGCAUGUCCUGUGUUUGCUUUUAACUUUUGUGUGAGAGGAAAAGCAUGGCCACCGAGCUCGAACCUACUUAUAGCAAUUCUGUACAUGUGGAGUGUUGGUCUUUGAACAAGUUGGAUGGGGUUUAUGAAGGAACAAAAAUAAUCCAACCAGCGAUGUUUGUGGCAUGCCGUACGUUCUCUGACUCUAUCAUCCAUAAAUACAUGCCUAACUACAACAUUGAUCCCACACAGACACACACACAUCCGUCAAAGAAACAAGUGCACACAAAUAAAUACAUCGCUCACUAGAUUGCCAAGAGCAAUGGCCUCUAGGUCAUCCAUCCUGCUCGUCAUGGUGGCGCUGGCUACGCUAUUCGUGGUUGGUUCGUGCACCACCCCGCUCACCUUCCAGGUCGGCAAGGGCUCCAAGCCCGGCCACUUGGUCCUCACCCCCAACGUUGCCACCAUCUCUGACGUGGAGAUCAAGGAGCACGGUGGCGACGACUUCUCCUUUACGCUCAAGGAGGGUCCGACUGGCACUUGGACGCUUGACACCAAGACCCCGCUCAAGUACCCCCUCUGCAUCCGCUUCGCUGUCAAGUCCGGUGGCUACCGCAUCGCCGACGACGUCAUCCCCGCCAAUUUCAAGGCCGGCACCACCUACAAGACCACCCUCAGCAUCUGAUUAGCCUCUUAUGACGAAUAAUAUUUCAAGAGAGCUCAUCCGGCCCAUGUGCCAGCGAGCUAAUAUUUAAUUUUUUUCUUUGGAUAUAUUGAGGCACCACACGAGCCAAGAAAAAAGUUAUGCUACAUGUCCCGUCUCACGCCUUGUUGCGUUAGGUUGAUAUGCAUGAUUACAUAGAUUAAACUACACUUUUAUUUAAGAUUUUUUUGGGGAGAAAUAUAUUGAUCUGGUCCACCUUCAUUAUCCAGAUGCUUGUUCAUUUGAUUUUCCAAUGUUUGGAUACUUAUGAAAUGCUUUGUUGCUUUUGUUUCUAUGACUAGAUCAAUGAAGUUCGUUUUAUCGAUUUUCACAUGCAAGGAAUGAUGUGGUUCAUGCCAUUUUCAUCGGUCAUAUAACCAUCGACCUUUGGUAAGAAGCUCCUAUUACUUACCCCAUCCAUACAUCUUUCUUUGAUAUUUCUUCAUGAAAUAUACAUAGGUGUUAAGCUUCGUUUUCGACCAAAAAUACUAGUCGUAUACCCUUGGAUCUUUGGUGAGAGACUCCUACUACGUAUCACAUAGAUAUUUUCUUGCUAGAAAUUAGUUUCUUCGAUUUUUAUGGAGACCAUUUCUUCAUAAAAAUCCAUAGAUUUAAGCCUUCGGUAUUGCCCAAAAUAGUCGUUCAUGCCCGUUUUCUGCUAAAAAUACCGACUGUAUAACCAUGGAUCUUUAGUGAGAGGCUCUUAUUACUUACCCCCAUACAUAUUCCCGUGCUAGAAAUCAAAUCCUUGGAUUUUUUGUGGAGAACAUUUCUUCAUGAAAAAAAUCAUAGGAGUUAGCUUUCGAUAGUGCCGAAAACUGUCGUUCAUAGCCGUUUUCGGCCAAAAACACUAGUCGUGCACCCAUGUAUCUUCGUUGAGAGGCUCCUACUACUUACCCCAUACAUCUUUACAUGCUAAAAGUAAGUUUAUUGGAUUUUUGGUGAAAAAUAUUUCUUAAUGAAAACUAUUUCGUUGCCAAAAUGGACAUUCAUGGUUGUUUUUGGCCAAAAAAUCGGCUGCAUACCCAUGAAUCUUUGGUGAGAGGCUCCUAUUACUUAGCUCAUAGAUAUUUUGUUACCAAAAAUUAGUUUCUUGUAUUUUUGAUUGAGAGUAUAUUCUUCAUAAAAUCCAUAUGUUUUAGAUUUCAGUAAUGUUGAAAACAGGUGAUCAUGCCCGUCUUCGGUCAAAAGUACCAGUCGUACAACCAUGGAUAUUUGGAGAGAGGCUCCUAAUAAUUACCCCUUACAUAUUCCCUUGCCAGAAAUCAAUUUCUUAGACUUUUCGUUGAGACCAUUUCUUCAUGAAAAAAAUCAUUGGUGUUAGCCCUCGGUAUUUCCAAAAACACACAUUCAUGGUCGUUUUUAACAUAAAUACAGGUCGUAUACAAUUGGAUCUUUGCUAGAAAUCUCCUAUUACUAACCCACACAUCUUUACUUCAAAGAAAUCAAUUUCUUUGAUUUUUGGUGGAGUCCAUGUCUUCACGAAAAAUCUAUAAGUGUUAGCCUUCGGUAUUACCGAAAACAGCUAUUUAUGGUCGUUUUGGUCAAAAAACUGAACGAAUACCAUGGAUCUUUGGUGAGAGGUUCCUAUUACUUACCCCCACACAUAUUUCCUUGCCAAAAUAGUUUCUUUGACUUUUGGGGUAGACUAUUUCUUCAUAAAAAAUUCAUAUGUGUUAGCCUUUGAUAUUAUCGAAUACCGAUGUUCAUGUCCAUUUUUGGCCAAAAAUAUUGGCAGUAAGACCAUGGAUCUUUGGUGAUGGACUCCUAUUACUUAACACAUACAUCUUUCCUUGUUAGGAAUUAGUCUAUUGGAUCUUUGGCGAAGACCAUUUCUUCAUGAAAAAUUAUAGGUGUUAGCCUUCCAUAUUGCUAAAAAUGGUCGUUCAAAUCCGUGCAUUCAACUGAGUGCAUGAAUUGAGGUAGGGUCUUUUCAGACAAUGGUUACUGAUAUGUGGUAAGCCCAUAAAUAUGGUAGCUAGCUGGUUUCUCCAUGUACAAUAACAUGCGCCAUAGGAAAAUAUAGUUUGUGAGAAAGGGUACAUCUAGAAGAUUGUUGACUGCUUUUAGAUAUGCCGUUGUGAUAAGAUUGAAAUUGCAAAACUUGUUACCUACGAGUGGGAUGCACGGGGAAUAGGAGCUAGAUUGCUAGAACGGAGCUGCCGAGUCCAACUUGGUUUCACCGGCUAGGACACCAAAGCAAGUCACGCGUGACCACAACACCGUGCUCAAAAGCAUUGUGUGUGGCACGACUUCAAAAGAGGCUCUCAUACAAACACAACAACUAGCAUUCUAGAAACAACACUGGACAUAAUAGUGAUAAACACGACCUAGCAGUAACCUCCAAGUAUUGCUUGUUGGUAGCCUAGCUACUGGUCCGGGUUUAAGUGCUUUACAUAGUUUGUCCUUUGCUUGGGGCUAUGUGGACAUUUCACUUUGCCUCCUACUUGCUAAGGGAUAGCGCAGGGGAGGUUAAGGGUCUUCUCUCACUGGAACGGGAAGAGAUGAAGGUGACAUCAGAACAAGGCAACAAUAUAUUCAUAAGUAAAAGAUCUAUGACUUUGAAGUUGUCCAUUUCUUCACCUGAGUUUAUUUCAAUAACUAAAAAAUAAAAUAUGAGACCUUUAAGUAGAUACAAUAUAUUUUAAAUAAAAUAAUUGUUUAGUUUCAAAAUAUGACAACGUUUGAAGAUUUGAUAAUCAUGUGAUUGGUGACCUCGUUUGUACAUUGAGAGUAGCAAGUGUGUAUCCACCAUUCUCAUUAGACUUGGUUAGUUAGAGUUUGUGCUAGUUACUCAUGAUGAUUGAUAUCACCUUGAUGGCUUAGUGGUGAUUAGGAGUUUAGUGAUCAUCUAAUGGAGAUUGUCGGUGGUCCAACUCAAGGUGUAAAUGGUUGUGGAUGAUUCAUUGUACCAGAGUGGUGAAGGAUCAACAUGUAGAGAACACUUGAUCCUUGUGUGGAUCAAAUGGGAACGAUACCCUUACACGAGUGUUCCAAUAAGGACUAGUGGGAUGCUCACUCUUUGAUACAUUGGAAAACAUUGUCUUCUAUUCUAUCUUUACUUUGAAUAUUUAAUCUGAGUAAUUAUAUUCUUGUCUUUAUAUUACUAAAAUUGGCUUGCUAGAAUAGUGGUGGAAUGUAGGUUGCAAGACUUUUGUGGUAGAAAAGAAAACACCCUUAAGGACAAGGGUGAAGUGUGCAAUCCGAUAGAUUUUAAUUAUUUCAAGAAAUCUUUGAUUAACCCAAUUCACAUUCUCUCUUGGACAUCAUGAUCUUUUCCAUCGAGAAGGACAACAUUGUUUUGGGUUAUUUCUUCUUUUGAAUUCAUUCGAAUGAUUCCAAAUAUUUGAUUUUGAUAACUUCUAAUAGAACUUGGAAUCGUAAACAAUUUUAAAUGCAACAAUCAUCAACUCUAUAUGGGAUCUACUAUUUUUUAUUUGGUAAUUACUUCAUAUUGGUUUAUUAUAAAAUUUCAAUUUCAAAAUACAUCAACUUGAAACAAAAAAUUGGGAGAGUGACUGAUUUCCAAUAAAAAAGUCAACUACAAAGUCGUAUUUCCAGCGAGUUUGGUUGAACAAUUAAAAUUUUCAAAUUAUGAUAAUUUCAAACAAAAUUCUGGGCAAGUAAAUGUUUUCAAAUGAAAAAGUCAUCCGUUAAGACAAUGUAUAUUGCGAAGUAUUGUCUCCUUUAUGCAAUACUAGUUAAGUGCCCGUUGCAACAGGAACAUAUAAUAACAUAAUAAUUUAUAUAUAAUGUGUCUUAUAUUGUUAUAAGAAAAUGUUUUAUAAUCCAUUUGUAAUCCUAGCCAUACAUAAAUUUUGUUAUUUUAAUUUAGCUGUUUCACUACUACAUUGCAAACAUCGGUAUUAUAUAGACUUCGAUAUAUGCCACGAUUUGCAUGGUCUCAUCAUUGAAGAGCACGUGCCACACCUGUCGGUAGAAGUUCCAUCGUACAUUGUCAGUCAUCAGGUACGCACCACCAUACACGCUUGCUUAAACAAAAAAGGCAAGUGUAUGUGUUUGCGAAGAGAAUUAAAGGCAGGCCGGCAUAAAAGCUACCCCGACGAUGGCGAGUGGUCAUUGUUGUCGGUCCUCCUCUGCGUCACCUCUGGCGCCAAGAUGACGCCAUAGUCCUUGAUAUAGUAGUCGUCGGACGCGUACGACAUGGUGAGUACUGAUGACUCUUGGCUGGGCUGCCAAAUGAAUUGCACCCCGGGCUCAUCAGCGAGAUAGUACACCUAGCCGUUGCACCACCGGAUGUGCUACUCCUCUACAUACAUCUUAUUCGAGGACACUCACACAACAUCAGCAACGGUCGUCGUCCUAGCGUACAAGAAUUCAUAGCGGGUCAGUAGUGACUUACGUGGCAGGUUGAGCUUCAGGUGGAUGAUGAGCUGGACGUCGUGACGGCGUCGUUGUCGGAUGCGGUGCCCAGAACAACCCGAGUCGCCGGCGUUGGCGACGACCAUGAGGUCCCCCUGUUUGAAGAUGGACAGCACGGUGCAGCCGCUCUAGAUCGCGUCCAAGCAGCGGCUGCGCCGGAGCUUGCCGAACACAGCGACACAUGUGGCCACGUAGUACUGCUUCCAGAGGUCGAACUGGCAGUCGCCAAGCUUCUUCUCGUCGUCGAUGAGCGACGCCAACGCGAGCGCUUCCUGCCAGUGGUGUUUGUUCGGGGUUUUCAAGUAAGAAACAUGGAUUCAUCUUUAGGGUUGGUUUAUGAAAAUGACUCACAAGUUGGAUCCAUGGAAAAAAUAUUACGGAGAAUAAAUGCCACACAUAUAAAAAAGGAAUUUAAGUUAAAAAUAUUAUUCAAACAAAAGAAAUUGCAUGCAAGGCUCUUCUUUAAAUACUACUCUCUCCAUCCAAAAAUAUAAUUCAGGAAUAUCGUUGAUAAUUAUCUACUACUACACAUUGUGCAAGGGUAGCAGGCGUGCUUUGGGAGAGAUGUAGUAGAUAUUUUUACUGUAACAGAUAUUGAGAUAAACACACAUGUGGUGUAGUGGUAGCUACAAGCACAUUUGCUUGAGAGGUCGCAGGUUUGAAUGCCAUUAGGGCCACAUUUGUGUUUUUUUAAUUUAAUUUUAGCUAGGCGUGGGAUGCACGUGGGAAUGGGCUUUGCGGGGAGGGGGGAAUGGGAAUGGGCUUUGCGGGAAGGGGGGAAUGGGUUUGGCAAAACACGGAAUGGCAGCCAGGAAUGGGAAUGGGCUUUGCGGGGAGGGGGCAAUGGGAAUGGCAGAACAUGGAAUGUCAGCCUAACCCUUACCGCCUUAAUAAGUAGUAGAGAUUUGUUCAAUAGCACAACAAGCACACAAACUAUAUGUAGCAUCCCAAAAAUUCAAAUCUUGAAAUUUUCUCAAACUUGCUCUAAAUUCAAAAUGAAUUUCAAAUUUCAUUUCAAAAUGUUUGUUUGCGAGUUGAUAUCAGCAAAUAAAAUAUAGUGGUCUAUAUUCUAUCCAAAAUCCUCCUCAAAUAUCCUACAAAUAUUUCCCCAGUGAUCCCCCUCAAAUUCUUUCCAGAAAUACUGCCCAGAUAUUUCCCUAGUGAUCCCCUCAAUUUCUUUCCAGAAAUACUGCCCAAAUAUUCCACCGAUAUAUUUCCAAGUAUUUUUUGUUCCUCAGAAAUACAUUCAGAAUCAUUUUUCAAGUCCCUACAAAUAUUUUCCUCAAAACUUUUCUCAUGCUCAUACGUAUACGUAUGCCUCCGGUGUCAUACGGUGAGCUAUACAAGCUAAUUUCACUCAUAUAAGACAAAUCCAUGCUAAUCUCCCACUAAUCCUCUCAUCCCUCCCCCUAAUCCCCCCACCAUGGCUAUAAAUAGAGGGGCAAGGGCCUCCUCUCAUCCCACCCCAAGCCAUUUCAUGGCAACUCCCUCCCCCCCCACACGCCCACUCCCACUCUAUUUCCCACACAAGCACACACUAGCACAAGGAUCGUUCGGUCGUUCUUCGAUCGUUUGUCCACCUGUUCUUAGUUUGUUCAUUCAUUCAUCUGAUCGUUCGUCCGUUCGUCCGAUCGUUCGAUCGUUCGUCCUUCCGUCCGUCCAAAUAAUCUUUUUUCCUGCCGUUAUGCUGCCGACAUUCCGAUCGUUCGUUCGUUCGAUCAUUCGAUCGUUCAUCGUUCGUUCAUAGUUCCUAUUCAUCGUUCAUCGUUUGUUCAUCGUCACUAUUCAUCGUUCGUUCAUACGAACUAUUCACCAUCACUAUUCACCGUCACUAUUCAUCAUUACUAUUCAUCGAUCAUCUGAUCACCCCAAAUUUCAACUACUCAUCCGUCAUGCUGUCCAGUCCACUUAAGACCAGCUAGACCCAUAUUCCAGUCAUACGAACUCCAGUGACUAUGAUUUUCCUUCCAGUAGGGAACUUCCCAUCUGGUCACCCAUCCCAGAUUUCUCCAAGUUGAGCACGCUUAACUUUGGGAUUCUUUCAAGCCAGACUUCCAAAAAGAAAGGCGAACCAUGUUUGUAUGGAUAGGUCUUCAAUCCUAUAAAACCUGGCCCAAGAUACCACAACCCACUUGGACCAGAAUACCACAACAUUCCAGCUAUUUGGGUCCCGCCUUACUGUUGUCUGAUGAGACAGAGUAGGUAGGAACAGUUCCCACCAACAUAAACCUCUGCCCAAGAAAAACCCAAAAAUAAUUCCUCGCACCCCGCUCAAAAAUACAUUUGAUUUUCCAAAUAUCUUUAAAUAUUCAAAUUCUAGAAUAUUCCUUUCCUUUUCUUUUUCUCCCUAUGAUUAUAAAAUCCAAAACUCCUCCAUCCAAACUCAGAUUUCAGUCAUUCUUGUUUCUAAAAUUCUUGUCAAACUAUUCCCUAUCCAACCAUGUCAUCCCUUAAGCAUGGUUUAUAUUCCAGAAAACUCCCAAAAUACUCUUGUCCCAUAUUCUGCCUAUAACUCUCCUGUCCAUGCUAAGUCAGACGAUUCUUUCGUCACUAUUCUCACCAAUAGUGAACUUCACCGAGCUACACAACAUACACCCAGCUAUAAAUACACCCAGCUACCCUCUCCCACUCCACACACUCAACACCCUCAGCCAAGGCAAACACCCCACCCACUCAUUUACUCCGCUCUGCCGGCUACACGCACAGUGUCGCUUCGCCUCCAGUCCACCCUCCUGGUAAGCACCUCUGCUCCACCACUAGUAGUACCUCAACACCACAUGACACAGAUUCUACUCAAGACUCUGCCCAUCCAUAUAUCGCUAUUCUGACCACUAUACUAAAUAUUUAUUGGUAUACUUGCUUGUUUGUAUGUUUGCUUGUUCAUGUUGCAUAGUUAUCGGAGCGUUCAUGCCGUCUCGUGGAGGCCAGAUCUGCAAGUCUAUGCCAGGCAGUGGAGCCAGAAGCCAGUUCCGCGAGCUCUCCUUCCCCCUUCGCUGGAUAAGCACGGCAAGCUCACUGGAUCCCUUUGAUGCAUAAAUUACCUAUGAUUUUUCAACCACAACCCUCAGCCUGUUAUUUUAUGCAUGAUAUGAUUUUGAGACAAGUUAUUAUGGCCACCUAGCUGCUUGCCGCAAUCAAUCCCUGAUAUAUUUGUUACAAAUGAUUUGAGGAAAGGUGUGAGUUUUCAAAAGAAAAUGCUUUUCAAAAUGUGUGUCAUGAAGGGUUUUCACCCUUAUCACCUUUGAGUAGGGAUGAUCAGGGACUCCCUGGUUUAGGGGAGGGCCUAAGGUGAUGGAUCAGCUGGUUUAGGUGUGAGCAGAAGGAUUGUCCCCUCAUAUAAGGACUAGUUUGUCAUCUUUCACUACCUGUACUCAUGAUAAGUACAACCACUCGAGACUGUGUGGGCAGUCACUCAAUCUGAACUCGUACGGUCCAACCCCAGCGUUAUGAAGGCUGGGGAGCACCGGGAGGAUAAGGAGGGGGAAUGUUUUGUCUGGUUUGGGCAUGGCGGUGGCCUGACUCCUUCCGGUAUAACCGUUAAGGUUAGGACGUGCGAGAAAAGAAAGAGAUUCGGCAUUCGGGUCUCACGACGGUGAGAUCGCAUAAACUGGAUCGGACUAGUGGGUAAAGUGUACACCUCUGCGCAGAGUUGAAAACCCACAGGAAUGGACGAGUCUGGUGUGGUAUGGCAAUUAAUGUUUUGUUUUCCAAAAAGAAAGGUGCUUUUGAGAAAAGUGGUUUUUAAAAGGUCCGGCGGUUGAGCCGUGAGCUAUGGUGGACGGGAAGUCCAGUAGCUGUUUUUGAAAAUGAAAACCAGUGGGAAACUGCUAAGAUACCUGGACGGUUUAGUCCAGGGGAUUUCGUUCUAUACUAAAAAAACUUCCUGCUCCUUUUGGAGAGGAUGCACUUUGCAAAAUACAAAAUAUUUUUCAAAACAACCCUGCAUAAAAUAUUGUUGUAUCUGCAAAUAUCCUGAGCUCCACAUAUUCCAUGCAUUAUAUCUGAUUUCCCCAUUCUGCGGGUGAAGGUGGGCUGCUGAGUACGUUUGUACUCACCCUUGCUUAUUUGUUGUUUUUUAGAGAAGGAGAUCGGGUAAGAGUUACGACUGUUCCCAACCUUGCCUAUGGCUGUUGGACCACUGAUUUGCUUCGCUGCGUAUAUCGGGCUGCUUCAGCCCCACUCUCAUGAUAUGUCCCGAGUUGUGGACCAACUCUUAAAGUUGAUCGCCACCUUUAUAGGUUUGUCUCGUUUAAGCAGAUCUGGAAUCAUCGGUUGUAUAAAUGUGUUUACUAGCCUCCUGGGACUAGUAAUUGUAUCACAUUUGAGUCCCAAAGGAUUGAGGCGCUUCAGGUGGUAUCGGAGCUGUUAGGUUGGCCGCAGGACGUAACCCUUAGCCUGAUCCAAAAGUUUUUGAGUCAAAACUAUUUUCUUAAAAAAAAUUCUUGCUCUUAUCCCUUCAUUUCAAAAAUGGUUUCCUCCUUUCCUUCUCUCAGAAGUCAGAUGGAGGUUCGCUGCCAAACCAGCUUUUGCCAGAAUGAAGAUGGUUUCCCCAAGUUGCUGAGAGCAUGCACAGUUCGCCUCGGAAUCAGGAGCCAGCCAUAGUAUGAUGGUCGUGAAUUCGUCGAGCAUGGCAUGGAGAAGUGUGUCAUGACUGUAUAUAUUGGAUCCAGUCCGCACCAUGUGGAAUGGAGUGUCACUGCUGCUGGGCACAGAUUCAAAGACACCUGCCAAGUCGUCGCUCGCAAGGCAUUGAGGGCCCUGUGUCAGAUCUAUGAAGAAGAAGUGGCCGACACCCCGCUCAGAUUCUUUCCGCCCUUUCAGAGAGAUCGUCCAGUCUGGAUGGCCAGGAUGCGUGCAUUGGAAGGGCAGCAGCUGCUUGAGCACGACCCCUCAGUCGUGUACCUCACUGCCUACCUACUCACCCUGGAUGCACAGUAUGAUUUCUUGGCUCAGCACCACCGUCAGAUGAUUGCUCGAGCAGAAGAUGCAGAGAAGCUCAACCGUAAGCUCCAUGUGGAUCUCACCACAGCUCAAGCCCGUGUAGCUGCCUUGGAAAGUCGUGAAGUCAUUGUUGUUGAAGCCUUGAAGCAAGCCAAGGAUGAGCAUGUCCAGAAGUUGAUGGAGGCCUACUUGGUAACCCAUAACCAACGUAGAGCCCUGCGGAUCCAAGAGCCCGCUCCAUCCAACCCAGUUCAACCCAUGAGAGCUGAAGAUCCCUAAAUUCUUGAAGGUCACUCGGUCUCUAUCAGAGGAGAGAAGAAGGCUUGGGAACUCCCGGAUGGAGCCAUAGUCUUGGAAGGAAUUCGAGUCUUCCCUCAAGCUAUGGAUAAGCAAGACCACCCCGAAUCUGAGAGCACCUAGAGGGGGGGGGGUGAAUAGGUGAUCCUGUGAAACUUAAACUUAUAGCCACAAAAACUUGUUAAGUGUUAGCACAAUGAAUGCCAAGUGGCUAGAAAGGAGUCUCAACAAAACACAAUACCACAAGAGAUCAAUCACAGAGAUGACACAGUGGUUUAUCCCGUGGUUCGGCCAAGACCAACGCUUGCCUACUCCACGUUGUGGCGUCCCAACGGACGAGGGUUGCAAUCAACCCCUCUCAAGCGGUCCAAAGACCCACUUGAAUACCACGGUGUUUUGCUUGCUUUUUCUCAAUCCCGUUUGCGAGGAAUCUCCACAACUUGGAGCCUCUCGCCCUUACAAUUGAAGUUCACAAAGAACACAGAGCAAAGGGGGAAUGAGCAACGCACACAAGACUUCAAAAGAUCAGAGCAACAACACGCACACAAGUCGCAACAAGAGCUCGCAACACAACUCAAAGAGUUCGCAACUCAACAAGAGCUCUAGAUGCUAUCACAAUGAAACGAAUGCGUGAGAUCGAUGUCUUGGUGCUUAGGAAUGUUGUAGGAAUGCUUGGUGUCCUCCUCCAUGCGCCUAGGGGUCCCUUUUAUAGCCCCAAGGCAGCUAGGAGCCGUUGAGAACAAAUCUGGAAGGCCAUCCUUGCCUUCUGUCGUCGGGCGCACCGGACAGUCCGGUGCACACCGGACACUGUCUGGUGCCCGAUUUCCUUCCUUAAAUGGCGAAGCCGACCGUUGCAGAUGCGGGAGCCGUUGGCGCACCGGACAUGUCCGGUGCACACCGGACAGUCCGGUGCCCCCUUCCGACCGUUGGCUUGGCCACGUGUCGCGCGCAGAAUCCGCGGCGGACCGUUGGCUCGCCGACCGUUGGCUCACCGGACAGUCCGGUGCACACCGGACAGUCUGGUGAAUUUUAGCCGUACGUCGUCGGUGAAUUCCCGAGAGCGGCCACUUCACGCCGAGUCAGCCUGGCGCACCGGACACUGUCCGGUGCACCACCGGACAGUCCGGUGCUCCAGACCGAACAGCCUCUUGGCUGAACACAGCCAACUCCCCUCUUUUCUUCUUCUUCCUGUUUCUGAUACUUAGACAAGUAUAUUAGUACACAAAACCAAUGUACUAAGACAUGGAAACAUACCUUUGCUCCUGAUUUGCACUUUGUCCAUUCAUGGGCAUAGAUUUACAUUUAAGCACUUGUGUUGGCACUCAAUCACCAAAAUACUUAGAAAUGGCCCAAGGGCACAUUUCCCUUUCAAUCUCCCCCUUUUUGGUGAUUUAUGCCAACACAACAUAAAGCAACUAGAACAAGUGCAAUAUCACUUCAAAUAAAAACUCAAAUUUAUUUUGAUUCAAUUUUGGCAUAUAUGGAUCAUCCUUUGCCACCACUUGGUUUGUUUUUCAAAUCAACCUCAAAAUCCUAUCUCUAAGUCAAAUCCACUUGUAGAAACAUCAAGAGAGGUUUUCCAAAGAAAAUUGAUUCAAGAUUCCAAAAACUCCCCCUAUUUCCCAUAAUCAAUACUUCUCCCCACAAGAGGCCAACUUUUGACAAAAGAGACAACAAAAGAGAUUUGACAAACCAAAAGCUCUAUUCUACUGUUUUCAAAAUCUCUCAAGUGGUAGCUGAUCCAUUUAUCACUUUGGCCUUUAUUUUCUCCCCCUUUGGCAUCAAGCACCAAAACGGGAUCAAUCUUGGCCCUUUAAUCCCAUUGCCUCACCAAAAUCUUCAAUUAAGAGUACAAAGGCAAUAAGAUCAUAGGGAUGAACUUGGAAUAAGUUACCCUCUCAUCGGAGUGCAGUGGAAGUCUUGCAUGGUCCAAGUUCACCUUUCCCUUUCAUUCCACCUUCGAGACUAAAUCAAGCAAACUCAAGCAAAUGGUUAGUCUCAAAGGGUCAAGUUGUAACACAUCUCCCCCUAAACAUGUGCAUCACUUUGCAACGGACUUGUGAGGUCCAGGGAGUGUUUGUACAACUUGAGCACCAAUAUUAAGCAACAAAAUGCAUAAGGAAUAUGAUCAAAGGCAUAAACACAUGUAUGCUACAAAUCAAUCCAAGUUCCGCGAAUCUAAGACAUUUAGCUCACUACGCAACCUGCAAAAGGUCUUCUCAUCUAGAGGCUUGGUAAAGAUAUCGGCUAGCUGGUUCUCGGUGCUAACAUGAAACACUUCGAUAUCUCCCUUUUGCUGGUGGUCUCUCAAACAGUGAUGCCGGAUGUCUAUGUGCUUUGUGCGGCUGUGUUCAACAGGAUUUUCCGCCAUGCGGAUAGCACUCUCAUUAUCACAUAGGAGUGGGACUUUGCUCAGAUUGUAGCCAAAGUCCCGGAGGGUUUGCCUCAUCCAAAGUAGUUGCGCGCAACACUGUCCUGCGGCAACAUACUCGGCCUCAGCGGUGGAUAGGGCAACGGAGGUUUGUUUCUUAGAGUUCCACGACACCAGGGACCUUCCUAAGAAUUGGCACGUCCCUGAUGUACUCUUCCUAUCGACCUUACAUCCAGCAUAGUCGGAAUCUGAGUAUCCAACCAAGUCAAAGGUAGACCCUUUUGGAUACCAGAGCCCGAGGCAGGGCGUAGCAACCAAAUAUCUUAGAAUUCGCUUCACCGCCACUAAGUGACACUCCUUAGGAUCGGAUUGAAAUCUAGCACACAUGCAUACGCUAAGCAUAAUAUCCGGUCUACUAGCACAUAAAUAAAGUAAAGACCCUAUCAUUGACCGGUAUGCUUUUUGAUCAACGGACUUACCUCCUUUGUUGAGGUCGGUGUGUCCGUCGGUUCCCAUCGGCGUCUUUGCGGGCUUGGCGUCCUUCAUCCCAAACCUCUUUAGCAAAUCUUGCGUGUACUUCGUUUGGGAGAUGAAGGUGCCGUCCUUGAGUUGCUUCACUUGGAACCCAAGGAAGUAGUUCAACUCGCCCAUCAUCGACAUCUCGAAUUUCUGCGUCAUCACCCUGCUAAACUCUUCACAAGACUUUUGGUUAGUAGAACCAAAUAUUAUGUCAUCGACAUAAAUUUGGCACACAAACAAAUCACCAUCACAUGUCUUAGUAAAGAGAGUUGGAUCGGCUUUCCCAACCUUGAAAGCAUUAACAAUUAGAAAGUCUCUAAGGCAUUCAUACCAUGCUCUUGGGGCUUGCUUAAGUCCAUAGAGCGCCUUAGAGAGCUUACACACGUGGUCGGGGUACCGUUCAUCCUCGAAGCCAGGGGGUUGCUCUACGUACACCUCCUCCUUGAUCGGCCCGUUGAGGAACGCGCUCUUCACAUCCAUUUGGUACAACCUGAAAGAAUGGUGAGCGGCAUAUGCUAGCAAGAUACGAAUUGAUUCUAGCCUAGCCACAGGAGCAAAAGUCUCCUCAAAGUCCAAACCUGCGACUUGGGCAUAACCUUUUGCCACAAGUCGAGCCUUGUUCCUCGUCACCACCCCGUGCUCGUCCUGUUUGUUGCGGAACACCCACUUGGUUCCCACAACAUUUUGCUUGGGACGAGGCACCAGUGUCCAAACUUCAUUGCGCUUGAAGUUGUUGAGUUCCUCCUGCAUGGCUAACACCCAGUCCGGAUCUAGCAAGGCCUCUUCUACCCUGAAAGGCUCAAUAGAAGAGACAAAAGAGUAAUGCUCACAAAAAUUAACUAAUCAAGAUCGAGUAGUUACUCCCUUGCUAAUGUCACCCAAAAUUUGGUCGACGGGAUGAUCCCUUUGAAUCAUCGCUCGAACUUGGGUUGGAGGUGCCGGUUCCGCUUCUUCCUCCAUCACGUGAUCAUCUUGUGCUCCCCCUUGAUCACACGCCUCCUUUUGAUGAACCUGUUCAUCGUCUUGAGUUGGGGGGUGCACUGUUGUUGAGGAAGAAGGUUGAUUUCGUUCAUCUUGUUCCUGUGGCCGCACUUCUCCAAUCACCAUGGUUCGUAUAGCUGCCGUCGGAACAUCUUCUUCAUCUACAUCAUCACAGAAAAACAACUUGCUCUCUUGGAGAGCCAUUAGUCUCAUCAAAUACAACGUCGCUAGAGACUUCAACCAAACCCGAUGAUUUGUUGAAGGCUCUAUACGCCUUUGUAUUUGAGUCAUAACCUAACAAAAACCCUUCUACAGCUUUGGGAGCAAACUUAGAAUUUCUACCCUUCUUCACUAGAAUGUAGCAUUUGCUCCCAAAUACACGAAAGUAAGAUACAUUGGGUUUGUUACCGGUUAGAAGCUCAUACGACGUCUUCUUGAGGAGGCGGUGAAGGUAGACCCUGUUGAUGGCGUGGCAAGCCGUGUUCACGGCUUCCGACCAGAAACACUCGGGGGUCUUGAAUUCUCCAAGCAUCGUUCUCGCCAUAUCGAUUAGCGUCCUGUUCUUCCUCUCUACCACACCAUUUUGCUGUGGUGUGUAGGGAGCGGAGAACUCAUGCUUGAUCCCUUCCUCCUCAAGGAACUCCUCCACUUGAAGGUUCUUGAACUCGGACCCGUUGUCGCUCCUUAUCUUCUUCACCUUAAGCUCAAACUCAUUUUGAGCUCUCCUGAGGAAGCGCUUGAGGGUCCCUUGGGUUUCAGAUUUAUCCUGCAAAAAGAACACCCAAGUGAAGCGGGAAAAGUCAUCAACGAUAACUAGACCAUACUUACUUCCUCCUAUGCUCAGAUAGGCGACGGGUCCGAAGAGGUCCAUAUGUAGCAGCUCCAGGGGUCUUGAUGUUGUCAUCACAUUUUUGGUGUGAUGAGAGCUUCCCGCCUGUUUCCCUGCUUGACAAGCUGCACAAGGUCUAUCUUUUUCGAAUUGCACAUUAGUCAAACCUAUCACGUGUUCUCCCUUUAGAAGCUUGUGAAGGUUCUUCAUCCCCACAUGUGCUAAGCGGCGAUGCCACAGCCAGCCCAUGCUAGUCUUAGCUAUUAAGCAUGCAUCUAGACCGGCCUCUUCUUUUGCAAAAUCAACUAAAUAAAGUUUGCCGUCUAAUACACCCUUAAAAGCUAGUGAACCAUCACUUCUUCUAAAGACAGACACAUCUACAUUGGUAAAUAGACAGUUAUACCCCAUGUUGCAUAAUUGACUAACAGAUAGCAGAUUAUAUCCAAGAGACUCUACUAAAAACACAUUAGAGAUAGAGUGCUCAUUAGAAAUUGCAAUUUUACCUAACCCUUUUACCUUGCCUUGAUUCCCAUCACCGAAUACAAUUGAAUCUUGGGAAUCUUUAUUCUUGACGUAGGAGGUGAACAUCUUCUUCUCUCCCGUCAUAUGGUUUGUGCAUCCGCUAUCAAUAAUCCAGCUUGAACCCCCGGAUGCAUAAACCUGCAAGGCAAAUUUAGGCUUGGGACUUAGGUACCCAACUCUUGUUGGGUCCUACAAGGUUAGUCACAAUUUCCUUAGGGAUCCAAAUGCAAGUUUUAUCACCCUUGCAUUUUGCCCCUAACUUCCUAGCAAUCACCUUUCUAUCCUUUCUACAAAUUGCAAAAGAAGCAUUCAAAGCAUGAUAUAUUGUAGAAGGUUCAUUGACUUUCCUAGGAACAUUAACAACAUUUCUCCUAGGCAUAUUGUGAAUAACAUUUCUUCUACCAACCUUUCUAUCAUGCACAACAUGAGAAUUAGAAGCAGUCAUAGCAUAAGAAUCAUAAGCAUGUGAAUCAAAAGCAUCAUAACUUCUAGAAGCAUUUCUAGAAUUUUUCCUAUCAUGAUACAAAAAGGCAUGGUUCUUUUUAGCACUAGUAGCCAUAGGGGCCUUCCCUUUCUCCUUAGCGGGAAUGGGAGCCUUAUGGCUUGUUAAGUUCUUGGCUUCCCUUUUGAAACCAAGUCCAUCCUUAAUUGAGGGGUGUCUACCAAUCGUGUAGGCAUCCCUUGCAAAUUUUAGCUUAUCAAAUUCGCUUUUGCUAGCCUUAAGUUGAGCAUUAAGACUAGCCACUUCAUCAUUCAAUUUAGAAAUUGAAACUAGAUGUUUAUUACAAGCAUCAACAUUAAGAUCUUUACACCUAGUGCACGUUUCAACAAUUUCUACACAAGAUGUUGAUUUACUAGCUACUUCUAGUUUAGCAUUUAAGUCAUCAUUAACACUCUUUAAAGUAGCAAUGUUUUCAUGACAAGAAGAUAAUUCACUAGAAAGCACUUCAUUUCUUUUAACUUCUAAAGCAUAGGAUUUUUGUGCCUCUAUAAACUUAUCAUGUUCAUCAUACAACAAAUCUUCUUGCUUUUCUAAAAGCCUAUCCUUUUCAUUCAAGGCAUCAAUCAAUUCAUUGAUUUUAUCAAUUUUAUUUCUAUCCAAUCCCUUGAACAAACUAGAGUAAUCUAUUUCAUCAUCACUAGACUCAUCGUCACUGGAAGAAUCAUAAGUGACAUCAUUACGAGUGAUUACCUUCUUCUCUCUUGCCAUGAGGCAAGUGUGACGCUCGUUGGGGAAGAGGGAUGACUUGUUGAAUGCAGUGGCGGCGAGUCCCUCAUUGUCGGAGUCAGACGAGGAGCAGUCCGAAUCCCACUCCUUGCCAAGAUGAGCCUCGCCCUUUGCCUUCUUAUAAUUCUUCUUCUUCUCCCUCUUGUUCCCUUGGUCCUGAUCACUAUCAUUGUCGGGACAGUUAGCAAUAAAAUGACCAAGCUUACCACAUUUGAAGCACGAACGCUUCCCCUUGGCUUUGGUCUUGCUUGGCUGUCCCUUGCGACCUUUAAGCGCCGUCUUGAAUCUUUUGAUGAUGAGGGCCAUCUCUUCAUCAUUAAGUCCGGCCGCCUCAAUUUGUGCCACCCUGCUAGGUAGCGCCUCCUUGCUUCUUGUUGCCUUGAGAGCAAGGGGUUGAGACUCGUUGAUCGGUCCAUUCAAGGCGUCAUCCACGUAUCUUGCUUCCUUGAUCAUCAUCCGCCCGCUUACGAAUUUUCCGAGUACCUCCUCGGGCGUCAUCUUCGUGUACCUGGGAUUCUCACGAAUAUUGUUCACGAGAUGAGGAUCAAGAAUGGUAAAUGACCUUAGCAUUAGGCGGACGACGUCGUGAUCCGUCCAUCGCGUGCUUCAGUAGCUCCUUAUUUUGUUGAUAAGGAUCUUGAGCCGGUUGUAUGUUUGCGUCGGCUCCUCGCCCCUUAUCAUCACGAAUCGUCCGAGCUCGCCCUCCACCAACUCUAUCUUGGUGAGUAAGGUGACAUCAUUCCCCUCAUGAGAGAUCUUGAGGGUGUCCCAAAUUUGCUUGGCAUUGUCCAAGCCGCUCACCUUGUGAUACUCGUCCCUGCACAAAGAGGCUAGCAACACAGUAGUAGCUUGUGCAUUUUUAUGGAUCUGUUCAUUAAUAAACGAAGGACUAUCCGAGCUAUCAAAUUUCAUUCCACUUUCCACAAUCUCCCAAAUGCUUGGAUGGAGAGAAAAUAGGUGUGUACGCAUUUUGUGACUCCAAAAUCCGUAGUCCUCUCCAUCAAAGUGAGGAGGCUUGCCAAGUGGAAUGGGGAGCAAAUGAGCAUUUGAGCUGUGUGGAAUGCGCGAAUAAUCAAAAGAAAAGUUUGAGUUAACCGUCUUUUGUUUGUCGUAGUCGUCGUCCUUGUGGGAAGAAGUAGACUCGUCGCUGUCGUAGUAGACGAUCUCCUUGAUACGUCUUGUCUUCUUCUUCUUCCCAUCUUUACGUCUGUGGCCCGAGCCAGAGUCGUUGGAUUUGUCAUCUUUUGGCUCGUUGAUGAAGGACUCCUUUUCCUUGUCGUUGAUCACGAUUCCCUUCCCCUUAGGAUCCAUCUCUUCGGGCGGUUAGUCCCUUUCUUGAAGAGAACGGCUCCGAUACCAAUUGAGAGCACCUAGAGGGGGGGGUGAAUAGGUGAUCCUGUGAAACUUAAACUUAUAGCCACAAAAACUUGUUAAGUGUUAGCACAAUGAAUGCCAAGUGGCUAGAAAGGAGUCUCAACAAAACACAAUACCACAAGAGAUCAAUCACAGAGACGACACAGUGGUUUAUCCCGUGGUUCGGCCAAGACCAACGCUUGCCUACUCCAUGUUGUGGCGUCCCAACGGACGAGGGUUGCAAUCAACCCCUCUCAAGCGGUCCAAAGACCCACUUGAAUACCACGGUGUUUUGCUUGCUUUUUCUCAAUCCCGUUUGCGAGGAAUCUCCACAACUUGGAGCCUCUCGCCCUUACAAUUGAAGUUCACAAAGAACACAGAGCAAAGGGGGAAUGAGCAACGCACAUAAGACUUCAAAAGAUCAGAGCAACAACACGCACACAAGUUGCAACAAGAGCUCGCAACACAACUCAAAGAGUUCGCAACUCAACAAGAGCUCUAGAUGCUAUCACAAUGAAACGAAUGCGUGAGAUCGAUGUCUUGGUGCUUAGGAAUGUUGUAGGAAUGCUUGGUGUCCUCCUCCAUGCGCCUAGGGGUCCCUUUUAUAGCCCCAAGGCAGCUAGGAGCCGUUGAGAACAAAUCUGGAAGGCCAUCCUUGCCUUCUGUCGUCGGGCGCACCGGACAGUCCGGUGCACACCGGACACUGUCCGGUGCCCGAUUUCCUUCCUUAAAUGGCGAAGCUGACCGUUGCAGAUGCGGGAGCCGUUGGCGCACCGGACAUGUCCGGUGCACACCGGACAGUCCGGUGCCCCCUUCCGACCAUUGGCUUGGCCACGUGUCGCGCGCAGAAUCCGCGGCGGACCGUUGGCUCGCCGACCGUUGGCUCACCGGACAGUCCGGUGCACACCGGACAGUCCGGUGAAUUUUAGCCGUACGCCGUCGGCGAAUUCCUGAGAGCGGCCACUUCACGCCGAGUCAGCCUGGCGCACCGGACACUGUCCGGUGCACCACCGGACACUGUCCGGUGCACCACCGGACAGUCCGGUGCUCCAGACCGAACAGCCUCUUGGCUGAACACAGCCAACUCCCCUCUUUUCUUCUUCUUCCUGUUUCUGAUACUUAGACAAGUAUAUUAGUACACAAAACCAAUGUACUAAGACAUGGAAACAUACCUUUGCUCCUGAUUUGCACUUUGUCCAUUCAUGGGCAUAGAUUUACAUUUAAGCACUUGUGUUGGCACUCAAUCACCAAAAUACUUAGAAAUGGCCCAAGGGCACAUUUCCCUUUCAGAAUCCUCCCAAGAUUCCCCGCCAGAGUUGUUUGAGCCCCUCACCAUGAAGAAGAUUCCAGCACUGUCCCGUGAGAUCAAAGAAGAAGCUGCGAGCACCCCGCCAGCACCGCCACCCUUUGUGGAGCUACAAGAGUCAGUCCCACUUGAAGAAGAGUUCAACCCCGUUUUGCCAUCUCAAUCGCCGCCAGAAGAAGUCAUCAACAUCAGCUCCCUCUUGACCCAUCCAGGAGAUGUCUCAGAUUGAAGUUGUGUGCAAGCCUCGCCAGAAGAGAAGUUGCCUGGUCUGAAGUUAGUUAUGCCCAGUCCUCUGCAUGCAUUGGGUAGUGAAGUUUUUCUUCACUUUGGCUAGAGCCCUGCAUGUAUGAGAGGUAAUCGUGUAGACUCGUGUUUUGCAAAACUCUAUUUGUGUGGCCCCCUAGGGCAUUUCAAAAUGAAUUCCGCUUGAUGUUUUCUUCUCUUUUGAGUGCAUAUGUGAUGCUUUAACGUUAGUGCUCAUAAGUCGCAUUUAGCAUAGUUCUCAAUUUAGGAGCCGAGCAAUAGUAGUUAUGCUUAGCCCCCAAAUCUGAGUAGUCCGUGCUUUGGAAAAACUCUAUUCUUCCCUUACUCAAAAUAUUUGAUUUGUUUGUGCUUAUCAUUGUUGAGCUUGUGUGUUUUCUUUCUUUUUAAGAAAGGUUUUCUCUAAAAACAUAGAUCACAAAUUAGAGUAAUCCUCAUCUUAUGCUUCCAUUCUCCCCUUAACCCAUCUCAAGAGAAAAGUGCCUUACCCAAGAAGAUACCGAGAAGCUUACCCUUGAAGCCUGGAAUAAGCUACAGAAGAAACCUAUCCAGCCGCUCAGUCAAAAGGACUGACCGUGAGAAUCAAAGCAAUUCCUCUAAGUCAAAGUAAACAGAAAAAGAGGACAGAAGGAGUUAUUACCAUACAGAGAGGCAAAGAUUCUUGGAAUCAGAGACCACAAACAUCAGGGUCAUUGACCCCACCACUCACCCGUGCCCCCCGCACGCGUGCCUGCCUCCAUGCGCACCACCACCGCCCCACGCCCCCCUUUUGCAGCGCACCCACCACCAUUACCGCCAGCAACACCAUCCCCCUCCAUCGCACUUUUUGCCUCGUGUCACCUGCUCCAUCACUACCACUCCACACCCCCUCGAGCACCCCCGCUCGCCUAUAAACCUCCCCCCACCAGCUCCCUCAAUCCCCAUCUCGCUCAAAGCAAAACAGUCCUGAUAAAAUCCCCUCUGCCAAAUCGCAAGCAACUCCAUUUUUCCACUCACUCGCCCCUAAGAUCACAAUGUUUGGUGAUUCUUGGGUUGAAAACUGUUGUACAUGGUUCAACAUCUUCAGUUUCCUCCUCUGUAUGAUGGUAAUACUCUUUGAUAGAAUCCUCUAGUGGGAAGAGCAAAGGGAAAGAAAGGGUCAGUGAAAAGAAGAUAGUGAAGAGAAGAUAAGAAGAAGGUUCUCCCAGAAUCAACCCUGUGUCAGUCAUUUCUCCGCAGCCUGGUCAAGCAGCAACAUCAGAAGAAGGCCCCGUAACACCCUUGUUAUGAGGUAUUUCAAUGAGUUCAAAUCCCCAAAAUUCAAGAGCCCUACCCUCAUUCUUUUUAAGUGGGGUAGUGUUCCAGCAAGGUUCCUGCUAUGGAGAAAAAGAAGAAGGCUUGUAGCAAGCUUGUGGAAGACCAAAUCAACGAAGCUUAUAAGUUUCUGGAUGAGAUGUGGUCACCCAAGUUUCGUUGAUGAAGCACCAGAAGACUAAUCAAGGAAGGAAUCCAUGUGGGAGUUCGCAAGAGAAAGGUUUGCGUGUUGGCAUCGAUGCUUCUUCAAUAAGCUAGCUGCCAAGCGAAACCUAGAAGCCUGAAGAUGAUCUUGAGUAGCCAGAAUCAGCGUUUGCAAUCGGCAACCAGAUGCUCCUCAAAGGCUAAAUUUUGUUGAAGUUCCAUCUCCUCGAAGAGUCUGCAAAGUGAAGAUAUGUAGCUGAAGUAAAGCAAUACCCAUAACCCUUCUAAGCCGAAUCUCGAGGACGAGAUUCCUUUUAAGUGGGGUAGAUUUGUAGCAUCCCAAAAAUUCAAAUCUUGAAAUUUUCUCAAACUUGCUCUAAAUUCAAAAUGAAUUUCAAAUUUCAUUUCAAAAUGUUUGUUUGCGAGUUGAUAUCAGCAAAUAAAAUAUAGUGGUCUAUAUUCUCUCCAAAAUCCUCCUCAAAUAUCCUACAAAUAUUUCCCCAGUGAUCCCCCUCAAAUUCUUUCCAGAAAUACUGCCCAGAUAUUUCCCUAGUGAUCCCCUCAAUUUCUUUCCAAAAAUACUGCCCAAAUAUUCCACCGAUAUAUCUCCAAGUAUUUUCUUCCUCAGAAAUACCUUCAGAAUCAUUUUUCAAGUCCCUACAAAUAUUUUCUUCAAAACUUUUCUCAUGCUCAUACGUAUACGUAUGCCUCCGGUGUCAUACGAUGAGCUAUAUAAGCUAAUUUCACUCAUAUAAGACAAAUCCAUGCUAAUCUCCCACUAAUCCUCUCAUCCUCCCACUAAUCCUCUCAUCCCUCCCCCUAAUCCCCCCACCAUGGCUAUAAAUAGAGGGGCAAGGGCCUCCUCUCAUCCCACCCCAAGCCAUUUCAUGGCAACUACCUCCCCCCCACACGCCCACUCCCACUCCACUUCCCACACAAGCACACACUAGCACAAGGAUCGUUCGGUCGUUCUUCGAUCGUUCGUCCACCUGUUCUUAGUUUGUUCGUUCGUUCGUCCGAUCGUUCAUGGUUCGUUCGUCCGUUCGUUCGUCCAAAUAAUCUUUUUCCUUCCGUUAUGCUGCCGAAAUUCCGAUCGUUCAUUCGUUCGAUCAUUCGAUCGUUCAUCGUUCGUUCAUAGUUCCUAUUCAUCGUUCGUUCAUCGUCACUAUUCAUCGUUCGUUAAUACGAACUAUUCACCAUCACUAUUCACCGUCAUCAUUACUAUUCAUCGAUCAUCUGAUCACCCCAAAUUUCAACUACUCAUCCGUCAUGCUGUCCAGUCCACCUAAGACCAGCUAGACCCAUAUUCCAGUCAUACGAACUCUAGUGACUAUGAUUUUCCUUCCAGUAGGGAACUUCCCAUCUGGUCACCCAUCCCAGAUUUCUCCAAGUUGAGCAUGCUUAACUUUGGGAUUCUUUCAAGCCAGACUUCCAAAAAGAAAGGCGAACCAUGUUUGUAUGGAUACGUCUUCAAUCCUAUAAAACCUGGCCCAAGAUACCACAGCCCACUUGGACCAGAAUACCACAGCAUUCCAGCUAUUUGGGUCCCGCUUUACUGUUGUCUGAUGAGACACAGUAGGUAGGAACAGUUCCCACCAACAUAAACCUCUGCCCAAGAAAAGCCCAAAAAUAAUUCCUCGCACCCCGCUCAAAAAUACAUUUGUAUUUACCAAAUAUCUUUAAAUAUUCAAAUUCUAGAAUAUUCCUUUCCUUUUCUUUUUCUCCCUAUGAUUAUAAAAUCCAAAACUCCUCCAUCCAAACUCAAAUUUCAGUCAUUCUUGUUUCUAAAAUUCUUGUCAAACUAUUCCCUAUCCAACCAUGUCAUCCCUUAAGCAUGGUUUAUAAUCCAGAAAACUCCCAAAAUUCUCUUGUCCCAUAUUCUGCCUAUAACUCUCCUGUCCAUGCUAAGUCAGACGAUUCUUUCAUCACUAUUAUCACCAAUAGUGAACUUCACUGAGCUACACCACAUACACCCAGCUAUAAAUACACCCAGCUACCCUCUCCCGCUCCACACACUCAACACCCUCAGCCAAGGCAAACACCCCACCCACUCAGUUACUCCGCUCUGCCGGCUACACGCACAGUGUCGCUUCGCCUCCAGUCCACCCUCCUGGUAAGCACCUCCGCUCCACCACUAGUAGUACCUCAACACCACAUGACACAGAUUCUACUCAAUACUGCCCAUCCAUAUAUCGCUAUUCUGACCACUAUACUAAAUAUUUGUUGGUAUACUUGCUUGUUUGUAUGUUUGCUUGUUCAUGUUGCAUAGUUAUCGGAGCGUUCGUGCCGUCUCGUGGAGGCCAGAUCUGCAAGUCUACGCCAGGCAGUGGAGCUAGAAGCCAGUUCCGCGAGCUCUCCUUUCCCCUUCGCCGGAUAAGCACGACAAGCUCACUGGAUCCCUUUGAUGCAUAAAUUACCUAUGAUUUUUCAACCACAACCCUCAGCCUAUUAUUUUAUGCAUGAUAUGAUUUUGAGACAAGUUAUUAUGGCCACCCAGCUGCUUGCCGCAAUCAAUCCCUGAUAUAUUUGUUACAAAUGAUUUGAGGAAAGGUGUGAGUUUUCAAAAGAAAAUGCUUUUCAAAAUGUGUAUCAUGAAGGGUUUUCACCCUUAUCACCUUUGAGUAGGGAUGAUCAGGGACUUCCUGGUUUAGGGGAGGGCCUAAGGUGAUGGCUCAACUGGUUUAGGUGUGAGCAGAAGGAUUGUCCCCUCAUAUAAGGACCGGUUUGUCAUCUUUCACUACCUAUACUCAUGAUAAGUACAACCACUCGAGACUGUGUGGGCAGUCACUCAAUCUGAACUCGUACGGUCCAACCCCAGGGUUAUGAAGGCUGGGGAGCACCGGGAGGAUAAGGAGGGGGAAUGUUUUGUCUGGUUUGGGCAUGGCGGUGGCCUGACUCCUUCCGGUAUAACCGUUAAGGUUAGGACAUGCGAGGAAAGAAAGAGAUUCGGCAUUCGGGUCUCACGACGGUGAGAUCGCUGAAACUGGACUAGCGGGUAAAGUGUACACCUCUGCGCAGAGUUGAAAACCUAUUCGAAUAGUCCAUGUCCACAGGAAUGGAUGAGUCUGGUGUGGUAUGGCAAUUAAUGUUUUGUUUUCCAAAAAGAAAGGUGCUUUUGAGAAAAGUGGGUUUUAAAAGGUCCGGCGGUUGAGCCGUGAGCUAUGGUGGACGGGAAGUCCAGUAGCUGUUUUUGAAAAUGAAAACCAGUGGGAAACUGCUAAGAUACCUGGAUGGUUUAGUCCAGGGGAUUUCGUUCUAUACUAAAAAACUUCCUGCUCCUUUUGGAGAGGAUGCAUUUUGCAAAAUACAAAAUGUUUUUCAAAAUAACCCUGCAUAAAAUAUUGUUGUUUCUGCAAAUAUGCUGAGCUCCACAUAUUCCAUGCAUUAUAUCUGAUUUCCCCAUUCCGCGGGUGAAGGUGGGCUGCUGAGUACGUUUGUACUCACCCUUGCUUAUUUGUUGUUUUUCAGAAAAGGAGAUCGGGUAAGAGUUACGACUGUUCCCAACCUUGCUUGUGGCUGUUGGACCACUGAUUUGCUUCGCUGCGUAUAUCGGGCUGUUUCAGCCCCACUCUGAUGAUAUGUCCCGAGUUGUGGACCAACUCUUAAAAUUGAUCGCCACCUUUAUAGGUUUGUCUCGUUUAAGCAAAUCUAGGCUCCUGGGACUAGUAAUUGUAUCACAUUUGAAUCCCAAAGGAUUGGGGCGCUUCACUAUAGAAGCAAUGCCAAAAAAAGUUAAUGUGAAAUGACGAACCAUAACCCUAUUAAAUAUUGUGAUGUGAUAAUUUCUUUUCGAGCUUUAAAUUAGGGUAAUAAAAGAAAAUGUUAAAUAAAUAUUCUUGGUAUUGUUACAUCGAGAACACAAUCAAUAUAUAAUAGUCUACACUAGAGCGAAAAAAGUGACUGGACUAAGGCACAGCUUAUUUUUAGCUUCUUCACAAAUUUAAGCAGAAGUUCUCCCAAACAGGCAGCUUCUGCAGCAGGUUAUUAGUUCAGCUGCUUCUCAGAAUACACUAAAAGAAGCCAACAAGCAGAAGCUGCUUUUCACCAGCUUCUCAGAUAAGUUGCUUUUUCAACAAGCACCAGCUGUGCCAAACAGGGCCUAAGCAUAGCUUGGCUGGUAAGGGCACUUAUGGUGGAAUCUACCCACAGGGUUCCAACGAUUACUUCUCAAUCUCAAGAAUCUAGAUGUUAUCCGAGCGUCUACAUUUGUAAUUUAUUUUUAAAAAGAAUCUAAAAAGGGAUUGGCACAUGAGUGUUAUUUGUUGUUUAUAGGUUACAUAAUUUAAAAAAGAAUUCUAAAAGCGAGUGGAACAAGAGUGAAGGAUAUAUAUAUAUAUAUAUAUAUAUAUAUAUAUAUAUAUAUAUAUAUAUAUAUAUAUAUAUAUAUAUAUAUAAAACGAGGAAAGGGUUGGAACAAGAGUGAAGGUGAUUUAUUGUUUGUAGCUUUUUUUAAAAAAGAAAUAAGUAGAGAGUUUAUGGGGACUGUAUGCUUUUGCUUUUCUUCUCCUUUCUUUUACGAGAGGAGUGCAUGUCCUGUGUUUGUUUUUAACUUUUGUGUGAGAGGAAAGCAUGGCCACCGAGCUCGAACCUACUUAUAACAAUUCUGUACAUGUGGUGUGUUGGUCUUUGAACAAGUUGGAUGGGGUUUAUGAAGGAACAAAAAUAAUCCAACCAGCGAUGUUUGUGGCAUGCCGUACGUUCUCUGACUCUGUCGUCCAUAAAUACAUGCCUAAUUGCAACAUCGAUCCCACACAGACACAUACACACAUCCGUCAAAGAAACAAGUGCACACAAAUAAAUACCUGGCUCGCUAGAUUGCCAAGAGCAAUGGCCUUUAGGUCAUCCAUCUUGCUUGCCACGGUGGCGCUAGCAACGCUAUUCGCGGUCGGUUCGUGCACCACCCCGCUCACCUUCCAGGUCGGCAAGGGCUCCAAGCCUGGCCACUUGGUCCUCACCCCCAACGUUGCCACCAUCUCUGACGUGGAGAUCAAGGAGCACGGUGGCGACGACUUCUCCUUUACGCUCAAGGAGGGUCCGACUGGCACCUGGACGCUUGACACCAAGACCCCGCUCAAGUACCCCCUCUGCAUCCGCUUCGCUGUCAAGUCCGGUGGCUACCGCAUCGCCGACGACGUCAUCCCCGCCAAUUUCAAGGCCGGCACCACCUACAAGACCACCCUCAACAUCUGAUUAGCCUCUUAUGACAAAUAAUAUUUUGAGAGAGCUCAUCUGGACCAAGUGCCAGCGAGCUAAUAUUUAAUUUUUUUCUUUGGUUAUAUUGAGGCACCACACGAGCCAAGAAAAAAGUUAUGCUACAUGUCCCUUCUUGCGCCUUAUUGCGUUAGGUUGAUAUGCAUGAUUACAUAGAUUAAAAUACACUUUUAUUCAAGAUUUUUUGGGGAGAAAUAUAUUGAUCUGGUCCACCUUCAUUAUCCAGAUGCUUGUUCAUUUGAUUUUCCAAUGUUUUGAUACUUAUGAAAUGCUUUGUUGCUUUUGUUUCUAUUACUAGAUCAAUGAAGUUCGUUUUAUCGAUUUUCACUUGUAAGGAAUGAUGUGGUUCAUGCCCAUUUUCAUCGGUCAUAUAACCAUGGACCUUUGGUAAGAAGCUCCUAUUACUUACUCCAUCCAUACAUCUUUCUUUGAUAUUUCUUCAUGAAAUAUACAUAGGUGUUAACCUUCGUUUUCGACCAAAAAUACUAGUCGUAUACCCUUGGAUCUUUGGUGAGAGACUCCUACUACGUAUCACAUAGAUAUUUUCUUGCUAGAAAUUAGUUUCUUCAAUUUUUAUGGAGACCAUUUCUAAAUAAAAAUCUAUCGAUUUAAGCCUUCGGUAUUGCCCAAAAUAGUCGUUCAUGCCCGUUUUCUGCUAAAAAUGCCGACUGUAUAACCAUGGAUCUUUAGCGAGAGGCUCUUAUUACUUACCCCCAUACAUAUUCCCGUGCUAGAAAUCAAAUUCUUCGAUUUUUUGUGGAGAACAUUUCUUCAUGAAAAAAUCAUAGGAGUCAACCAUCGAUAAUGCCAAAAACACUAGUCGUGCACCCAUGUAUCUUCGUUGAGAGGCUCCUACUUCUUACCCCAUACAUCUUACAUGCUAAAAGUAGGUUUAUUGGAUUUUUGGUGAAAACUAUUUCUUAAUGAAAAAUCUAUACCUAGCCUUCACUAUUGUUAAAAAGGGACGUUCAUGCCCAUUUUUGCCAAAAAUGCCGAUCGUAUGCCCAUGAAUUUUUAGUGAUGAACUCCUGUUACUUACCCCAUAUAUUUCCUUAUUAGAAAUUAGAUUCUUUUAUUUGUGUUGGAGAUCAUUUAUUCACGAAAAAUACAUAGAUGUUUGCCUUCGGUAUUGCCGAAGAUAGCAGUUCAUGACCGUUUUCGGCCAACAAUACCUAUUGUAUACCCAUGGAUCUUUAGUGAGAGGCUCAUAUUACUUACCCCACACAUCUCUCCUUGCUAGAAUUAGUUUAUAUGAUUUUUCAAGGAUACCAUUUCUUCAUAAAAAAUCCAUGUGUGUUAGCAUUCGGUAUUGCUAAAAAUGGAUGUCCAUGCCCAUUUUCAAAUAAAUUACCAGUCAUGUGCCUAUCAUUUUUUGAGAAGAGGAUCGUAUUCAUUCCCCCUCAAAUGUUUCAUUUCAUUAAAUAAAUUUCUUCUAUUUUUGGUGGGGAUCAUUCUUCGUAAAAAUCAUAGAUGUUAGCCUUCGGUAUUAUCGAGAACGGUCGUUCAUGACUGUUUUCAACCAAAAAUAUUGGUUAUAUGCCCGAUCUUCAGUAAGAGACUCCUAUUCCUUACCACUCACAUAUUUUUGUGCCAGAAAUAAGUUUCUUGGACUUUUGGUGGUGACUAUUACUUCAUAAAAAAAUCCAUAGAUGUUAGCCUUAGGUUUUUUUUCGAAAUGGUCGUUUCCGACCAAAAAUAUCGAUCGUAUACCCAUGGAUGUUUGGUGAGAGGCUCUUAUUACUUACCCCAUACAUUGUUCCAUGAAAAGAAUAAGUUUCUUGUAUUUUUGGUGGAAACCAUUUCUUUAUGAAAAAUCCAUAAGUGUUAACCUUCAAUAUUGCCAAAAUGGACAUUCAUGGCUGUUUUUUUGGCCAAAAAAUCGGCUGCAUACCCAUGAAUCUUUGGUGAGAGGCUCCUAUUACUUAGCUCAUAGAUAUUUUGUUACCAAAAAUUAGUUUCUUGUAUUUUUGAUUGAGACUAUAUUUUUCAUAAAAUCCAUAUGUUUUAGAUUUCAGUAAUGUUGAAAACAAGUGAUCAUGUCCGUCUUCGGGCAAAAGUACCGGUCGUAUAACCAUGGAUAUUUGGAGAGAUGCUCCUAAUACUUACCCCUCGGUAUUUCCAAAAACACCCAUUCAUGGUUGUUUUUAACAAAAAUACAGGUCGUAUGCAAUUGGAUCUUUGGUGGAAAUAUCCUAUUACCAACCCACCCAUCUUUACUUCAAAUAAAUCAAUUUCUUUGAUUUUUGGUGGAGUCCAUGUCUUCACGAAAAAUCCAUAAGUGCUAGCCUUCGGUAUUACCGAAAACGGCUAUUUAUGAUUGUUUUGGUCAAAAAAACUGAACGUAUACCAUGGAUCUUUGGUGAGAGGCUCCUAUUACUUACCCCCACACAUAUUUCCUUGCCAAAAUAGUUUCUUUGACUUUUGUUGCAGACCAUUUAUUCAUAAAAAAUUCGUAGGUGUUAGCCUUUGAUAUUAUCAAAUAUCGAUGUUCAUGUCCAUUUUUUGGCCAAAAAUAUUGGCUGUAAGACCAUGGAUCUUUGGUGAUGGACUCCUAUUACUUAACACAUACAUCUUUCCUUGUUAGGAAUUAGUCUCUUGGAUUUUUGGCGAAGACCAUUUCUUCUUGAAAAAUUAUAGGUGUUAGCCUUCCAUAUUGCUGAAAAUGGUCGUUCAAAUCUGUGCAUUCAACUGAGUGCAUGAAGUGAGGCAGGAGCUUCUCAGAUAAUGGUCGCUGAUAUGUGGUAAGCCCAUAAAUAUGGUAGCUAGCUGGUUUCUCCAUGUACAAUAACAUGCGCCAUAGGAAAAUAUAGUUAGUGAGAAAGGGUACAUGUAGAAGAUUGUUGACUGCUUUUAGAUAUGCAUGUUGUGAUAAGAUUGAAAUUGCGAAACUUGUUACCUACAAGUGGGAUGGAUGUGGGAUGGACGGGGAAUAGGAGCUAGAUUGCUAGAAUGGAGUUGUCGAGUCCAACUUGGUUUCACCGGCUAGGACACCAAAGCAAGUCAUGCGUGACCACAACACCGUGCUCAAAAGCAUUGUAUGUGGCAUGACUUCAAAAGAUGCUCUCAUACAGACACAACAACUAGUAUUCUAGAAACAACACUAGACAUAAUAGUGAUAAACAUGACCUAGCAGUAACCACCAAGUAUUGUUUGUUGCUAGCCUAGCUACUGGUCUGGGUUUAAGUGCUUUACAUAGUUUGUCCUUUGCUUGGGGUUGUGUGGACAUUUCACUUUGCCUCCUACUUGCUAAGGAAUAGCACAGGGGAGGUUAAGAGUCUUCUCUCACUGGAACGGGAAGAGAUGAAGGUGACAUCAGAACAAGACAACAAUAUAUUCAUAAGUAAAAGAUCUACGACUUUGAAGUUGUCCAUUUCUUCACCUGAGUUUAUUUCAAUAACUAAAAAAUAAAAUAUGAGACCUUUAAGUAGAUACAAUAUAUUUUAAAUUAAAUAAUUGUUUAGUUUCAAAAUAUGACAACGUUUGAAGAUUUGAUAAUCAUGUGAUUAGUGACCUCGUUUGUACAUUGAGAGUAGCAAGUGUAUAUCCACCAUUCUCAUUAGACUUGGUUAGUUAGAGUUUGUGCUAGUUACUCAUGAUGAUUGAUAGCACCUUGAUGGCUUAGUGGCAAUUAGGAGUUUAGUGAUCAUCUGAUGGAGAUUGUCGGUGGUCCAACUCAAGGUGUAAAUGGUUGUGGAUGAUUCAUUGUACCAGAGUGGUGAAGGAUCAACAUGUAGAGAACACUUGAUCCUUGUGUGGAUCAAAUGGGAACGACACCCUUACACGAGUGUUCCAAUAAGGACUAGUGGGAUGCUCACUCUUCGAUACAUUGGAAAACAUUGUCUUCUAUUCCGUCUUUACUUUGAACAUUUAAUCUGAGUAAUUAUAUUCUUGUCUUUACAUUACUAAAAUUGGCUUGCUACAAUAGUGGUGGAAUGUAGGUUGCAAGACUUUUGGGGUAGAAAAGAAAACACCCUUAAGGACAAGGGUGAAGUGUGCAAUCCGAUAGAUUUUAAUUAUUUCAAGAAAUCUUCGAUUAACCCAAUUCACAUUCUCUCUUGGACAUCAUGAUCUUUUCCAUCGAGAAGGACAACAUUGUUUUGGGUUAUUUCUUCUUUUGAAUUCAUUCGCAUGAUUCCAAAUAUUUGAUUUUGAUAACUUCUAAUAGAACUUGGAACCGUAAACAAUUUUAAAUGCAACAAUCAUCAACUCUAUAUGAGAUCUACUAUUUUUUAUUUGGUAAUUACUUCAUCUUGGUUUAUUAUAAAAUUUCAAUUUCAAAAUACAUCAACUUGAAACAAAAAAUUGGGAGAGUGACUGAUUUCCAAUAAAAAAGUCAACUACAAAGUCGUAUUUCCAGCGAGUUUGGUUGAACAAUUAAAAUUUUCAAAUUAUGAUAAUUUCAAACAAAAUUCUGGGCAAGUAAAUGUUUUCAAAUGAAAAAGUCAUCCGUUAAGACAAUGUAUAUUGCAGAGUAUUGUCUCCUUUAUGCAAUACUAGUUAAGUGCCCGUUGCAAAGGGAACAUAUAAUAACAUAAUAAUUUAUAUAUAUAAUGUGUCUUAUAUUGUUAUAAGAAAAUGUUUUAUAAUCCAUUUGUAAUCCUAGCCAUACAUAAAUUUUGUUAUUUUAAUUUAGCUGUUUCACUACUACAUUGCAAACAUCAGUAUUAUACAGACUUCGAUAUAUGCCACGAUUUGCAUGGUCUCAUCAUUGAAGAGCACAUGCCACACCUGCUGGUAGAAGUUCCAUCGUACAUUGUCAGUCAUCAGGUACGCACCACCAUACACGCUUGCUUAAACAAAAAAGGCAAGUGUAUGUGUUUGCAAAGAGAAUUAAAGGCAGGCCGGCAUAAAAGCUACCCCGACGAUGGUGAUUGGUCAUUGCUGUCGGUCCUCCUUUGCGUCACCUCUCGCACCAAGAUGACGCCAUAGUCCUUGAUAUAGUAGUCGUCGGACGCAUACGGCAUGGUGAGUACCGAUGACUCUUGGCUGGGCUGCCAAACGAAGUGCACCCCGGGCUCAUCAGUGAGAUAGUACACCUAGUCGUUGCACCACCGGAUGUGCUACUCCUCUACAUACAUCUUGUUCGAGGACACUCACACAAUGUCAGCAACGGUCGUCGUCCUAGCGUACAAGAAUUCAUGACCGGUCAGUAGUGACUUACGUGGUAGGUUGAGCUUCAGGUGGAUGAUGAGCUGGAAGUUGUGACGGUGUCGUUGUCGGAUGCGGUGCCCAGAACAACCCGAGUCGCCGGCGUUGGCGACGACCAUGAGGUCCCCCUAUUUGAAGAUGGACAACGCGGUGCAGCUGCUCUGGAUCGCGUCCAAGCAGUGGCUGCGCCGGAGCUUGCCGAACACAGCGACACAUGUGGCCACAUAGUACUGCUUCCAGAGGUCGAACUGGCAGUCGCCAAGCUUCUUCUCGUUGUCGAUGAGCGACGCCAACGCGAGCGCUUCCUGCCAGUGGUGUUUGUUUGGGGUUUUCAAGUAAGAAACAUGGAUUCAUCUUUGGGGUUGGUUUAUGAAAAUGACUCACAAGUCGGAUCCAUGGAAAAAAUAUUACGGAGAAUAAAUGUCACACAUAUAAAAAAGAAAUUUAAGUUAAAAAUAUUAUUCAAACAAAAGAAAUUGCAUGCAAGGCUCUUCUUUAAAUACUACUCUCUCCAUCCAAAAAUAUAAUUAAGGAAUAUCGUUGAUAAUUAUCUACUACUACACAUUGUGCAAGAGUAGCAUGUGUGCUUUGGGAGAGAUGUAGUAGAUAUUUUUACUGUAACAGAUGUUGACAUAAACACACAUCUGGUGUAGUGGUAGCUACAAGCACAUUUGCUUGAGAGGUCGCAGGUUUGAAUCUCAUUAGGGCCACAUUUGUGUUUUUUUAAUUUAAUUUUAGCUAGGCGUGGGAUGCACGUGAGAAUGGGCUUCGCGGGGAGGGGGGAAUGAGAAUGGGCUUUGCGGGAAGGGGGGAAUGGGUUUGGCAAAACACAGAAUGGUAGCCAGGAAUGGGAAUGGGCUUUGCGGGGAGGGGGGAUUGGGAAUGGCAGAACACGGAAUGGUAGCCUACCUCUUACCGCCUUAAUAAGUAGUAGAAAUUUGUUCAAUAGCACAACAAGCACACAAACUAUAGAAGCAAGGCCAAAAAAAGUUAAUGUGAAAUGACGAACCAUAACCCUAUUAAAUAUUGUGAUGUGAUAAUUUCUUUUCGAGCUUUAAAUUAGGGUAAUAAAAGAAAAUGUUAAAUAAAUAUUCAUGGUAUUGUGACAUCGAGAACGGAAUCAAUAUAUAAUUGUCUUCACUAGAGCGAAAAAAGUGACUGGACUAAGGCACAACUUAUUUUCAGCUUCUUCACAAAUUUAAGCAGAAGUUCUGCCAAACAGGCAGCUUCUGCAGCAGCUUAUCAGUUCAGCUGUUUCUCAGAAUACGCUAAAAGCAGCCAACAAACAAAAGCUGCUUUUCACCAGCUUCUCAGAUAAGUUGCUUUUUCAACAAGCACCAGCUGUGCCAAACAGGGCCUAAGCAUAGCUUGGCUGGUAAGGGUACUUAUGGUGGAAUCUACCCAAAGGGUUCCAACGAUUACUUCUCAAUCUCAAGAAUCUAGAGGUUAUCUAAAAAGGGAUUGGCACAUGAGUGUUAUUUGUUGUUUAUAGGUUACAUGAUUUUAAAAAGAAUUCUAAAAGGGAGUGGAACAAGAGUGAAGGUGAUUUAUAUAUAUAUUUUUAAAACGAGAAAAGGGGUGGAACAAGAGUGAAGGUGAUUUAUUGUUUGUAGCUUUUUUAAAAAGAAAUAAGUAGAGAGUUUAUGGGGACUGUAUGCUUUUGCUUUUCUUCUCCUUUCUUUUACGAGAGGAGUGCAUGCCUGUGUUUGUUUUUAACUUUUGUGUGAGAGGAAAGCAUGGCCACCGAGCUCGAACCUACUUAUAGCAAUUCUGUACAUGUGGAGUGUUGGUCUUUGAACAAGUUGGAUGGGGUUUAUGAAGGAACAAAAAUAAUCCAACCAGCGAUGUUUGUGGCAUGCCGUACGUUCUCUGACUCUGUCGUCCAUAAAUACUUGCCUAAUUGCAACAUCGAUCCCACACAGACACAUACACAAAUCCGUCAACAAAACAAGUGCACACAAAUAAAUACCUGGCUCGCUAGAUUGCCAAGAGCAAUGGCCUUUAGGUCAUCCAUCCUGCUCGCCAUGGUGGCGCUGGCUACGCUAUUCGCGGUCGGUUCAUGCACCACCCCGCUCACCUUCCAGGUCGGCAAGGGCUCCAAGCCUGGCCACUUGGUCCUCACCCCCAACGUUGCCACCAUCUCUGACGUGGAGAUCAAGGAGCACGGUGGUGACGACUUCUCCUUUACGCUCAAGGAGGGUCCGACUGGCACUUGGACGCUUGACACCAAGACCCCGCUCAAGUAUCCCCUCUGCAUCCGCUUCGCUGUCAAGUCUGGUGGCUACCGCAUCGCCGACGACGUCAUCCCCUCCAAUUUCAAGGCCGGCACCACCUACAAGACCACCCUCAGCAUCUGAUUAGCCUCUUAUGACGAAUAAUAUUUUGAGAGAGCUCAUCUGGACCAUGUGCCAGCGAGCUAAUAUUUAAUUUUUUUCUUUGGUUAUAUUGAGGCACCACACGAGCCAAGAAAAAAGUUAUGCUACAUGUCCCUUCUCGCGCCUUAUUGCGUUAGGUUGAUAUGCAUGAUUACAUAGAUUAAAAUACACUUUUAUUUAAGAUUUUUUGGGGAGAAAUAUAUUGAUCUGGUCCACCUUCAUUAUCCAGAUGCUUGUUCAUUUGAUUUUCCAAUGUUUGGAUACUUAUGAAAUCCUUUGUUGCUUUUGUUUCUAUUACUAGAUCAAUGAAGUUCGUUUUGUCGAUUUUCACUUGUAAGGAAUGAUGUGGUUCAUGCCCAUUUUCAUCGGUCAUAUAACCAUGGACCUUUGGAAAGAAGGUCCUAUUACUUACUCCAUCCAUACAUCUUUCUUUGAUAUUUCUUCAUGAAAUAUACAUAGGUGUUAACCUUCGUUUUCGACCAAAAAUACUAGUCGUAUACUUUUGGAUCUUUGGUGAGAGACUCCUACUACGUAUCACAUAGAUAUUUUCUUGCUAGAAAUUAGUUUCUUCAAUUUUUAUGGAGACCAUUUCUUCAUAAAAAUCCAUCGAUUUAAGCCUUCGAUAUUGCCCAAAAUAGUCGUUCAUGCCCGUUUUCUACUAAAAAUACCGACUAUAUAACCAUGGAUCUUUAGCGAGAGGCUCUUAUUACUUACCCCCAUACAUAUUCCCGUGCUAGAAAUCAAAUUCUUGGAUUUUUUAUGGAGAACAUUUCUUCAUGAAAAAAUCAUAGGAGUCAACCUUCGAUAAUGCCAAAAACACUAGUCGUGCACCCAUGUAUCUUCGUUGAGAGGCUCCUACUACUUACCCCAUACAUCUUACAUGCUAAAAGUAGGUUUAUUGGAUUUUUGGUGAAAACUAUUUCUUCAUGAAAAAUCUAUACCUAGCCUUCACUAUUGUUAAAAAGGGACAUUCAUGCCGAUUUUUGCCAAAAAUGCCGAUCGUAUGCCCAUGAAUUUUUAGUGAUGAACUCCUGUUACUUACCCCAUAUAUUUCCUUAUUAGAAAUUAGUUUCUUUUAUUUGUGUUGGAGAUCAUUUAUUCACGAAAAAAUACAUAGAUGUUUGCCUUCGGUGUUGUCGAAGAUAGCAGUUCAUGACCGUUUUCGGCCAACAAUACCUGUUGUAUACCCAUGGACCUUUAGUGAGAGGCUCAUAUUACUUACCCCACACAUCUUUCCUUGCUAGAAAUUAGUUUAUUUGAUUUUUCAAGGAUACCAUUUCUUCAUAAAAAAAUCCAUGUAUGUUAGCAUUAGGUAUUGCUAAAAAUGGAUGUCCAUGCCCAUUUUCAAAUAAAUUACCAGUCGUGUGUCUAUCAUUUUUUGAGAAGAGGAUCAUAUUCAUUCCCCCUCAAAUGUUUCAUUUCAUUAAAUCAAUUUCUUGUAUUUUUGGUGGGGAUCAUUCUUCGUAAAAAUCAUAGAUGUUAGCCUUCGGUAUUAUCGAGAACGGUCGUUCAUGACUGUUUUCGACCAAAAAUAUUGGUUAUAUGCCCGAUCUUCAGUAAGAGACUCCUAUUCCUUACCACUCACAUAUUUUUGUGCCAGAAAUAAGUUUCUUGGACUUUUGGUGGUGACUAUUACUUCAUAAAAAAUCCAUAGAUGUUAGCCUUAGGUUUUUUUCGAAACGACCAUUCAUGGUCGUUUCCGACCAAAAAUAUCGAUCGUAUACCCAUGGAUGUUUGGUGAGAGGCUCUUAUUACUUACCCCAUACAUUGUUCCAUGAAAAAAUAAGUUUCUUGUAUUUUUGGUGGAAACCAUUUUUUCAUGAAAAAUCCAUAAGUGUUAACCUUCGAUAUUGCCAAAAUGGACAUUCAUGGCUGUUUUUGGCCAAAAAAUCGGCUGCAUACCCAUGAAUCUUUGGUGAGAGGCUCCUAUUACUUAGCUCAUAGAUAUUUUGUUACCAAAAAUUAGUUUCUUGUAUUUUUUAUUUAGACUAUAUUUUUCAUAAAAUCCAUAUGUUUUAGAUUUUACUAAUGUUGAAAACAAGUGAUCAUGUCCAUCUUCGGGCAAAAGUACCGGUCAUAUAACCAUGGAUAUUUGGAGAGAUGCUCCUAAUACUUAACCCUUACAUAUCCCCUUGCCAGAAAUCAAUUUCUUAGACUUUUCGUUGAGACCAUUUCUUCAUGAAAAAAAUCAUUGGUGUUAGCCCUCGGUAUUUCCAAAAACACCCAUUCAUGGUCGUUUUUAACAAAAAUACAGGUCGUAUACAAUUGGAUCUUUGGUGGAAAUAUCCUAUUACUAACCCACCCAUCUUUACUUCAAAUAAAUCAAUUUCUUUGAUUUUUGGUGGAGUCCAUGUCUUCACGAAAAAUCCAUAAGUGUUAGCCUUCGGUAUUACCGAAAACGACUAUUUAUGAUCAUUUUGGUCAAAAAAACUGAAUGUAUACCGUGGAUCUUUGGUGAGAGGCUCCUAUUACUUACCCCCACACAUAUCCUUGCCAAAAUAGUUUCUUUGACUUUUGUUGCAGACCAUUUCUUCAUAAAAAAUUCGUAGGUGUUAGCCUUUGAUAUUAUCAAAUACCGAUGUUCAUGUUCAUUUUUUGGCCAAAAAUAUUGGCCGUAAGACCAUGGAUCUUUGGUGAUGGACUCCUAUUACUUAACACAUACAUCUUUCCUUGUCAGGAAUUAGUCUCUUGGAUUUUUGGCGAAGACCAUUUCUUCAUGAAAAAUUAUAGGUGUUAGCCUUCCAUAUUGCUGAAAAUGGUCGUUCAAAUCCGUGCAUUCAACUGAGUGCAUGAAGUGAGGCAGGGCCUUCUCAGAUAAUGGUCGCUGAUAUGUGGUAAGCCCAUAAAUAUGGUAGCUAGCUGGUUUCUCCAUGUAUAAUAACAUGCGCCAUCGGAAAAUAUAGUUAGUGAGAAAGGGUACAUGUAGAAGAUUGUUGACUGCUUUUAGAUAUGCCUGUUGUGAUAAGAUUGAAAUUGCGAAACUUGUUACCUACGAGUGGGAUGAACGUGGGAUGGACGGGGAAUAGGAGCUAGAUUGCUAGAAUGGAGCUGCCGAGUCCAACUUGGUUUCACCGGCUAGGACACCAAAGCAAGUCAUGCGUGACCACAACACCGUGCUCAAAAGCAUUAUAUGUGGCACGACUUCAAAAGAUGCUCUCAUACAGACACAACAACUAGCAUUCUAGAAACAACACUAGACAUAAUAGUGAUAAACAUGACCUAGCAGUAACCACCAAGUAUUACUUGUUGCUAGCCUAGCUACUGGUCUGGGUUUAAGUGCUUUACAUAGUUUGUCCUUUGCUUGGGGUUGUGUGGACAUUUCACUUUGCCUCCUACUUGCUAAGGAAUAGCGCAGGGGAGGUUAAGGGUCUUCUCUCACUGGAACGGGAAGAGAUGAAGGUGACAUCAGAACAAGACAACAAUAUAUUCAUAAGUAAAAGAUCUACGACUUUGAAGUUGUCCAUUUCUUCACCUGAGUUUAUUUCAAUAACUAAAAAAAUAAAAUAUGAGACCUUUAAGUAGAUACAAUAUAUUUUAAAUAAAAUAAUUGUUUAGUUUCAAAAUAUGACAACGUUUGAAGAUUUGAUAAUCAUGUGAUUAGUGACCUCGUUUGUACAUUGAGAGUAGCAAGUGUGUAUCCACCAUUCUCAUUAGACUUGGUUAGUUAGAGUUUGUGCUAGUUACUCAUGAUGAUUGAUAUCACCUUGAUGGCUUGGUGGAGGUUAGGAGUUUAGUGAUCAUCUGAUGGAGAUUGUCGAUGGUCCAACUCAAGGUGUAAAUAGUUGUGGAUGAUACAUUGUACCAGAGUGGUGAAGGAUCAACAUGUAGAGAGCACUUGAUCCUUGUAUGGAUCAAAUGGGAACGAUACCCUUACAUGAGUGUUCCAAUAAGGACUAGUGGGAUGCUCACUCUUUGAUACAUUGGAAAAACAUUGUCUUUUAUUCCGUCUUUACUUUGAACAUUUAAUCUGAGUAAUUAUAUUCUUGUCUUUAAAUUACUAAAAUUGGCUUGCUAGAAUAGGGGUGGAAUGUAGGGUGCAAGAUUUUUGUGGUAGAAAAGAAAACACCCUUAAGCACAAGGGUGAAGUGUGCAAUCCGAUAGAUUUUAAUUAUUUCAAGAAAUCUUCGAUUAACCCAAUUCACAUUCUCUCUUGGACAUUGCGAUCUUUUCCAUUGAGAUGGACAACAUUGUUUUGGGUUAUUGCUUCUUUUGAAUUCAUUCGCAUGAUUCCAAAUAUUUGAUUUUGAUAACUUCUAAUAGAACUUGGAACCGUAAACAAUUUUAAAUGCAACAAUCAUCAACUCUAUAUUGGAUCUACUAUUUUUUAUUUGGUAAUUACUUCAUCUUGGGUUAUUAUAAAAUUUCAAUUUCAAAAUACGUCAACUUGAAACAAAAAAUUGGGAGAGUGACUGAUUUCCAAUAAAAAAAGUCAACUACAAAGUCGUAUUUCCAACGAGUUUGGUUGAACAAUUUAAAAUUUCAAAUUAUGAUAAUUUCAAACAAAAUUCUGGGCAAGUAAUUAUUUUCAAAUGAAAAAGUCAUCCGUUAAGACAAUGUAUAUUCUUAUAUAGAUGUACGACUUUGGUUUUGGGCAUUUCUUAUUUGAAUAAUUAAAAAAUCAAAAUAUGAGAACUUUAAAUAUAUUUUAAAUAAAAUGAUAGUUAAGUUUCUAAAAUUUCAUAACUAUUUUUUAAAACGGAGAGGGUAUAUGUUUUUAUAAAAAAAAUUUGGUACCAACUACAGCCACAUACAUAUAUUACAUAGGCUUACUAUAGGACAUUGGGCUCAUAUUACAUUUACUAGUGUCUAGCACGCGCCCUGCGCGCGUUGUGUUCUCGUGGUGAGGACAACGAAGCACCCAUUUAUGUUGAGAAGCCGAAAAAGCCGAAAAGACGACCUUAUCUGCAUACUGCUGGCGUCACUAAUAUAUGUUUUCGGCCGUUGGAUGGGGAUGGGGAAGUCAGAGAUACGUUUCUGACAAUUGGAUUGAACUAAAAAUAAUAUUAGCAUGAUAUUUGGUGGAUUUAAUAGGUGCUAGUGACGUGAUGUGUGUUUUUUUGUUUCACUGUAGAAGGAUAUUGGAUUGCAUUGGCGUUCUAGGAGAUUUGCCUUUGGCUGGAGUUGAUGGAAACUGCACAUUGUCAACAUACUGCUUGGGGGAUAACUUUUGGUAGAAGGUUUCUAUAAAAACAGAUAAGUAGCAAAAGAAGAGCAUCAACUUAUUCCGAAGACAAUCUGACCAGCAAGAAUAGAUAUACUUAUUUGACAUUGCAAUUUUACGAACAAUCAGCCAAACAAAGAUUCUACGGAACAGCUGACAACCAGCUGAAGGUAAGCAUUAACUUGAUUCAGAGGUAAUUGGAUUAUCAGCAACGUGCAUGUUUGUUUUCCCUAUAGUCAAAGCAUAAAAUGCAUGCAAGCCAUUAUUACCAGGCAUCACAUGUAAGAAUCAGAAGAGAAUGUUUGAAGGCAGUACCUAAAUCCAUGAGCAGCAACAUCUAAGUGCUUCUUCUUUAUUACAUCGACCUUCAAAGCAUAGCUCAGAUCAAUGUAGUUUUCUUUCUUUACAUCAGAAGGGUGAGACCUACGAAUGAACGUAAAAAUACACAUAUCACCAAUCUACAAAUAGUUAUCAAGACAAAAUUGAUGAUAUUCGUAUUUAAACAUCGUUCUCUAAUCAUUAUUAGGAUUCUGAGACCUCCUCUUGAGAUCUCUGUGCCUUAGCUCAACAUUCCAUGAUUGUUUGUUCUGUUGGAGCAGUAGUUGAUAAAAUCUAGCAAAACCAUGUGCAGUUUGCAAACUUAAUUGGAUCAUUCUAAAUAAAUUGGCAUUUAGCUUGUGUCAAUUGUAGUAGUGAGAAAACAAAAUUCAGAACAUGUUAAUCUAGAGUAGGGGUGUAAGUAACCAACCAAAAUUGUUGAGACUUUGCGCGAAGAUCACAUUGAUGUAAUGUAAUGGAGAACUGUGAUUUGUUGUAACCAUGGAACUGAUUAUGUUUCACUGAAGUACCUACUAAACACAGACCAUAAUGUCAGAGAACACUAAAGGAUAUAGCUUGAAUCUACACUAAUUUAAUAAUGAAGCUAUAAUCACGAAUCAAGGAUAUAGUUAAGCACACAAGAGUCAUUGUACUGCUUCCUUAUGUCAUCAGAAGCUUCCUUCUUUCAAAUUAAAACUCAAUUUUAGAAAUUUGGGUGUCUUCAUGGCUCACGUUCCACAUUAGCAAGGAUGCAAAGUAUGGAUCAGCUGGAGCCUGAAAUAAGAUAAACUAAUAUAUUAUGUUAACAAUUUAAAAUAUACGUGUGACAUUCUUUUUUAUGGAAACUCUUAAAGAAGAUCUAACAAAGGAGAAGGAAGUGUUGCAAUUUUUUUCAUCCUCCCAUGCAAAAGUUUUGGUUAUCAAGUUACCAAUCAUAGAUGGGAAAAAAUAAAAGAAAAAGAAAUACAGUUUAUGUUGCAAAAGGCAAGUAGCUGAUUUAUAGAAAUUUGCUCGAUUUGGAGCCCAUUGGAAAGUAUGUUAAACUGAAGUUGAUGUUGUUAGCAUAUGUGGAAAUAAAAACUCACUUUGGAAUGUUUUGGAAAGUUAUCCUUAUCUUUUUCUACACGCAUGAGAUUGAAGUGGGCACCCUUACCAGCACUAUACCAAUUAUCUUCUUGCAGAAGUAUCAAAGUAAACAUUUAAGAUGUUAUUAACAAUAUAAAUCAAAGUCGAGAUGCACAUUAUAUGGUGUUAGGUAAUAUGCAUGCUCAAUAUUAAUAUGCCAUAGAAGGAAAUAGGCCGAAACCAUUGAAUCCUACCUUUUAUAUUCCUCACGCCGAGUAUCUUGGUCAGAGGAGUCAAAUAAAACGACAUAUACAUGAUAAUAGAUAAGUAGUUUAUGAAAGUUUCCACUUCAAAUCAAAUGAUAUCAGGAACUGUCUCUGAGAAUCAUAUAAAUGGUAGCAUAACAGUUCCACUUAGUAACCAAUGGCAGAGCAAGAAUUAGAAGUUGCUUCUUAUAUGCGCAUACAUCCAAUUUCCAGCUCAUUACCAAAUUAAAUAAAAGGAUGGUGUUUAUAAAGAGAUGUCAAAUAAAACGGCAUUCUAUAAAAUAAAUAGACUGAGAAACUUUCCAAUGUAAAUCAAAUGAUUACAGAAACUGAAAGACUAUGUUAGAAAUAAAAUAGACACUUAGGAUCCAUUUGAAACACAAUAAUUUUACAUGAAUUAUAUAGCAAUUUUACGUGAAUCAGUUCAUUUAUUUAAAGGAAAAAUGUGUUGUCCCUGCUCAAACUUCACUGUCCAUUGAAUUCAAACAUUGUUUUAGGAGUUCUAAAAUUGUUUCAGGAGUUGUAAAUGCGAUGUCAGACCUGAGGCCUUCACGACGCACUACCGCCACUGGACACCAUGCCACCAGCCAUCUCCAAGGUACGCACUCGUGGAUCGCAGCCGCAGCACCAUCGCCCAUAGACCACAGCUAGCAACCCCGCCCUGGUGCACCGCAGCAGUCGCACAAGUCGCGACCUAGAGCCCGAGCCUGCUGUUGUCAUCGCCAUCGCCGUGAGUUGAACAUGAGUUGCCGCCCACGGAGCCGGUCGGUAGCUAGGGUUUGGCUCGAGGUUAGCGGGACGACGACGGUUCCACCAGGUGCUAGUCGACAAUGGUGACUCACACGACGAGCAGUGGGGGCUGGUGAGGUGGUCGGCCCCACGCCAGUGGAGCACUCGCCCUCCCCGCUGCACCUCUGCGGGAGGGAAGACUCUAACCCGCUCUUCUGAAGCAUCGACCUUGCGCACGACAGCAUCGCGGAGGCUCCUAUCGACGUGAUCCGGACGCUAGCGACGGGAAAAGGUAAAUCCUAGAUUCAGGCCGCGGCUAGCGGUGGUGCUGGCAUCGCCAAAGAAGGUCCUGGUGCCUGGAGGAAGGGUCAGAGAAGUGUGAAGAGGGAUUGAUAGAGACGUGAGGAACUUGGUUUGUGGGAGCAAGACGGAUUUGGGUGGGGGCAGGUCGAUGGACGGGACAUGAAGCGAAGCCUCUAGAGGAAGCAAGAGAAAGGCGUGGUGGCCUGGAGCUCGAUGCAUGCCAUUGAGAUAGGAUCGAACGGUCUAAAUAAAAAGGAACAACGUGGACACCACGAAUGGAGUCGUUUUGAACCGGCUUUUAUAUGAUAGAAAAAAUAGAAAUGUCACCCAUAUUUCUUGCCCAGAAAUGUCGAGCUCUAUUUAUUCUAAAUAGGGUUACAAUCUGCUGACACAAUUAAACAGUGCAGCAAGUUUGUGGGCUCUAUGCAGCUAGACCCAGACAUAUGCACAUGUUUCUUUGCUUAAAUGCAGCAGCUCAAAUAUUAUACUGCAGAGCAUCGUAGAUGCAUAUUGUGCCCGAUCAAGUUUUUGCCAGAAAAACUGUGCAUUCAACUGAAUGCCAUGAAUGAGGUAGGGUCUUCCCAGAUAAAUAUGGUAGCUAGCUAGUUCCUUCAUAUACGGUAACAUGCGCCACGGGAAACUAUAGGUGGUGAGAAAGGGUAUACGUGUAGAAGAUAGUUGAGUGCUUUCAGAGAUGGCAAAACCUGUUACCUAGGAGUGGGAUACACGGGGAAUAGGAGCUGGAUUGCUAGAACAGAGGUGCCGAAUUCAACUUGGUUUCACCGGCUGGGACACCAAAGCAAGUUGUGAGUGACCAAAGCACCAUGCGUGACACGGCUUGAAAAUAGACUCUCAUACAUACCCAGCAACCAGCAUUCGAGAAAACAAAAUUGAACGCAAUACUGAUAAACACAAACUCCGAGCAAACACCAAGUAUUGUUUGUUGAUAGCACACCUACGGGUCUGGAUUCAAGUGGUUUUCGCAGCUUGGCAUUUGCUUAAUUGUGGCUGUCUAUAGAUUUGCUUCUACCUUUUUGUACCUUUGCCGGUGGAUAGCGCGUAAGGGUGUGUUUGGUUGGAUGUACACGGUGGGUUGGAGGGGGCGGCCACAGUUUCUAUCGUGUUUGGAUGAGAGUCACGUAGGGCUAACUUUUUGUGAAGGGACAUUUGGAUCGUGAUCCAUUACCAUCUUUAGUUGUGGUUUUCUAGUGAUUUAGUUUGUGGUUGAGGUGCUCAAGAAGUUUAGGUCAUGUUUCAUCAUUUGACGCCUUUGUUGUUGGUUUAUGUGUGUGCCUGCAAGACACAAGGGGAUCAGAGGUUUACCUUAACGCUUUUAUGUAGACUCACCGUGCUCGUUACCAGCCUAGGAAGGUGCUUGACGAGGGGUUGACCAUCGUGUGCGAGUUUGUCGUGUACACGGUCUGCUACAAGACUAUUAAAUUUAAUACUCCCUCCGUUUCUUUUUAUUAGUCGCUGGAUAGUGCAAAAUUGCACUAUCCAGCGACUAAUAAAAAGAAACGGAGGGAGUACUGUAUUAUUCCCACUUGGUAGCCCAAUCAAAUACUCUGGUUUGUACGAACUACGAUGACAUUGGCUUAGCCGAAAGCGAGAGCCAACCGCUCAGUCGUCUGGACUCGAGAAGUGGUCAGCGACGGUGGCCACGACUUGCGCGUUGUCACCGGAAAAUGUGAAUAUAUUUAGCUCCCCGUCUAACCAAAGGCAAACGCGAAGCCACAAAGCCAUGGAUGCUCCGCUGAGAGGCAAGAGCACGGCAAGGGCAGCAUGGCGGCGACCAGCCGUCUCCUGCCUCCUGUUCGUUUUUGUUUUGGUGCUAUUGAUCUCUACGACGGCGACAGCGACGGCUACGACAGUUCAGUCGCGGCAGGCGGGGCUCACCUCUCGCCAAAGAGGUAUGCAUGAUCGAUGGGCUUUUCUAAUUGAUCUCUGCCCCCAUGUCGGUCGAUUCGAUCGUCUUCCUCGAUCAACGCUGUCUCGUCUCGAUCUGUAAUUUCUUCACAUGACUUUUGUUUUCUCCUGGCCCACACGCUUCUGGAUUGAAACUGAGUUGAACCGUGAGGAGGUGCAUGCAUGCAUGCAGGCUCUGGAUUCCGGGCGUGGCGGAGGGAUGUGCUGAGGCCGGACAGGACGGCCGGCGAAGCUUGGGCGCCGCCGGCGCCCAAGGCCAACAGCAACGUCCCAGGAGGGCCCUUCGGUCGUCGUUGACUCAUCCAGAUCCAGUCGCACCCGCCCAAUCGCCAUCGUUUCAUGACACAUCGACCAGAAGAUAGCUAGCAAUUCCCAUCUCACUGGUGUGUGUUAUUUUAGCUUCUUUUAACGAUGAAGAACUAGUGGCGAUGAUUGAAAUAAUACAACUUAUUGCAUCGAAAAUUAAGAACGAUGUGCGUUGAGGAUUGUGUUUCGUAUGUACCAUUUCGCAUGGCGUUUAUUCUUGCUUCAUACCUGCGAGGAUUUAUGUGUUAUGCUUGCAGCAAUGCAAACUACAUGCAGCUUGCUUGCACGCAAAAGAACAAUGCACUAUAUAUGGAUUUUUUUUUGUACUCCAUCCAUCUGAUUGGGUUAAUUCGCUGGUCAAUUUAAUUCCUUCUCUGGACUCAUAAAUUAAUUUUUUUUUUGAAAGACGACUCAUAAAUCAAUCGAUAGCCCGGUAAUUGUUUUCCCCUCGUUUUAGUAUAAAUCCAGCAUUGGUUCCACACUUUGUGUCUUUGUUCCAAAAUGCCACACGAAUAUUUUUAUCCCCAAGUCUGCCUGUUCCCAGUGGCGUAGCUGCUGGGUGGUUCGGAUGGACAUGGACCAUGGCAUACUCUAUGGGUCGGCCCAUCGAACCACCAGCCCACCAAAUCCAGCAAAAAAACACAGUGUAUGUGCAGACUAGCUCUAGCAGCGGUACAAGCUUAGGCUUCAAGUAACAUGCAAUAGAGCACCAAUAAAAUAAAAACAACAGCACCGUAGUGUUACGUGGGUACAUCCUAUCAUUAUAAAUUAUACUAAAUUAUUUAUGAAAAUUUUAUUGUGACAUACCUUAUAAAAAAAUUAUAGCUACGCUACUGAUUGCUCCUUGACCCUUGAGACACUUAGACCUUUUUAGUAGCCACCAUGAUUUGUCUAGUUAAUUUUAUAAACAUGGGGAACCUACCGUUAGUAUGGACAAGUCCGGAUCAAUCACACAAGUAAAAACCUCUAUAUCUACAAGUACUAUAUAUCAACCACGCAUGCAUGCAUAUGGGCAAAAGCUUCCAAAAGCUGAAGGUAAGCUAAAGUUACCCUAAACUAUGACGUGCGUCUUUCUUUCAAGCAACGAGCACACACAAAAUGGGGGUAUGUGCAAGGAAGGCAAUGGGUAUGGGUAUGAGUAAAUAAUUCCGGAUAAUUAUCUAUUGGAUAUGUGUAUGGUGAAAUUUAGUAUCCACGAGUAUAGUUAUGGAUAUAAUAAGGUAUCCGUGGAUAAUUUUUUCGCGGGUACGGAUAUCCAGUAUACAUACCCGUUACCCAAUGGAUAUCUGAUAUGUGGGUCAUCUGGAGUUAAUAUAUUAUUCUAAAUUCUUAUUUUUCAAUUUUUAUCCACGACAUGUUGUUUGGUGCUGAAAUUAUCAUUUGAUGCUGCUGAAAUGAUAAUUGUUUUGAAAUGUGAUAAAUUGUUGUUUGAUGUUGAAUGUUAAAAUUGUAGUGGGCGAGCGGGUAACGGGUAUCCGCCGGGCGGGUACGAGUAUGGGUAGAGAUCCAUACCUACGAACGUUUAUGUGUACGGGUAUGUGCUGAGUUUUAUCUCGCGAUAUGGAUUCACACACUAUAUAUCUAUGUAUUACCCACCUAAUUGCCAUCCCUAGGUAUGUGAUGACAGACUCUGAUCCGACGGUGACUGCAGGGCGAGGUAGAGAGGAUGAUUUCCUACAUACUUAGACUCUCUUCAAUGGUUCCCGCGACCAUUCCCCUCCCCUUGCAGUGGUGGCUACAAGGGCACCUCUUUCCCCACAUCGCUGCCCCCUUCCCCUCACUCUACGUAGCUGAUAUCGUCUCUCUCUCCUCAGAUGCAAGGGAACACUGUUUAUCCCCUAUGACACUGUGUUGUGGGUCCACGAGUAAUUGUUAGUAGAUAAAAAAUUGAUAGUAGAUAUAGAAAAUGAUAUUUAUAGUUGUAGUGGGGUAUAAGGAGAGUAUUUAGGGGGAACCGUUGCGGGAAAUGAAAAAAUAGAGAUGAAAUAUUGAUGACGUGACACAAAAAAAAGUGAUAUAGGGAAAAAAUUUAGGGAAAACCGCUGAACACAGUCUCAGCAUGGUCGAAGCUGAUGAAGUGAAAGAAAGACAGCAGAUGUCCUGCUAGUGAAACAGGCUCUUCAUGCUGGCAACCAAGCAGGUUCUGCUCGGCUAUGGGAAGCCUAGCGGAGGAGUUGCAGUACGUUUUUGGUGAAUAUAAAUUUUAGUUUCUCUCUGUGUGCUUCUCAAUUUCUAAUCCGAAACAUUCCGCUUAUCAUCAUCGAUCAAUAACUUCAGUUUCUCCUUUCAACUUAGAUCCAACUUAAAGGUAUUUAAAUGCACUAGAGCUAAUAGUUAGUAGCUAAAAUUAGUUAAGACAUCCAAACCUUAUAGCUAAUAGUUCAAUUAUUAGCUAUUUUUGAUAAUUUAGUUAAUAGUUAGGUAGCUAUUUGUUAGUUAGCUAAUUCCACUAAAAAAUUAGUUAACUAACUAUUAGGGCAUUCAAACAUCCUCUUAGUUCUACGCCCCACUUUCUCACACGAUCUCACACGAGUGUGUCACAUAAAUAUCAAAAACAUAUAUUUACACGCAUACAUUACGGCCAAAUCAAGUAAAUCAUUUUGCAAUGUCAAUGUCAACCAUCCACAAUGUUCCAACGUCAAACUAGCUCAAUAUUUUCAUCACACACGGAUCGCACGGUCUAAGAUAUCAAGAAGUACAAGUCCAAAUACAAAGAUACAAACGGAAAUGAAGUCACCAAAAGUUACGACAAAAAGAUAGCUAAAUUGAAAGUGUCUCAUGAUUUUGAAUCUGGUCAAACCUAUAAAAAAUAUUUUACUUUUAAAGUGGCCCCCAACAUGUUUACCGAUCCAACAAGUGUUCAACUUCACGCAUGAAAACUUGCAUGCGUACUCCUUUGUGUCAAACGUUAAGGUCCUAUUUGCAAGUAAAGUAUUUUUAUAGUUUUUAAGCGAUACUAUGGUUUGUUGUAAUAUUAUUAUAGUAUUUUAUGAUAUAAGGUGUUUGGUUGUAUUCCUGAAAACUAUAUUUUCAAAAGCAUGGUAUUCUAGAUACUAUGGUAUUUUUGAAGUAUUAAAAACUCCACUCUAAACUAAAGUUUUCAUGGCAUGAUAAGCCUUUUGUCUAAAACAUGAUUUACAAUGUUGUACGCAAAUAAUAUUUAACAAAACCAUGGUAUUUUUGAGGUGACCAAAACUACGGUACUAUUAUGAUAUAGUAUUGUUAAACCAUGAUUCUGAAAAAAAAAAUUCUAAAUAGGCCCUAAGUGAUGAUAUCCCGGCCGUAAAAAGGACUAAGGUAUUCCAACAUAUAUAUUUAUUCGUGUCAACGACUUUUCAUUGUUGGUUUGUGUGCAAAUCAAAUUUGGUUUGGUCCUUGGAUCCAUCUAUAUAUGUUUGGUGAAUGAUUUGAAGUAGGAGAUAGUAAAUAGUAGUGUGUGAUGUGCUGGAACGACUACUCAUGAGGGUUUAUAUAUAGAUAAAAUAUUUAUUUAUUUACUAUGAAUGGUUGAAAACGAAAACAUUUUUUUGGAAAAUCUUUUUUCCAUGUAUUUUUAACUGUUGUUACUGCUCUAGCCUCCUACGACUUCGCUACUUUAAUUUGAAUGUCGCACCAACUACGACCGAUCUUAAAUUUUGAUAUUUCAUAAGAAAACGACUUAAAUACAGAAUAAAUAUAUGGUAGCGCAUUUAUAUGGCAUUAUAUUCUUCAUGCAUACUCGUUUUCUUGUCUUAUAAAUAGAAUAGGUAGCUUCUUCAUCGAGCGUGCAUAAGAGAAGAAUAGAUCGACCAUAAGAAUUUUAUAGGAGAUAGCAAGCGGUUAAGAAGUUGUGGGGAUGGGAUGCAAUGGGAAAUUUAUUUGAAGAUCCGGUUUGCAAGAGAAAUCAAAUCAGAUUUUUCUAGCGAGAAGGAUCUGAGCUAGUUGGAAAAUUGACUUUGUUCUCGGUUCUUAGUUCUUUGUUGUACAGUUAUCAAUCAAGAAGUCUAUUGACUCCAUAUCAUCGCCUAGAGUCACAGACAGGGGCAGAGCCACCUCCAGGUAGUGUGGGCAUGCGCAUGAUGAGCUGGUUGGGCGGGUUGGCUGGGUAACGUCUCGCAUGUGAAAUGAUCGAAGAACACUCGGAAUCUCCAAUACAAUACCUCAUGAUGCCGUACACUUUUUAAAUACCAUCACGUGUUGUUGUGUGUCGAGGCCCAUCAUGCUUCAGUCAGCACUCAUCAUAGUUUGGCCCAAUCACGACACAGAGUAAAAAAUUAUAUAUAUCUAAAAAAUACAUCUUGAAAUUAAUUUAAAUUUUCACAAGGGAAAUAGAGAGCCUUUAAAAAUAGAUUGCUAUUACUAGCAACGUGACUCAAAAUUGCUACAUAUAUAUGUUUUUUAAUAAAACAUAUAUUCUAGUAAGAUGAAUACAAGUAUCAAUGUUUUCUAUAACUUUUGUGAAGAAAUAAAAAUUAUUGGAGUAUAAAAGAACCAUUUAAACAUUAGUUUUCCAAUUUGUGUCUCACAUCGUGUCGUAUCGGGCUAAGCACAAUUCGUCUAGUCCUGCCUAAGUUGAAGGCACAACACGUCUUUUUGUGUCUGAGUCAUGCUUUGGCUUCUUAUUUUUCGGGUCGUGCCUAUGCGGCCCUAAAUGACUCGUCCCAAACUUUUGGGUCUAGAGUGCAUAUGCACGUUGUUCUUUUCGCAAAUUUUGACAUUUGUUCAUAGACUAGCCCAUGCUCUUUAUGAAUCAUGAAUCCGCCACUAGUCACAGAGAUGGAAGCACGUGUCAUGCCUUUAACCGCCGGCUCAGACCUUGAUGGGAAGUUGAGAAGCGUGAAGCCAAACAUUUGCAAGUCAUAGAAGAAAUGGAAUACAUUCUUAAACCCAAUCUAAUUUCUGAAGUGACGAAGGUAGGGUUUGGUUUAGAGGGCGAGAAGACAUGGAAUGGAGUGAUCCCACUUCUAAUGGUGUUUUGGAUUAGGGACAAGAAGGACAGAGUCAUCACUCAUAUAGAAUAUACAUGGUGAGCAAAGUGGACUGCUUCCUCUUCAAUAUUUCUACCACAUCAUGCCUAUUGUAAACGGAAACAAAGCAAAAUUCUAGCACCAUAGCUAGCUUGCGAAGUUCCAAAGAAACCUGGCACUUGACCAAAUUUUAAUUUGUAGAAGACAAAAACAAAAUAGUGCAAUAGGAACCUACAACCAACAUGUGGAUUAGAAUCUUGAGGAGAAAGAUCACUACCACAGCCUAGAUUGAGGAAUUUGCAUCUCUUCAGAACCAUAUUCACAACGUCCAUUUUUCAGUCAAAUGAAAAAGAUAACAUCAAUUGGAAAUAGCCUGCAUGUGUCUGGGUAAUACAACACCAAUUUAGCAUACAAUACUUUAGUCUUGGUCUCCUAUCGACAAUAUAGAACAAACACCAAUUGGUGAGUAGCACAUGUAGAAAAUAAUUGUGAAACUUUUUACCUAGAUUCUCACCCAAAAACUUCCUCAUUGCGAAGGAUCGAAUCUGGCAAGUAGAGGGGGAUGAAUGGGAGCUAAUAAAAAUGCAAUCUUGAUUUGCUUCCCAAUUUUACAACCAACAUAACCAUCAAACUCCAAAUGAUAUGUAAGAAAUGUGGAAGCAACUAGUGGUUGUUGAAUGUUCUUGAUGAUAACUAGAGAACAUAAGAAAGUGCUCAAAUUGGCUAGAAAUGGAUUUGCUAGGACAAUCUUUUAAAACUAUAAAUUGAGCACUUAACCUCAAUAGAAAUGAAGAGAAUGAUCAAACCAAAAACAUAUCAACCAACUUGUGAUUGCAUGUUUUGAAAUUGUUCCUAUGAUAUACAUGAGUCCAACGAAAUAAAUGGAUCAUAAAACAGACACCAAAAAAACCGAAACGACCUAAAAUCGUAUCGAUUACUCACUCCGCUUUUAGCAACCCGAAAUUAAGUUGCAAAAUGCAAAAUUGGACCAAAUAGACUCCAAUUAACCUGAAAUUUUGCACACACCUUCGCACGAGAGUUUUAAAGGCACCUACAAAUUUUGAACUUAAAAAUUUAAAGUUAGAUAUGAAAAUACAAAUUUGAAUUGAGGUUUUCUGAAAAAUGGCUCAAGGGAAUGGAAAAUCACGCUCUAGGUGAAUCAACCUAUACCACUUGGUGGCUAUGAUUCUAAGAGGUUCUAACACAGUUCUAUUCAACCCAAAUGAGCCCAAGAACUUAUAUUUACAAAAUCCCUCAAAAACUUAAAGUAGAGGAAUAGAGAGGAGAAGACACAACUCAAGAUCAAACCCAUUAGAUUUGGCAUGAAUUCAGAAACCCAAAGGGAAAUGUGUGGUUACAUCCACGCUUUCUCAAAAUAGUAUGAACUUAGAUGUAAUGAUUCAAAGCAUCUAAGGAUAUCCUAACAAAAUGAGAAUACAAUGAAGAUUACAAGUAAAAUAUGUGCUAGAGAGAUGGUUGAAUGGUUCAUCUCUCCCCUCCUAUUUAUAGAGGGUUGUUCCUCUUUCAUAAAUUAUCCCUAGAUAUAAAAGUCUAUCCACUCAUCUAGGGGCAAAAUGGAUCAACUCUUGGAGUUUUGAUCAUAAGACCACACACUCUUUAUGAAGUUGCUUCGCCUACACGCACCCUCCGCAAUGAUGUUGCGUGUUGCCUCCAAUUCCCUCUAAUACCGUGUCGUCGAGUUUUGAGGCCCAAGCUAAAUGAAAUUUGUGAACUAUCACACUGGGAGGUUUUCAUACUCAACCACUAAAACACUCACAAGUACCAUACUCCAUAUACAUCCCCACGUCCUGGACACGACUCAUGUUGGUCCAUAAUGGUGUCAGCGACACGAUCCGCUCCUUUAUGCCAUUACGCCUGUCAGCGUCCCUAGGUUUCAGUAACCAUAACUAAUCACUCGGCUUCUCUAAUCCCUCAGUCAAGACUCAACACUCAUCCUUCACCACUCAUGGUCCAUCGGCAUGAAAUCGCAUAACCUUCAUCUUAGCCAUCAACCACUGUCUCAAGACUCCACACCUGUGGGGGACAGAUAUCCCCGGGUCCACUAGAAGGCGAAAACCCUUGCAUGGGGCCAUGGACCAGUCGCUUCACAAGGUCGUCUUGUCGUGGGCCAGACAAAAACUACAAUUGAAAUGGUCCGACCCAAGAAGGCAGUGGGCUCGUGCCCGGAUCGUCCGUGGAUUAUGCCUAAUCUUAAGGGAACCGUCCGUUUUUCCCGCGCCCGGCACCCUCAAAGGCCAGAGAUAGAUCGGGAUGAAGUGGACAGGUAUUUCUUUAAGAUAAGCUAAGUUAGUUCGUUAUUAAUUAGGAGAUAUGAUGGAAGAAUGUGAUCAUCGUGUGCGUAGGGAGUGUCCCACGUUCGUGUAUAUAAGGCCCAGGGGGACCCCUUCAUUUCAGAUCAUUCGCACCACUCCAUUCGGGAAACACCACUUGUAAACACACCACGCAUACAAAGCCACCCCAGAAAGUAGGAUAUUACGCCUCUCAAAGCGGCCUGAACCUGCAGAAAAUCGCUCGUCUCUCUCUCUCUCUCUCUCGUGCACCUAUCACAAACCAUCGAGCUAUGAUCAACAAUGCCGUCCUACCCAAAAGCACCACGAGGGUAUCCCCGAGUGUGCGGUCGGACACUAGACACCGAAAGUUGGCGCGCCAGGUAGGGGGUGUGUCGUUGAUCAAAGUUAGCUCAAUGGACAUCACCUUCAAGAACAAGAUCACUCUCAGCCCAGGGGCUAUGUUCCGCUUCGGAACCAUCUCAUGCAAAGCAAACGAAGAAGGGACUCUACACCGCGUAGCGGAUCCACCCGAGAAGAAGCCUUCCUCGGGAGUCCCGAGAGAAGCCAAAGCAAGACUACAGACAGCACCCCCGCUCACAGCUCGGGGCAAGAUGGUCCCUUGCAGACUGGGAUUCAGGAUCCCUCGAGAGAAGGAAGACCGAUCAGUCGGGGCUUCACUAACCCGAAAAACUCCGUUGUCCACCUCUCCCACUAAGGAGUGGACACGGAUCACUCAGAAGAAGGAAGUAAACAUCCCGAGUCCGGGAAGGAGAGCACGUCAAGCCACCUUUCCGAUACCUCUGCCCUCAAAGGAGGAUUGGAAGAAGAACACCGUCGUUGUAAAACCCAAAAAUUUGUAUAAGGUAAAAAAACAAACAUCAAAAUAAGUGCUCUUGAUAAAUAAUUGAAAUUUAGAGUUCACCCUCUCUAAAGCAAAUUAUUAUAAUGGAAUAAUAUUAGCUAAAUCAUAUCUUAAUAAAGAUUAGACACUUGAAAAAUGUUUCCUAUCAAACCAAAGGAAAAUGAAUUUUUGGGUUAUAGCUUUUAAAAUUAUUUAAUACACUCAAAAUAAUAUGGUGUGUGUGUUUCAUUACCCAAAUAAAAUGAUAAUAAUAAAUAAAGUAAUUAAAUAAAUAUAUUAAGGUAAUGAGUGCCUAUCGUACUAUUUUUUCAAAAACAAGAAAUGAAGGUUUGAAAUUCAAACAUGAGUAUGUUUUGGAAUUGGAAUAAAAAAAUCAGAAGAAAAUAAAAAGAGAAACUCACCCACUAACCUGGGCCGAAUCCCCCUCCUUCAGCCCACCUAACGGCUAAUUCGCGCCCGUCGGCCCACUACUGACUUUUCCCCCGGUCAGCCUGCUUCUCUCCUCUAGUUUCACUGACGGCUGGGUCCCACCCGCCAGAAGCUUCUUCACCAAAUCAACGGUGGCGUACUCUGAAGUCUGAACACGCGCGACAGGCGCUUGGGCGAUGAAUGUGGCGUGCCCGUGAUGCACAGAAAUCGCUACCGCGACUUCCUUCGGUGCGAAAAUAGGACAGCGACAUCACCGGAUAACAAACCUUUCCUCUUUCCCCGUGAUCUGAUCCGGUAUCCUUCCUCCCCGUACCAAUCGGGAUUUCAGUUCCCGACAGCGGGCGGAACAUGGCCGCCAUUAUCGGGUCCCCGUGAACCGCGCCAUGGCUAAUGCGGAGAGAGAUAAGAUGGAGAGGGUCCGCCUUGUGCUCGUCGGAUUGCCGAGAGAUUGAGAGAGAGAACGUUGUGGUUCGUGCGGCUGGCGCAUGGACCUGCCUUGACUACGGCACCUUCUCCGCGAAUUCGUUGCAACAGCGCGCGCAAUCGUGGGGGUCUGUUGGGAUUCGCCCUCCUCGCAUCCGGAUCGUGAGUUCGUUCAUCAACCAACCCCCUACCCCUAUAUAACCAUCAGGCCAUGAUUCCUUGCCUCCCAGCUCAGUCUCCAUCAUCUUCUAGGCAGAGCGAGCCGAGAAGGGAGAAAGGAGUUCUGCCCCGUUGUGUGUUGUAGGAAACGGGUGACGCCUAAGAGGGGGGGUGAAUUAGGACUUCUAAAACUUUUACUAAACUAGGCCAUAAUUAAAUCCCUAGAGCAAAACCUAUGCAAAUAAUCAAAACUAGAAUGUGCAAACUCGGUUUUGUCUAAGUGUUGCUGUCUCUACCGCAAAGGCUAAGUUUCAAUCUACACUAAAUAAGUAUGACAAUAAGAUUGAAACUUAAAUGCUUAAUAUAAAUGCGGAAUGUAAAGAGCUAAGUAGAGAAGCAAACUCUCGUGGAAGACGCCGGUAUUUUUACCGAGGUAUCCGGAACCACGCAAGGUCCCGACUAAUCCUCGUUGGUGCCCCUACGCAAAGGGAAGCCCACGCGAGGGCCAAGCACCACGGUCGAGUAACUCCGUAGAGAGCCGCGGGCCUUCUCCACGCGCCAGUGGUGCUCCGCUUCCGGCUCGUCUCGGACGCUCCCCGCUGUCUCCACUAUCGAGCUUCCGGCCGAAACGCCGCGGGCCUCGUUCCCUCCGGUACACGGUGGCGGCCGUGACACAAACGCGGUUGUCACGGUCUCGCAAGACUCUCGCCCCACUCGGUACAAUUACAAUGGCCCACGCAAGAGCCGAGGGGUUAUGUGGUUUGUCUAAACUCACUCAACAAACUAGGAUUCACCUAGAGCAAGCGCUAAUGCGGUCUAACUAACCUAAGCACUUCGCAAAGCACCUACGCUAAUCACCGAGUGAUUCUAUUAAGCACUUGGGUGUUUGAGCACUUGGAAAUGUCUACAAUAUGCCUUGGUAUGUUGCUUGGGCUCCCACACCUUCAAAUGGUUGAUUGGAUGAAGUAUAUAUAGGCCCCAACUCAACUAGCCGUUGGAAAGCAGACUGUUGUAAGGGUGGCACACCGGACAGUCCUGUCAGCCAACGGUGCGCCAACUGUGUGCCAACGGUGCGCCAACGGUGAGCCAACGGUGCGCCAACGGUGCGCCAACAGUGUGCCAACGUUGUGCAGCCAACGGCUAGUUCUGACACACCGGACAGUCCUGUCAGCCAACGGUGCGCCAACUGUGUGCCAACAGUGCGCCAACGGUGAGCCAACGGUGCGCCAACAGUGCGCCAACGCUGUGCAGCCAACGGCUAGUUCUGACACACCGGACAGUCCGGUGCACCAACUGUGUGCCAACGGUGAGCCAACUGUGUGCCACCGGUGAGCCAACUGUGUGCCACCGGUGCACAGCCAACGGCUAGUUCUGAGCUAGCCGUUAGGUGCACCGGACAGUGAAUAGUGACUGUCCGGUGCACACCGGACAGUCCGGUGCCUUCUCUCAGAAAACUCUGUUGGCUGUACUGUGCGCCAAUUGUGUGCCACCGGUGAGCCAACUGUGUGCCACCGGUGCGCCAACUGUGCGCCACCGGUGAGCCAACUGUGUGCCACCGGUGAGCCAACUGUGUGCCACCGGUGCGCCAGCUGACAGCCCAUCUUCUAGGUCUUCGCUGAUUUCUUCGGGCUUCUUUUGUUCUUGAGUAUUGGACUCCUAUGCAUCUUUUUAUGUCUUCUUUUGAGGUGUUGCAUCCUCAUUGCCUUGGUCCAAUUCUCUUCGCAUCCUGUAAACUAUAAUUAUAAACACUAGCAAACAUAUUAGUCCACAAGUUGUGUUAAUCAUCAAACACCAAAACUCAAUUAGCCAAAUGGCCCGGGGUCCAUUUUCCUUACAAUCUCCCCCUUUUUGGUGAUUGAUGACAACACAACCAAAGCAAGCAAAUAAUACAAGUAUUUGAAUUAAAAUGUGCAAUCUACUUGCUAAGAUGCAUGAUUGUCCCCACAAUGUGAUAUUAUGGACUUAAGCCUCCCCCUAACUCCAUAAUUCACUUACUUCCUAUUUUUGGACCAAAUAACCAAAACCACUUGAAAAGCCAUUUGUAGAUAUAAAAUUUUAAAUUGGUGGUGUUUGGUGUUUGAUAAAGUUUUCAUUGCUUUGGUCCCUAAACUUCUCCCCCUUUGGCAUCAACCACCGAAAAGGAAGACAUUAAAAGCAUGUAGGAAGUAAAUAAAAGCUUGCCCUCAACAAGAAUUGUAUCAAAUGAUAUCACUAGAAGGAUAUUAAAAUAAACCAUAUGAAUGAUACCAGUUGAAAGGAACUCCCCCUAAAUGAGUGUUCUCUUUAGAAAGAAGUUUCUCCCCCUUUUUUAGAGAUGAAGAAAUACUCCCCCUGACAGAGAUCCUCUACUUAGGAAAAAGCAUGUGAAAAAUUAGAGGUGCAAGACAUGGUUUGAAAAGACUAACUUCCCUUAUGCAUAGGUAACAGAAUAUGAGUUAACUACUUAUGCAUUUUUAGCAACAUGGAAGCAUAUGAUAUGAAAUAUAGUCUAAUCAAAUAUUGGAGAAGACAUGUAAAUGAUACUGAAUGUAGUCUCAAAAGAUACCAAUUGAAGAUCAAUGGCGAGCUUGAGAGACAUGAGAGUUCUUGGAGAUUUCGCAGUGGAAGAUUGUUGUCUUUCUCCGGGGACUUCAUUUUCCUUACAAUGAGACUAUCACAUGAAAUAGACUUGAAAAGGUGUUAGUCUCAAAGUGUUAGAUUAUAGAGUAACCUCCCUGAAAGGGAAAUGUGCCCUUGGGCCAUUUCUAAGUAUUUUUGGUGAUUGAAUGUCAACACAAGUGCUUAAAUGUGAAUCUAUGCCCAUGGAUGAACAAAGUGCAAAUCAAGAGCAAAGGUAUGUUUCUAAGUCUUAGUACAUUGGUUUUGUGUACUAAUAUACUUGUCUAAGUAUCAGAAACAGAAAGAAGAAGAAAAGAGAAGAGUUGGCUGUGUACAGCCAAGAGGCUGUUUCGGUCUGGAGCACCGGACUGUCCGGUGGUGCACCGGACAGUGUCCGGUGGUGCACCGGACAGUGUUCGGUGCGCCAGGCUGACUCGGCGUGAAGUGACCGCUCUCGGGAAUUUGCCGACGGCGUAUGGCUAAAAUUCACCGGACUGUCCGGUGUGCACCGGACUGUCCGGUGAGCCAACGGUCGGCCGGGCCAACGGUCGGCCGCGCGAUCUGCGCGGGACACGUGGCCGAGCCAACGGCCGGAAGGGGGCACCGGACAUGUCCGGUGCGCCAACGGCUCCCGCAUCUGCAACGGUCGGCUUCGCCAUUUAAGGAAGGAGAUCGGGCACCAGACAGUGUCCGGUGUACACCGGACUGUCCGAUGUGCCAGUCGACAGAAGGCAAGAUCAGCCUUCCUGGAUUGCUCUCAAUGGCUCCUAGCUGCCUUGGGGCUAUAAAAGGGACCCCUAGGCGCAUGGAGGAGUACAUCAAGUAUUCCUACAACAUUCCUAAGCACCAAGACAUCGAUUCCACGCAUUUGGUUCAUUGUGAUAGCAUCUAGAGCUCUUGUUGAGUUGUGAACUCAUUGAGUUGUGUUGCGAGCUCUUGUUGCGACUUGUGUGCGUGCUGUUGCUCUGAUUUUGAGUCUUGUGUGCGUUGCUAGUUUCUCCCUUACUCCGUAUUUCUUUGUGAAUCUUAAGUGUAAGGGCGAGAGGCUCCAAGUUGUGGAGAUUCCUCGCAAACGGGAUAUUGAAAGGCAAAGCAAAACACCGUGGUAUUCAAGUUGGUCUUUGGACCGCUUGAGAGGGGUUGAUUGCAACCCUCGUCCGUUGGGACGCCACAACGUGGAGUAGGCAAGCGUUGGUCUUGACCGAACCACGGGAUAAACCACUGUGUCAUCUCUGUGUUUGAUCUCUUGUGGUAUUGUGUUUUGUUGAGACUCCUCUCUAGCCACUUGGCAAUUAUUGUGCUAACACUUAACAAGUUUUUGUGGCUAUAAGUUUAAGUUUUCACAGGAUCACCUAUUCACCCCCCCUCUAGGUGCUCUCAAUUGGUAUCAGAGCCGUUCUCUUCACAAAGGGACUAACCGCCCGAAGAGAUGGAUCCUAAAGGGAAGGGAAUCGUGAUCAACGACAAGGAGAAGGAGUCCUUCGUCAACGAGCCAAGGGAUGACAAGUCCAACGACUCGGGCUCGGGCCACAGACGCAAAGAUGGGAAGAAGAAGACAAGACGCAUCAAGGAGAUCGUCUACUACGACAGCGAUGAGUCUACUUCCUCCCAAAAGGACGACGACCACAACGAAUACGAGAGAAAGAAACCGGUCAAUUCGAACUUUUCUUUUGAUUACUCUCGUAUUCCUCAAAGUACUAAUGCUCAUUUAUUAUCUAUUCCACUUGGUAAACCUCCUCAUUUUGAUGGAGAGGACUACGGAUUUUGGAGUCACAAAAUGCGUAGUCACUUGUUCUCUCUCCAUCCUAGCAUAUGGGAGAUUGUAGAAAAUGGAAUGCACUUUGAUAGUACGGAUAGUCCCAUGUUUAUUAAUGAACAGAUUCAUAAAAAUGCACAAGCUACUACUGUGUUGCUAGCCUCUUUGUGCAGGGACGAGUACCAUAAGGUGAGCGGCUUGGACAAUGCCAAGCAGAUCUGGGACACCCUCAAGAUCUCUCAUGAGGGGAACGAUGUCACCUUACUCACCAAGAUGGAGUUGGUGGAGGGCGAGCUUGGACGGUUCGCAAUGAUAAGGGGCGAGGAGCCAACUCAAACAUACAACCGGCUCAAGACCCUUAUCAACAAAAUAAGGAGCUACGGAAGCACGCGAUGGACGGAUCACGACGUCGUCCGCCUAAUGCUAAGGUCAUUUACCGUUCUUGAUCCUCAUUUGGUGAACAAUAUUCGUGAAAAUCCCAGGUACACCAAGAUGUCGCCCGAAGAAGUUCUUGGGAAAUUUGUCAGUGGGCGAAUGAUGAUCAAGGAGGCGAGGUACGUGGACGAUGCCUUGAAUGGUCCGAUCAACGAGCCGCAACCUCUUGCUCUCAAAGCAACACGAAGCAAGGAGGCGCUACCUAGCAAGGUGGCACAGUUUGAGGCGGCCGGACUUAAUGAUGAAGAGAUGGCUCUCAUCAUCAAAAGAUUCAAGACGGUGCUUAAAGGUCGCAAGGGACAGCCAAGCAAGACCAAAGCCAAGGGGAAGCGCUCAUGCUUCAAAUGCGGUAAGCUUGGUCAUUUUAUUGCUAACUGUCCCGACAAUGAUAGUGAUCAGGAUCAAGGGAACAAGAGGGAGAGAAAGAAGAACUAUAAGAAGGCAAAGGGCGAGGCUCAUCUUGGCAAGGAGUGGGAUUCGGACUGCUCUUCGUCCGACUCCGAUAAUGAAGGACUCGCCGCCACUGCCUUCAACAAGUCAUCCCUCUUCCCCAACGAGCGACACACUUGCCUCAUGGCAAGGGAGAAGAAAGUAAGCACUCAUAAUACUAGUACUUAUGCUUCUUCAAGUGAGGAUGAGUCUAGUGAUGAUGAUGAGAUAGAUUACUCAUGCUUAUUCAAGGGAUUAGAUAGAACCAAGGUAGACAAAAUUAAUGAAUUGAUUGAUGCCUUGAAUGAUAGGAAUAUACUUUUAGAAAAGCAAGAGGAUUUGUUGUAUGAAGAACAUGAUAAAUUUGUAGAAGCUCAGAAAUCUCUUGCUCUAGAAAUCAAGAGAAAUGAAAUGCUCUCUAGUGAACUAUCUUCUUGUCAUGAAACUAUUGCUAAGUUAAAGAGUUUUAAUGAUGAUUUAAAUGCUAGACUAGAAGUAGCUAGUAACUCUAAUUCUUGUGUAGAAAUUGUUGAAACUUGUAAUAGGUGUAAAGAUUUUGACAUUGAUACUUGUAGUGAACACCUAGUUUCAAUUUCCAAACUUAAUGAUGAAUUGGCUAGUCUUAAUGAUCAACUUAAGACUAGCAAGAGUAAAUUUGAUAAAUUAAAAUUUGCAAGGGAUGCCUAUUCGAUUGGUAGACAUCCCUCAAUUAAGGAUGGACUUGGCUACAAAAGGGAAGCCAAGAACUUGACAAGCCAUAAGGCUCCCAUCUCCGCCAAGGAGAAAGGGAAGGCCCCUAUGGCUAGUAGUGUGCAAAAGAACCAUGCCUUUAUGUACUAUGAUAGAAGACAACCUAGAAAUGCUUAUAGGAGUUGUAAUGCAUAUAAUGCCUUUGAUUCUCAUGCCAUGUUUGCUUCUAGCUCUUCGUAUGUGCAUGAUAGAAAUAUUGGUAGGAGAAAUGUUGUUCAUAAUAUGCCUAGGAGAAAUGUUGUUAAUGUUCCUAGGAAAGUAAAUGAACCUUCUACAAUAUAUCAUGCUUUGAAUGCUUCCUUUGCAAUUUGUAGAAAGGAUAGAAAGGUGAUUGCUAGGAAGUUAGGGGCAAAAUGCAAGGGUGAUAAAACUUGCAUUUGGAUCCCUAAGGAAAUUGUGACUAACCUUGUAGGACCCAACAAGAGUUGGGUACCUAAGUCCCAAGCCUAAAUUUGCCUUGCAGGUUUAUGCAUCCAGGGGUUCAAGCUGGAUUAUCGACAGCGGAUGCACAAACCAUAUGACGGGGGAGAAGAAGAUGUUCACCUCCUACGUCAAGAAUAAGAAUUCCCAAGAUUCAAUUAUAUUCGGUGAUGGGAAUCAAGGCAAGGUAAAAGGGUUAGGUAAAAUUGCAAUUUCUAAUGAGCACUCUAUCUCUAAUGUGUUUUUAGUAGAGUCUCUUGGAUAUAAUUUGUUAUCUGUUAGUCAAUUAUGCAAUAUGGGAUAUAACUGUCUAUUUACAAAUGUAGAUGUGUCUGUCUUUAGAAGAAGUGAUGGUUCACUAGCUUUUAAAGGUGUAUUAGACGGCAAGCUUUACUUAGUUGAUUUUGCAAAAGAAGAUGCCGGUCUAGAUGCAUGCUUAAUUGCUAAGACUAGCAUGGGCUGGCUGUGGCAUCGCCGCUUAGCACAUGUGGGGAUGAAGAACCUUCACAAGCUUCUAAAGGGAGAACACGUGAUAGGGUUGACUAACGUACAAUUCGAAAAAGAUAGACCUUGUGCAGCUUGUCAAGCAGGUAAACAGGUGGGAGGAGCGCAUCACAGCAAGAAUGUGAUGACCACUUCAAGACCCCUGGAGCUGCUGCAUAUGGACCUCUUUGGACCCGUCGCCUAUCUGAGCAUAGGGGGAAGUAAGUAUGGUCUAGUUAUUGUCGAUGACUUUCCCGCUUCACUUGGGUGUUCUUUUUGCAGGAUAAGUCUGAAACCCAAGGGACCCUCAAGCGCUUCCUUAGGAGAGCUCAAAAUGAAUUUGAGCUCAAGGUGAAGAAGAUAAGGAGCGACAAUGGAUCUGAGUUCAAGAAUCUUCAAGUGGAGGAGUUCCUUGAGGAGGAAGGGAUCAAGCACGAGUUCUCCGCUCCCUACACACCACAGCAAAAUGGUGUGGUAGAGAGGAAGAACAGGAUGCUAAUCGAUAUGGCGAGGACGAUGCUUGGAGAAUUCAAGACCCCCGAGUGUUUCUGGUCGGAAGCCGUAAACACGGCUUGCCACGCUAUCAACAGGGUCUACCUUCAUCGCCUCCUCAAGAAGACUUCGUAUGAGCUACUAACCGGUAACAAACCCAAUGUAUCUUACUUUCGUGUAUUUGGGAGCAAGUGCUACAUUCUAGUAAAGAAGGGUAGAAAUUCUAAAUUUGCUCCCAAAGCUGUAGAAGGGUUUUUGUUAGGUUAUGACUCAAAUACAAAGGCGUAUAGAGUCUUCAACAAAUCAUCGGGUUUGGUUGAAGUCUCUAGCGACGUUGUAUUUGAUGAGACUAAUGGCUCUCCAAGAGAGCAAGUUGUUGAUUGUGAUGAUGUAGAUGAAGAAGAUGUUCCGACGGCCGCUAUACGAACCAUGGCGAUUGGAGAAGUGCGGCCACAGGAACAAGAUGAACGAGAUCAACCUUCUUCCUCAACAACGGUGUAUCCCCCAACUCAAGACGAUGAACAGGUUCAUCAAAAGGAGGCGUGUGAUCAAGGGGGAGCAUAAGAUAAUCAUGUGUUGGAGGAAGAAGCGCAACCGGCACCUCCAACCCAAGUUCGAGCGAUGAUUCAAAGGGAUCAUCCCGUCGACCAAAUUCUGGGUGACAUUAGCAAGGGAGUAACUACUCGAUCUCGAUUAGUUAAUUUUUGUGAGCAUUACUCCUUUGUCUCUUCUAUUGAGCCUUUCAGGGUAGAGGAGGCCUUGCUAGAUCCGGACUGGGUGUUGGCCAUGCAGGAGGAGCUCAACAACUUCAAGCGCAAUGAAGUUUGGACACUGGUGCCUCGUCCGAAGCAAAAUGUUGUGGGAACCAAGUGGGUGUUCCGCAACAAACAGGACGAGCACGGGGUGGUGACAAGGAACAAGGCUCGACUUGUGGCAAAAGGUUAUGCCCAAGUCGCAGGUUUGGACUUUGAGGAGACGUUUGCUCCUGUGGCCAGGCUAGAAUCAAUUCGUAUCUUGCUAGCAUAUGCCGCUCACCAUUCUUUCAGGUUGUACCAAAUGGAUGUGAAGAGCGCUUUCCUCAACGGGCCAAUCAAGGAGGAGGUGUACGUGGAGCAACCCCCUGGGUUCGAGGAUGAACGGUACCCCGACCACGUGUGUAAGCUCUCUAAGGCGCUCUACGGACUUAAGCAAGCCCCAAGAGCAUGGUAUGAAUGCCUUAGAGACUUUCUAAUUGUUAAUGCUUUCAAGGUUGGGAAAGCCGAUCCAACUCUUUUUACUAAGACAUGUGAUGGUGAUUUGUUUGUGUGCCAAAUUCAUGUCGAUGACAUAAUAUUUGGUUCUACUAACCAAAAGUCUUGUGAAGAGUUUAGCAGGGUGAUGACGCAAAAAUUCGAGAUGUCGAUGAUGGGCGAGUUGAACUACUUCCUUGGGUUCCAAGUGAAGCAACUCAAGGACGGCACCUUCAUCUCCCAAACGAAGUACACGCAAGAUCUGCUAAAGCGGUUUGGGAUGAAGGACGCCAAGCCCGCAAAGACUCCGAUGGGGACCGACGGACACACCGACCUCAACAAAGGAGGUAAGUCCGUUGAUCAAAAAGCAUACCGGUCAAUGAUAGGGUCUUUACUUUAUUUAUGUGCUAGUAGACCGGAUAUUAUGCUUAGCGUAUGUAUGUGUGCUAGAUUUCAAUCCGAUCCUAAGGAGUGUCACUUAGUGGCGGUGAAGCGAAUUCUUAGAUAUUUGGUUGCUACGCCUUGCUUCGGGCUCUGGUAUCCAAAGGGGUCUACCUUUGACUUGGUUGGAUACUCAGACUCCGACUAUGCUGGAUGUAAGGUCGAUAGGAAGAGUACAUCGGGGACGUGCCAAUUCUUAGGAAGGUCCUGGUGUCAUGGAACUCUAAGAAACAAACUUCUGUUGCCCUAUCCACCGAUGAGGCCGAGUAUGUUGCCGCAGGACAGUGUUGCGCGCAACUACUUUGGAUGAGGCAAACCCUCAGGGACUUUGGCUACAAUCUGAGCAAAGUCCCACUCCUAUGUGACAAUGAGAGUGCUAUCCGCAUGGCGGAAAAUCUUGUUGAGCACAGCCGCACAAAGCACAUAGACAUUCGGCAUCACUUUCUGAGAGACCACCAGCAAAAGGGGGAUAUCGAAGUGUUUCAUGUUAGCACCGAGAACCAGCUAGCCGAUAUCUUUACCAAGCCUCUAGAUGAGAAGACCUUUUGCAGGCUGCGUAGUGAGCUAAAUGUCUUAGAUUCGCGGAACUUGGAUUGAAUUGUAGCAUACAUGUAUUUAUGCUUUUGAUCAUGUUCCUUUUUGCAUUUCGUUGCUUAGUAUGGUGCUCAAGUUGUACAAACACUCCCUGGACCUCACAAGUCCUGGUGCCAGUAAUGCACAUAUUUAGGGGGAGAUGUGUUACAACUUGACCCUUUGAGACUAACCGUUUGUUUGAGUUUGAUUGUUUUAGUCUCAAAGAAGGUUUGAAAGGGAAAGGUGGACUUGGACCGUGAAAGACUUCCACUGCACUCCGAUGAGAGGGUAACUUAUUCCAGGUUCAUCUUUUAACUCUUAUUGCCUAUUUGCUCUUAAUUGAAGAUUUUGGUGAGGCAAUGGGGUUAAAGGGCCAAGAUUGAUCCCGUUUUGGUGCUUGAUGCCAAAGGGGGAGAAAAUAAAGGCCAAAGCAAUAAAUGGAUCAGCUACCACUUGAGAAAUUUUGAAAAUAGUAAAGUAGAGCUUUUUGUUUUGUCAAAACUCUUGCAUUGUCUCUUUUGUCAAAAGUUGGCCUCUUGUGGGGAGAAGUGUUGAUUAUGGGAAAUAGGGGGAGUUUUUGUAAUCCUUGAUCAAUCUCUUUUGGAAUGACUCUAUUUAUGCUUCAACAUGUGUGUUUGACUUAGAGAUAGAGAUUUGAGUUUGAUUUGCAAAAACAAACCAAGUGGUGGCAAAGGAUGAUCCAUAUAUGCCAAUUUGAAUCAAAAUGAAUUUGAGUUUUUAUUUGAAGUGAUAUUGCACUUGUUCUAGUUGCUUUAUGAUGUGUUGGCAUAAAUCACCAAAAAGGGGGAGAUUGAAAGGGAAAUGUGCCCUUGGGCCAUUUCUAAGUAUUUUUGGUGAUUGAAUGUCAACACAAGUGCUUAAAUGUGAAUCUAUGCCCAUGGAUGAACAAAGUGCAAAUCAAGAGCAAAGGUAUGUUUCUAAGUCUUAGUACAUUGGUUUUGUGUACUAAUAUACUUGUCUAAGUAUCAGAAACAGAAAGAAGAAGAAAAGAGAAGAGUUGGCUGUGUACAGCCAAGAGGCUGUUUCGGUCUGGAGCACCGGACUGUCCGGUGGUGCACCGGACAGUGUCCGGUGGUGCACCGGACAGUGUCCGGUGGUGCACCGGACAGUGUCCGGUGCGCCAGGCUGACUCGGCGUGAAGUGGCCGCUCUCGGGAAUUUGCCGACGGCGUACGGCUAAAAUUCACCGGACUGUCCGGUGUGCACCGGACUGUCCGGUGAGCCAACGGUCGGCCGGGCCAACGGUCGGCCGCGCGAUCUGCGCGGGACACGUGGCCGAGCCAACGGUCGGAAGGGGGCACCGGACUGACCCGUGUGCACCGGACAUGUCCGGUGCGCCAACGGCUCCCGCAUCUGCAACGGUCGGCUUCGCCAUUUAAGGAAGGAGAUCGGGCACCGGACAGUGUCCGGUGUACACCGGACUGUCCGGUGUGCCAGUCGACAGAAGGCAAGAUCAGCCUUCCUGGAUUGCUCUCAACGGCUCCUAGCUGCCUUGGGGCUAUAAAAGGGACCCCUAGGCGCAUGGAGGAGUACAUCAAGUAUUCCUACAACAUUCCUAAGCACCAAGACAUCGAUUCCACGCAUUUGGUUCAUUGUGAUAGCAUCUAGAGCUCUUGUUGAGUUGUGAACUCAUUGAGUUGUGUUGCGAGCUCUUGUUGCGACUUGUGUGCGUGCUGUUGCUCUGAUUUUGAGUCUUGUGUGCGUUGCUAGUUUCUCCCUUACUCCGUAUUUCUUUGUGAAUCUUAAGUGUAAGGGCGAGAGGCUCCAAGUUGUGGAGAUUCCUCGCAAACGGGAUAUUGAAAGGCAAAGCAAAACACCGUGGUAUUCAAGUUGGUCUUUGGACCGCUUGAGAGGGGUUGAUUGCAACCCUCGUCCGUUGGGACGCCACAACGUGGAGUAGGCAAGCGUUGGUCUUGACCGAACCACGGGAUAAACCACUGUGUCAUCUCUAUGUUUGAUCUCUUGUGGUAUUGUGUUUUGUUGAGACUCCUCUCUAGCCACUUGGCAAUUAUUGUGCUAACACUUAACAAGUUUUUGUGGCUAUAAGUUUAAGUUUUCACAGGAUCACCUAUUCACCCCCCCUCUAGGUGCUCUCACUCCCCCUAAAGGUGUGCAUAUAAGUUUUGAAUACUUGUAGGAGACAUGCACUUUGAUUUGAUAUCAAGAGGGGCAAAUUAUCCAUAAUCCAAACUUUGGCACAUAUAAGUUAAAUGAUACACUUUGUAGAAAUCAAAAUUUUCAAUUGAUGCAUCAUUUACUAUGGAGUGAUAUAAAAGCUAUGUGCCGUGCUUUAACUAAACAUUUUAAGCCAUGUAGGUUUGCUUAAGUAUAUGAAUUUAAAAACUAGCAAUCCUACCAUAUGAUUUACCUAGUAUGCAUGAUUUUGAACAAAAGUACAUAACAAAUGUAAUACUAGGCAAGAAAGGUAAACUAGAUAAAAGAUAAAUAGAUACGCAUAUCUAAAAACGAGAAAUACAAUAAAACUAGUUACCUUAGUCAUGGGUGGGAAAUUUGGGUCCAAAAUUUUCACUAACCCACUUGGCAAUAAACUUGAUCCAAUAUGAUGUAUCCCAUGAUAUACAUCCCAAUUUAGCCAAGUCUCCAAAUUUCCCGAGGACCUUCGGUCCACUCACUUCCCUUUCGGGAUCCAAACCUUCUUGAUGCUUUUCAUGGUUGAAAUUAUCUCCUUUGGCACCCAGAUGCGUUUGGCCCCCUUUCCUUUGUUGGCUUGCUUGUUGGCCUUGAUUGCUAUCACCUUUCCAUUCUUUUUCUUCUUGAUCAAAUAUGGUGUAGCAUCCUUUUUGUUCACCUUUUUGAUGUAGGUGCUGGAGAUUUUGCUUGAUGGCUUUUGCUUGAGCUUUUGCCUUUGAUUAUCCCUGGUCAUCACCUUGCAUUGGAAAGACUUGUGGCCUUCCAUGUGGCAUAGCCUACAAAUCACAGUUUCUCCCUCUACAGGCUUGUUCACUCCCGCAGUGGUGUUAUCCUGUGGAGGUCGGAUUUGUUUGGCUUUGCCUUUCUUGUCAUACAAAGCCUUUCCAAGGCGAGCCACUUCUUGCUUUAAUUGUUCAUUUUCCUUUGCAACCUCAUCCGAACAUUUCUCUACAACAAUAUUCUCAACAACGACUUGGUUGCAGGAGUUAGAAUCAUCAAUUAAAUCAAAGCAGGAAGUAGAAGCAUCUCUCUUAAUUAUUUCAGGUAUUUCAACUAAAGAUGCUGCUGGGGUGCUACCAAUGUUUUCUAGCUUAGUAGUUAGCUCAUUAUUGUGUAUGCUAAGAAUUUCCAUUUUCUCUAGCAAAUUUUCAAUAGCUUCUUGGGAGCUAGCUAACUUAGCCUUAAGUUUUUCAUUCUUUUUAAUAAGGCUAUCAUCGGUAGCAGUGGAUGGAGCACUAGAUUCUAAUAGCUCAAUUUUAGUUGACAGCUCACUAUUUAAGUUUACAAAAGUUUCAAAUUUUUCUAGCAAACCUUUAUAAUCAUUUUGGGAGCUAAUCAACUUAUUUUUCAAAGUUUUAAGUUGAGUUUUUUGCUUAGUGCAAACAUCCUGGAAAAAUUCUACGGCUUCCGCAAGCUCAUCUAAAGAGGGCUUUCCCUCACCUUCAUCAUCACUACUACUUUCAUCACUAGAGGAUGGAAUGCUUUUGUUACCUCUUGCCAUAAGGCAUUUGUGUGAUGACCGUGAUGAGCGUGAUGAGGACCGGUGGCUACGCAUCCUUGGAGGUUCAUCUUCACUUGAAGAAUCAUUCCAAGUUCUAACACUUGUUAGCGCCUUGCCUUUGCUCCUCUCCUUUUUGGGUUUGGCCAUAUUUGGACAGUUGUCCCUGAAGUGGCCCUUCUCCCCACAUGCGAAGCAUCCUCUCUUCCUUUGCUUUUUCCUGUCAAUGUUAAAGAGAAGAUCCUCGACCUGCAGGGGCACACCCAUUAGAUUAAUCUUGCGGAUCAUCCUCAUUACCUUUCUGACGCGUCGGAUUGUUUCUUCGUCCUCGGAGGAUGAUGUGCAUGGCUGAUUAUCUUCAUCAUCAUCACUUUCUUCUUCUUCCUCUUCUUCGCUUGAGGAACUUGGAGUGGGAGCCUUCUUUUUGCCCUUCCUUUCAUCACAUGCAAAAGCAUAUGGUCUUGAGGAUGUUGGCUCCUCUCCCCGACUCAUUUUUCGCGACAUCUCAAAAGCCGCGAUUUUCCCAAUCACAAUGGUCGGGGUCAUGUUGCUCAAGUCCUCCAUGUUGUGAAGGAUGGUGAUGAUGCUCCCAUAUCUUUGUUGUGGUAGCAGGGAAAUAAUCUUCCUCACAAUGUCCGCAUCACCUAGCUUAUUAAUGCCAAUCGAAUUGAGCUCAUUGAUAAUUAGAUUCAAACGAGAAUACAUGUCUCUAACAAGCUCAUCAUCUUUCAUACCAAAAGAAUUAUAAUCAUUUAAGACAAGCCAAUGUUUUUGCUCACGGACAUUGGAUGUGCCGUCAUGGAGCUCAUGCAAUUUUAGCCAAAUCUCAUUAGCAGUUUUUAAGGUAAAUACUUGAUUAAAAAUAUCCAUGCUAAGAGAUUCAUACAAGCAAUUUUUGGCUCUAGCAUUUAAAUGAAUUUCUUUUUCCUCACUCGUGGUGGGUUUCUCGGGAUUCUUGAGGGGUUUCAUCUCGUCACGAGUGACUCUCCAAACACCUAGAUCAACAGCCUCUAGGUAACAAGCCAUUCUAGCACUAUAAUAUGGGAAGUUAGUGUCGUCGAAGUGUGGUGGCCUAUGGGUAUCCAUCCCUUCCUCCAAAAAGCGUCGGCUCUUUUAGCGGUGAAGCUAAAGCGUUUCAAAUGAGCUAAACCGGGCUCUGAUACCACUUGUAGGAAACGGGUGACGCCUAAGAGGGGGGUGAAUUAGGACUUCUAAAACUUUUACUAAACUAGGCCACAAUUAAAUCCCUAGAGCAAAACCUAUGCAAAUAAUCAAAACUAGAAUGUGCAAACUCGGUUUUGUCUAAGUGUUGCUGUCUCUACCGCAAAGGCUAAGUUUCAAUCUACACUAAAUAAGUAUGACAAUAAGAUUGAAACUUAAAUGCUUAAUAUAAAUGCGGAAUGUAAAGAGCUAAGUAGAGAAGCAAACUCUCAUGGAAGACGCCGGUAUUUUUACCGAGGUAUCCGGAACCACGCAAGGUCCCGACUAAUCCUCGUUGGUGCCCCUACGCAAAGGGAAGCCCACGCGAGGGCCAAGCACCACGGUCGAGUAACUCCGUAGAGAGCCGCGGGCCUUCUCCACGCGCCAGUGGUGCUCCGCUUCCGGCUCCUCUCGGACGCUCCCCGCCGUCUCCACUAUCGAGCUUCCGGCCGAAACGCCGCGGGCCUCGUUCCCUCCGGUACACGGUGGCGGCCGUGACACAAACGCGGUUGUCACGGUCUCGCAAGACUCUCGCCCCACUCGGUACAAUUACAAUGGCCCACGCAAGAGCCGAGGGGUUAUGUGGUUUGUCUAAACUCACUCAACAAACUAGGAUUCACCUAGAGCAAGCGCUAAUGCGGUCUAACUAACCUAAGCACUUCGCAAAGCACCUACGCUAAUCACCGAGUGAUUUUAUUAAGCACUUGGGUGUUUGAGCACUUGGAAAUGUCUACAAUAUGCCUUGGUAUGUUGCUUGGGCUCCCACACCUUCAAAUGGUUGAUUGGAUGAAGUAUAUAUAGGCCCCAACUCAACUAGCCGUUGGAAAGCAGACUGUUGUAAGGGUGGCACACCGGACAGUCCUGUCAGCCAACGGUGCGCCAACUGUGUGCCAACGGUGCGCCAACGGUGAGCCAACGGUGCGCCAACGGUGCGCCAACAGUGUGCCAACGCUGUGCAGCCAACGGCUAGUUCUGACACACCGGACAGUCCUGUCAGCCAACGGUGCGCCAACUGUGUGCCAACAGUGCGCCAACGGUGAGCCAACGGUGCGCCAACAGUGCGCCAACGCUGUGCAGCCAACGACUAGUUCUGACACACCGGACAGUCCGGUGCACCAACUGUGUGCCAACGGUGAGCCAACUGUGUGCCACCGGUGAGCCAACUGUGUGCCACCGGUGCACAGCCAACGGCUAGUUCUGAGCUAGCCGUUAGGUGCACCGGACAGUGAAUAGUGACUGUCCGGUGCACACCGGACAGUCCGGUGCCUUCUCUCAGAAAACUCUGUUUGGCUGUCCUGUGCGCCAACUGUGUGCCACCGGUGAGCCAACUGUGUGCCACCGGUGCGCCAACUGUGCGCCACCGGUGAGCCAACUGUGUGCCACCGGUGAGCCAACUGUGUGCCACCGGUGCGCCAGCUGACAGCCCAUCUUCUAGGUCUUCGCUGAUUUCUUCGGGCUUCUUUUGUUCUCGAGUAUUGGACUCCUAUGCAUCUUUUUAUGUCUUCUUUUGAGGUGUUGCAUCCUCAUUGCCUUGGUCCAAUUCUCUUCGCAUCCUGUGAACUAUAAUUAUAAACACUAGCAAACAUAUUAGUUCACAAGUUGUGUUAAUCAUCAAACACCAAAACUCAAUUAGCCAAAUGGCCCGGGGUCCAUUUUCCUUACAGUGUGUAAAGGGGGUCACCGGCGCGGAACCAGGGCCCUGCUGCCCCCAUAGCCUUCGGGACGCAACCUGGGAUGAUCUCCGGUGCUUGUGGCGUCUGUUCGCGGCAUUGGAGGAAUCUCCAGAGUUUUGGUAAUUGCUUGAUAGUGAGCUCCUCCGCUGUUUCGUCAUGGUGUGCCAUGGGUGGGGUCCUCCGCGUUGCACCCUUCGGUAAGGACCUCCCUUCUGUGCAUUAGCGUUGACUCUAGCUUUGAGUGGAUUUAUCGACGGGGCAGGGUAGGGCGUCUGCUUGUGGUCUUGGCACCGCGGGCCAGUUUUUUGCGAUUGCCUGUGCCGUGGUUGCGUCUGCCGGUUCGGCGCGCGAUUGGUCCCUGGUCUGGGCGGCGCAAGGAAGAAGAACAUGCCCUUGCCGUCGGAUCGAGAUGGAUGGUCGAGAUUGAAACAGCCAUACCCUUUCGCUCCAAGAAACCGUGUUCGUGGAUGACGAAAUCGACGGUGUAGAUUAGGUCUGGAUUUACCCCUUCGCGCGAUCUGAUCUGGACCUUCAGAAUCUGAUCGGGCGGCUCACGAGUAGCCAUACCCCUUUGGGCAAGAUAUUUUGCUAAAGAGUCCCUAGUGUUUUGUGGAAUCAACCCGCCGUCCGCUAUAGAUCUAAGAACAUUACAUAUGGGCCCUGUUUUUUAACAGUUUAAACCCUAUCUGUCCAACGAUUUGUGCCCAAGGUCCUCAGGUCGCCAGUAAACUAGAAGUUAAUUCGAAAACAGUUUUCAGUCGACAAAUAAAUCCAAACAAAUUUGUAUAAUCCAUAACUUUCUCAUUUUAAGUCUGUUUCAACCCGUUCAAAUUGCGUUAGUCUUUUAAUAAAAUUGUCUACGCAGUAACAGUAUUAAUUAUACCAUAUUGCAUAAUUUUAUAAUUAAAUAUUUAUUUACCCUACGUCUACUAGAUGAGCUCUUCUAAAAUCAAAGCUAACCGGGCCAUAAUUAUAAUUUGAUUAAAAUAUGGUCUCUAGUCAAGUUAUAAUUAAAAAUUAAAGUUGAGUUAAUUACUUAUAUAAUACUCUUAUCACAUGAUCUAUAUUAAUCAACAGGGGAUUAUAAACUCACUAAAAUCAAUCUAUAAAUGAAUAUAGUAUAAAAUAAAUAUACUAAUCUUGUAAAAUCCCUAUCUCCUUUGUUUUAGCUCCGAAUUAAUUAAUUCCAGUCGCAUUAGUUUCAUAUUAAUAUUGUUCUUCGUCUAGUAACCUUAUUUUAUCAUGAAACCUAUGAUUAAUAUUGUACACUUAGUUUCUUUAUGUCAUGCACUUAAAACUUCAUAAAACCAUAACUUCAUAACCGUAGAUCCGAAAUCAGUGAUUAUCGAGCCCACGAUCUCGUAGCAAUGCGUAGAUUAUUAUUACGCAAUUUGUACUUAUGUUUGGUGUAAUGUUAAUUUUGCCUAUACAAUGUUUGUUUGUAUUGCUACGACUAGAGUGAGGACACGUGUCAUCUGAAGAGCAAGUUGGUACCUGGAAUCUCAAGUCCCAGGCAAGUUGUGCCCUUGAUCACUUCUUUUUACCCACUCAUGUUAUAAUUAAUCAUAAUGAUCUGCAUAGGUUAAUUUUGAUGGGACCCAAUAGGUUACCCUAGUUUGAUUAUCUUUAUACCUUGUUUACCACUGAACUUUUUGGGUAGUACUUGAUAGUGCUUUAUGUGGUUUUGGGUAUGAAGAUACAUUAUUCAUGAUUAUACUUUUGUUAUCCGUUGUUAUUUACUGUUCAUGAUAAGAUCAUUAUGUUAAUUGGAACAUGGAGCGACCACCCGGGAAAACAGUGCUACCACAAGGGUUUAUGGACGCCCUUGGCUGAUUAAUUAGGAAAGCUAGUGGAGGACUACCUUACCCGAAAGGGGCAAGGGCAGUAGGGGAGUGGUCAGUGUAGGGAGGUCCUUGGUUGAUUUUGCUGCGAUGGCGGUCAGGCAAGAACCCUGCAUUGGAGCUUCCUAUAAACUGUAGCGGGUUUUCUGAAGCUAGUGGAACUUUGUAAAGGCCUCGUAGUGUUACCCUGCCUCGCCUCCUCGGUAGAGGUGUAUGGGAAGUCGCGAUCCUUUGGCAGAUGGGUAACAUGACUUGUGGGUAAAGAUGCGCAACCUCUGCAGAGUGUAAAACUGGUAUACUAGCCGUGCUCACGGUCAUGAGCAGCUCGGACCCUCACAUGAUUAAUUUAUGGAACUAAAAUUCAAUAUGUCAUAUGCAUUGCAUCGCAGGUGAUGUUGUUACUUUGGUUCUAUUACUUAAUUGGGUUGGUAUUUACUUAUACUUAGUAAUUGCUAAUAAAAUUUUGACCAACUUUAAAAGCAAUGCUCAACUCUAACCAUCCUCUUUGGUAAGCCUUACACUUCACAUGAACUUCCACCUUUGGCGAGUUCAUUCACAUUAUUUCCCACAACUUGUUGAGCGAUGAACGUAUGUGAGCUCACUCUUGCUGUCUCACACCCCCCCCCACAGGUCAAGAACAGGUACCACAUGAUGAGGCGCUUGGAGGAUGUUGUGAUGUGUUCGUGAGAGAUCUAGGUCGUCGUCUCCCAGUCAACUUUGGGUUGCUGGACCAUUGUCUCCUUAUAAUGUAAUUAUUUAUUUAUUUUGUAUAGAACUCCUGUUAUAUAGUAAAGAUGUGACAUUCGAUCAUGUGCCAUGAUUCAUCAUAUGUGUGAGACUUGGUCCCAGCACACCUGGUGAUUAUGUUCGCGCCCGGGUUUUGGACCCCUAAAAUCCGGGUGUGACAGAAGUGGUAUCAGAGGAAUGUUGACUGUAGAACGAAACCUAGAUAGAACUGGACAACCAAUAUUUACUUACCUUUGCUACUCUGAUUCUUUUCUGAACUUUUCUUAAUCUUUUCUCAUCUAUUUCUGCUUUACUCUGAUUAUUCUUACCUUUUCUUUCUAAAGACAAAUGUGGACUUCACACUUUGGAAUCCCGUGCAUAAAGUGACCUUUAGGAAUAGGAGACCUACACUUAGGAACAAAAUUAAAACUAUUUUAGUAAAUAUUGAUAUGCUUGAAUGCUUGUUCUUAUGAUACUUGUUUGAUUUGGAUCUUUGAUUGAGUGGGAUGAGUUGUGGAGUAAUAUCCACAAUUACAUCUGCAUAUACAUAAAGAAAAAAUGCUUAUAAAAAUAACUAGAUAAACUAGAUUAUCCCUCAUUAAAGUAUCUAGCCUAACAAUAUCCAUCUCAUCAUGAAAGAUUCUUUCCUACACUCAUAGAUCCAUCUUAUCUUAAAAGAUACUCAUCUUAUCUUGAAAAGAUUUAAUCUCAUCCUAAUAGAUCUAACUGACCUCAAAAGAUUCUACCUUAUCCUUAUGGAUUUAUCUUAUUCUAAUAGGCAUACCUAUCCCACUCUACAGUAACAACCAUGAUCUAGCCUAAAAUAAAUAGAUCUUAUCCAGUCUAAAAUAAUCAUAUCAAUUUAUUCUAGAUCUGAUCCAAUCUAAAGUGAGUUAUUUAAUGCUGGUACAAAGGAUAAGACCAUACUCCUAAUGCACUUAAACCUAAAUUAGUGCAUUAGACCAACUCAACACCGAGCAUAAGAUCUAACUCAACCAAUAGAGUCAUGAUGGUUUGUACAACCUAUCUGUUCCCACCUAACAUCAAACAAACUUUUGACCUACAUCAUGUAGUCCAUCUCACCCAUAACUAUUUCAACCAUAUGCCCCAACUCUGCUGAUAUACAGUAACCUCGAAUUAAUGAGACCAAGAGUGGAAAAGGAAAAGAUCAACCUCGUCAAGGAAGGAGAGAAGUCAAACUCAAUCUUCAGAUGCAUUACCACUCAACACGGAAUUCAUUCCCACCAUAAACUUUCGUACCUUAGGCUAUUCUUGCCCUAACCUAUCUUUCAUCCUACACAAUAAGGAGACUAUACCUAUAUAUACCCCUGCUUUCAUAACCACUUUUUAAAUAACAUGACACUUCUUAGAAGUUAAAGGCUAAACUAUAAAUAAAGCUUUUUACAUCCCUGUCCUUACAAAUCUCGAGGACGAGAUUUCUGUUAAGGGGGUAGGAUUUGUAAAACCCAAAAAUUUGUAUAAGGUAAAAAAAACAAACAUCAAAAUAAGUGCUCUUGAUAAAUAAUUGAAAUUUAGAGUUCACCCUCUCUAAAGCAAAUUAUUAUAAUGGAAUAAUAUUAGCUAAUCAUAUCUUAAUAAAGAUUAGACACUUGAAAAAUGUUUCCUAUCAAACCAAAGGAAAAUGAAUUUUUGGGUUAUAGCUUUUAAAAUUAUUUAAUACACUCAAAAUAAUAUGGUGUGUGUGUUUCAUUACCCAAAUAAAAUGAUAAUAAUAAAUAAAGUAAUUAAAUAAAUAUAUUAAGGUAAUGAGUGCCUAUCGUACUGUUUUUUCAAAAAAAAGAAAUGAAGGUUUGAAAUUCAAACAUGAGUAUGUUUUGGAAUUGGAAUAAAAAAAUCAGAAGAAAAUAAAAAGAGAAACUCACCCACUAACCUGGGCUGAAUCCCCCUCCUUGAGCCAACCUAACGGCUAAUUCGCGCCCGUCGGCCUACUACUGACUUUUCCCCCGGUCAGCCUGCUUCUCUCCUCUAGUUUCACUAACGGCUGGGUCCCACCCGCCAGAAGCUUCUUCACCAAACCAACGGUGGCGUACUCUGAAGUCUGAACACGCGCGACAGGCGCUUGGGCGAUGAAUGUCGCGCGCCCGUGAUGCACAGAAAUCGCUACCGCGACUUCCUUCGGUGCGAAAAUAGGACAGCGGCAUCACCGGAUAACAAACCUUUCCUCUUUCCCCGUGAUCCGAUCCGGUAUCCUUCAUCCCCGUACCAAUCGGGAUUUCAGUUCCUGACAGCGGGCGGAACAUGGUCGCCAUUAUCGGGUCCCCGUGAACCGCGCCAUGGCUAAUGCGGAGAGAGAUAAGCUGGAGAGGGUCCACCUUGUGCUCAUCGGAUUGCAGAGAGAUUGAGAGAGAGAACGUCGUGGUUCGUGCGGCUGGCGCAUGGACCCGCCUUGACUGCGGCACCUUCUCCGCGAAUUCGUUGCAACAGCGCGCGCAAUCGUGGGGGUCUGUUGGGAUUCACCCUCCUCGCAUCCGGAUCGUGAGUUCGUUCAUCAACCAACCCCCUGCCCCUAUAUAACCAUCAGGCCAUGAUUCCUUGCCUCCCAGCUCCGUCUCCAUCAUCUUCUAGGCAGAGCGAGCCAAGAAGGGAUAAAGGAGUUCUGUCCCGUUGUGUGUAAAGGGGGUCACCGGCGUGGAACCAGGGCCCUGCUGCCCCAUAGCCUUCGGGACGCAACCUGGGAUGAUCUCCGGUGCUUGUGGCGUCUGUUCGCGGUAUUGGAGGAAUCUCCAGAGUUUUGGUAAUUGCUUGAUAGUGAGCUCCUCCGCUGUUUCGUCAUGGUGUGCCAUGGGUGGGGUCCUCCGCGCUGCACCCUUCGGUAAGGACCUCCCUUCUGUGCAUUAGCGUUGACUCUAGCUUUGCGUGGAUUUAUCGAUGGGGCAGGGUAGGGCGUGUGCUUGUGGUCUUGGCACCGUGGGCGAGUUUCCGGCGAUUGCCUGUGCCGUGGUUGCGUCUGCCGGUUCGGCGCGCGAUUGGUCCCUGGUCUGGGCGGCGCAAGGAAGAAGAACAUGCCCUUGCCGUCGGAUCGAGAUGGAUGGUCGAGAUUGAAACAGCCAUACCCUUUCGCUUCAAGAAACCGUGUUCGUGGAUGACGAAAUCGACGGUGUAGAUUAGGUCUGGAUUUACCCCUUCGCGCGAUCUGAUCUGGACCUUCAGAAUCUGAUCGGGCGGCUCACGAGUAGCCAUACCCCUUUGGGCAAGAUAUUUUGCUAAAGAGUCCCUAGUGUUUUGUGGAAUCAACCCGCCGUCCGCUAUAGAUCUAAGAACAUUACAUAUGGGCCCUGUUUUUUAACAGUUUAAACCCUAUCUGUCCAGCGAUUUGUGCCCAAGGUCCUCAGGUCGCCAGUAAACUAGAAGUUAAUUCGAAAAUAGUUUUCAGUAGACAAAUAAAUCCAAACAAAUUUGUAUAAUCCAUAACUUUCUCAUUUUAAGUCUGUUUCAACCCGUUCAAAUUGCGUUAGUCUUUUAAUAAAAUUGUCUAUGCAGUAACAGUAUUAAUUAUACCAUAUUGCAUAAUUUUAUAAUUAAAUAUUUAUUUACCCUAUGUCUACUAGAUGAGCUCUUCUAAAAUCAAAGCUAACCGGGCCAUAAUUAUAAUUUGAUUAAAAUAUGGUCUCUAGUCAAGUUAUAAUUAAAAAUUAAAGUUGAGUUAAUUACUUAUAUAAUACUCUUCUCACAUGAUCUAUAUUAAUCAACAGGGGAUUAUAAACUCAGUAAAAUCAAUCUAUAAAUGAAUAUAGUAUAAAAUAAAUAUACUAAUCUUGUAAAAUCCCUAUCUCCUUUGUUUUAGCUCCGAAUUAAUUAAUUCCAGUCGCAUUAGUUUCAUAUUAAUAUUGUUCUUCGUCUAGUAACCUUAUUUUAUCAUGAAACUUAUGAUUAAUAUUGUACACUUAGUUUCUUUAUGUCCUGCACUUAAAACUUCAUAAAACCAUAACUUCAUAACCGUAGAUCCGAAAUCAGUGAUUAUCGAGCCCACGAUCUCGUAGCAACGCGUAGAUUAUUAUUACACAAUUUGUACUUAUGUUUGGUGUAAUGUUAAUUUUGCCUAUAUAAUGUUUGUUUGUAUUGCUACGACUAGAGUGAGGACACGUGUCAUCUGAAGAGCAAGUUGGUACCUAGAAUCUCAAGUCCCAGGCAAGUUGUGCCCUUGAUCACUUCUUUUUACCCACUCAUGUUCUAAUUAAUCAUAAUGAUCUGCAUAGGUUAAUUUUGAUGGGACCCAAUAGGUUACCCUAGUUUGAUUAUCUUUAUACCUUGUUUACCACUGAACUUUUUGGGUAGUACUUGCUAGUGCUUUAUGUGGUUUUGGGUAUGAAGAUACAUUAUUCAUGAUUAUACUUUUGUUAUCUGUUGUUAUUUACUGUUCAUGAUAAGAUCAUUAUGUUAAUUGGAACAUGGAGCAACCACCUGGGAAAACAGUGCUACCACAAGGGUUUAUGGACGCCCUUGGCUGAUUAAUUAGGAAAGCUAGUGGAGGACUACCUUACCCGAAAGGGGCAAGGGCAGUAGGGGAGUGGUCAGUGUAGGGAGGUCCUUGGUUGAUUUUGCUGCGAUGGCGGUCAGGCAAGAACCCUGCAUUGGAGCUUCCUAUAAACUGUAGCGGGUUUUCUGAAGCUAGUGGAACUUUGUAAAGGCCUCGUAGUGUUACCCUGCCUCGCCUCCUCGGUAGAGGUGUAUGGAAAGUCGCGAUCCUUUGGCAGAUGGGUAACAUGACUUGUGGGUAAAGAUGUGCAACCUCUGCAGAGUGUAAAACUGGUAUACUAGCCGUGCUCACGGUCAUGAGCAGCUCGGACCCUCACAUGAUUAAUUUAUGGAACUAAAUUCAAUAUGUCAUAUGCAUUGCAUCGCAGGUGAUGUUGUUACUUUGGUUCUAUUACUUAAUUGGGUUGAUAUUUACUUAUACUUAGUAAUUGCUAAUAAAAUUUUGACCAACUUUAAAAGCAAUGCUCAGCUCUAACCAUCCUCUUUGGUAAGCCUUACACUUCACAUGAACUUCCACCUUUGGCGAGUUCAUUCACAUUAUUCCCCACAACUUGUUGAGCGAUGAACGUAUGUGAGCUCACUCUUGCUGUCUCACACCCCCCCACAGGUCAAGAACAGGUACCACAUGAUGAGGCGCUUGGAGGAUGUUGUGAUGUGUUCGUGAGAGAUCUAGGCCAUCGUCUCUCAGUCAACUUUGGGUUGCUGGACCGUUGUCUCCUUAUAAUGUAAUUAUUUAUUUAUUUUGUAUAGAACUCCUGUUAUAUAGUAAAGAUGUGACAUUCGAUCCUGUGCCAUGAUUCAUCAUAUGUGUGAGACUUGGUCCCAGCACACCUGGUGAUUAUGUUCGCGCCCGGGUUUUGGACCCCUAAAAUCUGGGUGUGACAGUCGUGUCGGCUCCUUUCUACCCUGACAUCCUCUUCAUCCAGGGGAGAUUGGAGUCAUCGCCCAUCUUCGACGAUGAGCCUACCAUGCAAGGGGAGGAACCUCCCUAGUGUAAUGCCCGGUGACUAAGAAACAGAUGCCAGAACGUGCGGCGACAUCAUGAAGUCGGGGGACGGGAUCCAACGCAGCCCGUGUCCCGGGACAAAGCCUCGGAAGUGGGAGAAACUCCCAACGAACGAGUACACCGAGAAAGACGUAACUCCCGUCGCCAUGAUCGCCGACAGCUCAAGACCGGGAGCGAGAGCUAGCCGAACAAGACGCUAGGCUCCAGCGAGAGAACCCUCUCCUCGCUCGAAACCUGUACCCCGAUUUCACUCGAGCACUAAACACGCCGAGUGAAGUUGGAGGAGUACUAGUGCAGAUAGCCGACGACCUCCCACGAACCCUAGAUGCGGAAGGUUACCUGCGGCUGCUUACUCAGGCAGCCAAUCAUCUUCUACCUUCGCUCAUCCUGCGAACGACCUGCGUCACUCCAUCAACAGCCGACGAGACGCGUGGAGCACCAUCAGCGCUGCGCGCGACCGACGGCAAGAAAAUGAGAUAAGGCGCCGGGAGGAGUACGACCGAGAUCACGACGUACCGGCAUGAAGUCGUGCCACCCGAGUUGAGUCGGCGGCAGCUUCAACUAGUGUCUCGUUCCGGGGAUGGUCGAGACGACCUACUACCGACUCCCCUCCCCGGGACCGACGACACGAACAUCGGUAGGAGGAUACAUGCGGAGUUUCUGCGCUUACUCCGCGUCUCCAGGCCAUCCAAUGGCCUCCCAACUUCAAGGUCUCCAAUGUCAACAAGUACGAGCCUAAGCAGGACCCGGGAGGCUGGUUGACCGUCUAUACGACUGCCGCCCGGGCUGCUGGGACAACGGAGGACGUCAUGACUGCGUACUUACCCAUUAUCCUAGGGCAACACUCGCUGUAGUGACUCCGACACCUACCUCGACACUGCAUCGACGAUUGGGGUGACUUCAGUCACCGGUUUAUCGUGAAUUUCCAGUCUCUCUCUGAUAAGCCGGCACAGCCAUGGGACCUCAAAUCCAUUAGGUUUUUGAAUGAUGAGACCCUUCGAUCGUUUCUCAAAAGAUCCUCAAAAUAUUUCAAACAAUGAGGAAUCACAUCUUCGAAGUCGCUGAGGCGUCUGUAAUUGAAGACUUCUAUCGGGGAUCCAACGACUCGGCCUUCGUCUGAGCCAUACUUCAAAAGGCGCCAGCCACCUCCGAACAAUUGUUCUAGGAGGCGGACAUCUACAUCAUCGCGGAUGAGCGGGCCCAGGACCUCAUCAGAGGCACAAAAUCUGUGCCACCCGCACCACGGCAGGAUACGAACCAGUAGCUAGACAAGCGCUGGAAAAAAGGCCUCGCAAGGAGGUACACACCGACAGGCUGUCUGCCGCUCGAGCCCGCGGCGCACCCCGCGGAGGAGUGCGGACACUAGACGAAAUCCUCGACUCCUAGUGUCCAUACCACAAGGACAUGCACCACACCCUGCAGAAAUGUAGAGACUUCAAACAUUCUGUCGGGCAUGGCAGACCGUUCCAGCCACUACCACCUGAAAGUUCCCUUUGCCCGGGAACAGGAUCUGGAUGUCGCCUAGAGGGGGGUGAAUAGGCGAAUAAAAAAUUGUCACUUUAAAACUUUAGUUCUUACUCUACUCAAAGACCAGAUCGCAGUGGAAUGAAAGAUCCUUCGAGUAGGUUGCAGCGGAAUAGAAGAUCCUGUCUCAAAAUGCCCUGCACUUCAAAUAUAACUUGUACCACUGAUAAGUGUUGAAGUGUAGAUAUAAAAAGUGAGUAAGACAGAGAGUCAGCACACAAUACAGAGCGAAGCACACAGACACAAGAAUUUAUCCCGAGGUUCGGCCAAGCCUGAAAUGCUUGCCUAGUCCUCGUUGUAGUUAGCCACACCAGGGCUUGGAGUCUAUUUCAACUCCUUCCUCUGUUUGCUCAGAUCUGUCAGUAUGACAGAUAGAGCCUUCCACUAUGUUGAGUUGGGUUACAACAAAGCCGCGGCUGCUUACAAUCUUCUUGAAAGCACUCCGGCAGAGUAACAAUGCGCUCAAGACUUUGCUCUAGCUCUUUGCAGCACCUCUCCACUCUCUAAAGGCUUAUAACUUUGCCUUCACACAAACUAGAGAGAUUUACACGAGAGUGAGAGAGAGAAUCGAUCCGAGUGAUGUAUACAAUUGUUGGCUGCACUUGUGUUCUUGUUUGAGGCGCCUAGGGGUCCCUUUUAUAGCCCCAAAUGGCCUAGGAGCCGUUGGAGCUUCAUUUGGAAGCUCCCAGCCUUCCCUGGAUGCGGGUGCACCGGACUGUCCGGUGGCGCACCGGACAGUGAACAGUAACGGAUCUGAUUGGCAGUUUCCUUCUCUGGAACAGCUAGCCGUUGGUGCACCGGACAGGUCACUAUUCACUGCCCUGUGCACCGGACACAUCUACUAUUCACUGUCCUGUGCACCGGAUGCAGCUACUAUUCACUUUCCUGUGCACCGGACACAGUUACUAUUCUCUGUCCUGUGCACCGGACACAGCUACUAUUCACUGUCCUGUGCACCAGCCAACAGCACACUAAGUGAUUUUUCUUUCGUUCUUUCUCCGUUUGACUUCAACUUUUGGGAGGAUUUUCCUGAGACUUAAACAAACACAUUUAGAGUAUAAUCCAAUUGAUUUAGUCCUAGAAACUUACAUCUUUCUUGUUCUUCUCCUAGCUUUUCUGUUUCUCCUCCAGCAGAGCUCAGAAUGGUACUUUCUCUACAGAAAGAGUUAGAGAGCAAACCAAAGCACCAAACUUGUAGUAAGAGGUGUAUGGAACAUGGUUGAACACUCAAACCUUACAUACUUAACCUUUUUCAUCGUUUUACCCAAUUUGGCAUGUUUGAGGUCGAUGUUGGACUCUAAACCAUUAAGUCAACUUGACUUGAUCUAGAUUGAUAUAUCUGAGCUCCAACUCCCUUGUUCAUUUCUCGAGCUUGAUCUUGAGCCUUAUGACUUACACCACAUAACUGUAGAUGUUACCUCAUUAGUUGUAAGUCAUGUCCUUAUGUAGUGAUUCUUGAUGCAGCAUAACUCUUCUUAACUCGAUCAACCUUGACUUUGCAAGUCUUCUUCUUCACCCCUGGCUUUGGGUUCCUGGUCUCCUUGAGCUUCUCCCGUGCACUCGGUACCUCGAAGCUCUUCUUGCCUCCAUCCUUGGCUUGAUCGGUUGUCUCUGAGUUACGCACAUCGAGUCUCACUUAAGCAAUGUCCAUCUUAAUUGUGACGUCCAUUAUCUAUAGAUAAUCUAGUCUUUGGACCAUCACACUUGUUCACUUAUGUUGAACCCUGUUAGCUUUGCAUUAAGCACCUGUUCAACACUUAGCACACUUGUUAGUCCUUUAAUUGAGUUGUCAUCUAAACACCAAAACACUUAGCUUUCAAUCUCCUCCUUAGGUUGACAAAUAAUAUUUCAUUUUGCAAGUCAGUAUUUCUUUUUAAAUUGACCAUUUGCCAAUAGAACCGAGAACGGAUGGCAUCUAGUUUUUUAACACCCCGAUAGGCACCUCAAAAAAGAACAUCAUGAAAAUAGGGAGGUUGAUUAAGACUGAAUUAAUGUGCACUAGACGACCGCCAGAAGAAAGUAAUUUACCUUUCCACGUAGCUAAUCGUUUUUUGAAUCUAUCAAUGACACACUGCCACUCGCUAUUUCGUAACAUGCGAUGGGUCAUAGGAGUUCCAAGGUAUUUGAGAGGAAAAGAAUCGAUCCCACAAGCAAAAAGACAAGAAUAAUCCAUUUCAUAAUCCUUAGCUAACCCAUAGCAAAAAAGCUCACUUCUGUGAAAGUUGAUUUUCAAACAUGACAUUUGCUCAAAAGCGAUCAGGAGAAGUUUCACAUUUCGCGCAUGAUCCAAGCUAUGAUCUAGAAAAACAACGCUAUCAUCUGCAUACUGGAGGAUAGAAAGUCCACCAUCCACUAGAUGAGGAACCAAACCCAUGAAUUAGUUAUUUUCCUUUGCUCUUAAAAAUAGAAUUCCCAACAUGUUCACAACUAUAAUAUGAGAAUCAGAGAAAGAGGAUCACCUUGAUGGAGACUUGUGAGUAGAAAAGAAAGGGCCAAUUUCAUCAUUAACUUUAACCCCCACAUGUCCUCUAGAGACAAUUGACUGAACCCAAUCACACCAUUUCUGCGAGAAACCUUUCAUUUGCAUAGCUUGUUGGAGGAAGGAGCAUUUUACCUUAUCGUAAGCUUUUUCAAAAUCCAAUCAGACCAUUCAUUUUUUCCUAUGAAGUUCGUGACUAGUCUCGUGAAGCACAAUUACGCCUUAAAGAAUAUUGCGGUCAGGCAUAAAAGCAGUUUGCGAGGGGUUAAUAAUCUUGUCUGCAACCACUCCAAUUCUGUUUGUCGAGACUUUAGUAAUUAUCUUAAAACUAACAUUAAGCAAGCAAAUGGGUCGAUAAUCUUGAUUUUUCAAGGCAUUACAUUUCUUAGGUAGAAGAGUAAUGAUCCCAAAAUUAAGACUAUAGACAGGGAGAGUGCCAUUGUGAAAUUACAUGAACAAGGCUAGUAAAUCAUCUUUUAUUAUUUAUCAUAAAACCUGGUAAAACUCAGUCGGAAAACCAUCUGGUCCAGGAGCUUUAUUAUGUUCCAUGUAGAAAAUAGCCUCACAGACCUCAUCAACAGUGAAGGGCGCCAUCAAAAUUGCAUUUUCGAUAUCUGAAACCUAGGUGAUAUUGUGAGUAAUCGAUUCCUGCAGCGAUAUUGAGUUUUGUUUCGGCUUCCAGAAUUGGCCUUUAUAGUAAUUAGUGAUAUGGAGUUUGAGGUCCACCUCUUCAAUACGGGUCCCGUCAUUGUCCUCGAGGUUAUAAAUACUUUGUUUUUUAUGUUUGCUAUUGGCAACUGACUGAAAGUAUUUAGUGUUAUUGUCCCCUUCAAGAAGAUGUUUAACUUUCGCCCGUUGAAAGAGACAGAUUUCCUCUUCUCUUAAGAUAGCAGCAAGUCUUUCGUCAAUAUAUAUUUUUAGUGCUAGCUCAUUUGGCGAAAGUUGAGAAGUCUCUGCCUUUUUAUCCAACUCGUCAAGCUUUUGAGUAAGUCGAGACUUCUCCCUUCGAAGUGAUCCAGUUGUGUUCUUGGCCCAACCACGAAGGUAUUGACGCAAGACUCUUAUCUUACAUUGCCAUUUCUCCAUUGAUGUGAUUCCCCUCGUUUGUUGCUGCCAAAUCGUCGAAACCAUAUCAUGGAACCCAUCUCUAAUGAGCCAUCCUAACUCAAAUUCAAAUUGGGAGUGGGUUCUGAGCUGUAAGGUAACCCUGGCAUUGAGCAGUAACGGUGUGUGGUCCGAGCGAGAUCUAUGAAGCGCUACGACAGAGACAUUAUGGAAUUUUAGUUCUCAAUCGAUACUCAUAAAAACUCUAUCUAGUUUUCCGAAGGUUGGUGAUCUAAAUUGUUGGACCAAGUAAAAUGACAAUGCUUCAAGUCAAUCUCUUUCAUCUCAAGGCUCUCUAUGACGGUAUUAAAUAAAUUAGUCCAACGAAAUUGAAGUUAUUUUUGUUUUUAUCCUCGGGCAUUCUCAUUAUAUUGAAAUCUCCUGAUAAUAAAAGGCUAGGACUCUACACCAACUACACUAGCCAUCUCCGCUAAGAAGACAUUCUUGAGGUCAUCAUGAGCUGGGCCAUACACCACAUAAAGGGCCCAUUUAAAAUCAUCUGAUUUAUUUCUAAGAAGAAAUUUCGUGUAAAAAUCCCCCUCAUCAAUAGCUCCAAUGUCAAAAACCGCUGGAUUUACUCCUAAAAUCAUUCCUCCGGAUCUACCUGGCAAUAGUGUGCCAGAGAAAAUCAAUCCCACCACUUAUAUGCCGCAAAGUGGAUUCCGAGAAAAGUCCCUGUCCAUCGCAAAUAUCACUAAGAAGUCGAGACGAUGAUCUUUAGCUAAGGUAGAAAGAUAAUUAUGUUUAGCAAGUCUGCGAGACCUCUGCCAAAAAAUACCCUUCAUUUUAAACUAAUUUUAGAUAGGGUGACUAUUUUUUUAGAGGGACGAGAAGGCCUCCUUACUGAAGUAAAAUGAUUCGUCUUUUUUAUGACGUGGAACAACACUAACAUCAUAGCCCCACUCUAGACCGUCUUGGUCAGAGUUAUCGUCCUAUCUUUUAGUAGCAUUUGAAAGGUGAGUAUCAAUUUCAUCCUACAUCUGGCUGAUACAAGAUUACACGGAGAAGAGAUGGGCAAAGGAGAAUUUGAUAGGAAAUGGCAAGCAGCACAUCGGAUUAAGGAGUUCUAGUGAUGGGAUGCAACGGGAACUUUAUUAGGUGAACAUCUAGUGCACAAGAGAGCGAAGCAGAACUUUCCGGUGGGAAAGAGAUGAGCUAGUUGUAAAAUCGCCUGUGGUCUCACUGUGCAGUUGUCGAUCGAGAGAUCUCUUCCUUCCGGCUCCUGACCAGACCGUCGGAAUCAGUUAAUGGCACAAGUUUUGCUUCUGUUCGCUUCUAUAAAUCACUAGGUCAGUGCCCGUGCAUUACAACGGAAUUAUAUCAUAGCUCGAUAACUGAUGAGAUGGAGGACGACAUCUACGAGCCGUCCGGGAUGACGUUGAAGAGAAACUCGGACCUGUGACGCACGAGCACUGUGAGUAGUGUAGUAUACAAGAUUUAACAAGACAAUUUAAAGGCAAAAAUUCAAGAAUGAUCUUUCAUAGAACAUCAUAGUUUAGAUAUUCAGAUCAAUAAAUAUAAAAUAAACAUAAGCAUAACUAUUUAUUUAAUCUAUUUUUUUAUAAUAGGUUGAGCUACUCUUGUAUAUUUCCAUAAAUGUUAAAUCACGAGGGGAAUGGAAUGGGAAUGAUGAACGCACGAACGUGGAGAGGGCGACACACGAAACCGCUGCCAGAGAUCGACAUCAUCGGUUGGGAGAAGACUCUGAGCGUCCCUAGCGAUGCGGGUGGGCCACGGGCGGAGGUGGUUGCGGCUGGCGGAGCAAGGAUUGCGCGUGAUUGAUUCAGAGCUCGAAGGUUACUGGGCGGAGGUCAGCUGUGGGCCCAUGUGAUCGGACGGUCCAGAUUGACCGAAGGCAGAACGACAAAAACAGAGAGGCAGGCUACCCUUGCAGCUUUAAUAAGUAGUAGAGAAAAACAGGUGCAGUCUUAGUGAUAUCCAGAGCAGCUCCAUUCUUUAAUCAUAUAUCCAUCAGAGAAAUUAUACAAUGAGUCAGUGACAUCAUUUCUACAGGAGUAAUGUUGCAAGAUGCAAGAGUUUAAAACGAACAACACUACCUCGUAUUAAUAUGAUAAGAGCAUGCUGGAAAAAUAUAUAAAGAUACAUAAGUAGGAAGCUCGUUUCAAUGAAGGAUUUCCAAUAUUCUGUAUAACGUCCCAUUUAAAAUUGCUAGAAGAUAUGUAAGUAAUCUGAGCAUAAUAUGAGAGGUAACAAAUUUAAUUUAAUAAUCAAUGUGUUAAUAGAUGAGGCUCGUGCGUUGCAAUGAGAACAUAUAAUAUCACAAUAACUUAUAUACAAAUGAGUGUUAUACUACUAUGAGAUGUAGGACGACAUCUGCUAGCCAUCCGGGAUAGCAUCGAAGCGAAACUCGGGUCGCGGUCGAGUGCGCUGGCCCUAUGGCGUGAGGUCGCUCGUCUAGGUGCCGCGUGAGGUGGAGGGGACAGUCUCGGGGAGGGAGCAAUCUCCGAGGGCCAGUGGUGGAGUGGCGGCGCGCGGUCACCGAGCCGCUCGCCUUGCGGCAGCGGAGGGAUCAGAUAUACACACGACACAAAAUUUAAAGUUAAAUGAGUAGAGUUGAAUGUUGUCCAUGUAUGUAAAUUGAGAGUUGAGACCUUUGACUCCGAUUGUAAAUACACGAGUCCAUACAGAAAGCAAAAGUGUCGACAACAACACGGCGUCACUUCGUCGCAUGACACUAUGACAGCAGGAUCUGAUUCCUCCGGCUAAGAGCAGGCACUCUGUAUUGGAGGGAUCACGCUCUGUUGAAUCAUGAUCUUCAGGUUCAGAAUAGCAUGAAUGAAGGUUUGCAAGGGGCUGCAUUCUUUGAUAUGAACAAGCAAACACAUACAUGAAAUGAAGGUAAAGCUAAGGUGUAAUUCUGUAAAAAAAUCUUGAAAUGCCUCAUGUAGCAACAAAAUGAUGGAAUGGCCAAACAAGGAGUACCACCUAAUACUUGCAUAACUUGGUAAUACACAGUGUUAUUGAUAUACACAAAUUGAAUUGUGCGGCAAUCUUAUGGAGCUUACAUGUAUCGAAUGUCACUUGGUCAAAGGGGUACAUUUAAAAAGGUGAGUCUCUCCUUAGUCCUUACCCUCUGGAGAGCCCAGUAUUUCAUGAGCUGUACACAACAGUAUUUCAUGAGCUGUACACAAAUUGAAAAUAAAAAUAUUGUACAAGGGUGCAUUUCGUGGCAUACAAAGUCACAUUGAUUUUAGAGCUCGUGAUUCUUGCAUAUAUAUCUUAACAAGAUGAUGGAUCCAUCAACUUCACGAAUGUAGUUGUAUACUUGGUUGGCUGUACCAAUCACGAACUGACAGAUUCCCCUUGAAUCAGCAUGUAGUGUGACACUGUAGUACUCAAGAUGAUCUGCUACGCUCAUCCCAUAGACCCGCUUUUUCAAGAAAACACAAAUAAUAUGAAACACACAUAGGAAAUAAAUGUCCAAAAUAGAUAGACUGAUAUGUACCUGCUAUAGGUCGGGUCCUCACCAGAAUCAUCACAUACAAUCUCAUUUCUGGCAACUACAUUUCCAUCUAUGCUCUCAUGAAGUCAAACCUAAAGAUAAAUAAAUACAGAAGAAAUGGAUGGACGCUAAUCUAGGAAAAGUAUGCAUCUCUAUAAAUUCUUUUCGACUAUAACCAAAUACAUAGCUCUCUAGCGAAGUGUUGGUAUGUCCAUUCACUUAGGUAAUAAUAGUACGGUGGUAAUUGCGGCACAAUAUCGUUCUGAUGGGUCACAUGGAUUGUUCUUGGGACUUGUUCGCCAAGGCAUACAACAAAAGCAGGAUUGCCUAUCCGAGGCUGUCCAAAAGUCAUGUGCCCAACGUCCUAUGAUCCAAAUUUAACAUGUAAAAAAUGUAGAGAUAUCAAUGAAGCCAACCAUCUGAUAUAUUAACAAUACAUGCGAUGGUAUCACAAAACAAGUACAUGUUAUUUGUAGAGCAUAUAUUGAAAUUUGGUAUAAUAAAUCAAGUACAUUAAAAAUACUUACAAAUAGACCAAGGGCACAAAAUGAAGCUAGAUCCCCUCCAAUGGAGUGUCCCACAACAUUUACAGGUAGAUUUCCAUAUGUUUUUCUUGCCCAUUUAAUAGACUUCAGGAUCUCAUAUAGCAGAGUUGUACUAUCAUAUGCAGAAGAAAACCUAUGAUGGACCUGCAACAUUAGACAGACAAGCAACAGGCAAACACAAGUCUGGCACAGGAAAAAUGGUAAUAAAGAGUGACAUAUUCAAAGAUGCAUAUAUUCUAUCCCAAACCAUUCGAUUUUUCCAAGGGACUCCAUGUCUGGCACAGAAAAAACUCCACAAGUGUUAAUAUUUUGCCAUCACUUAGAGCAACUAUACAUGUGAGAACGAUUCUGUUUCCAUGCUUAGCACAUAUCACCACCGUGAAAUCUGCACAUCACAUCGUCUAUUACCAGGAGUUGGCAUCAGGACUAAAGAGUGAAAUACUUGACAAAUUGUUAGGCCUAAAUGUGUUAAAUUUUGUUAUGAGUCCAGUCAAGGUUAGUAGCCACUCUGCACAUAGACAGAAACAUGAUCCCCAUUCACCUCUACUGGGCAAAAUAGUUAUACUGACUCUGUCAAAAAUUAAAAUUUGUUUUACCUUUAAAUGAAUUAAUACAAUAAUUAAUGUAUGUGUUUCAUAUAUGUGUCUAGAUUCAUCAUCAUCCUUUUGAAUAUAGACAUAAAAAACAAGAGCUACAAUGACUAAUAUUUUGGGACGGAGAGAGUAUUUGUCUUGGUUUAGAAGAACUACGGAUGGCAAACUCAAACUCUGAAGCAGUGAAGCCUCGAGGAGGGUGUUUAUUGCUCUGUUAUCUAGACCAUUUUGAAUGAUACUAUGAUAGAAUUGAGCCUUCCAAUGUUCGGGGUUUCCUAACCACAAUCGUGUACUGCCUUACAAUCAUCUCUAGAGCAAGGAGGGCCUCUCGGUACCAAAACAUCCCAUAUAACUUUAGCUUUCAAGGCAAAAAAAUAUAUUUUUCCUUCAUAAUAUAAAAUGAUAGUAACAUUACACAAAGAACUCACAAGGCAGAAGGAGCAACGAUAAUAGCAUCGUGGCCCAAUUUAUUGUCUUAUUUUGCUUUUAUAUUACUUUGUGUUGAUCUUCUACAACUACUUUUGUGUGAUAUAUCAUGGCUUAUCAACUCAAGGCAAGAAGCAAGGCAGAAGGCAAUCAGUGCAGCCUAGCAGUAGUAGCUCUAAUGUUUUAAAAUAUCAUAAGUUAAUGUCAAGGAUAUUAGCUUUGACAUACUUGAAGUUUUAUAGACCAAUAUAAGAUUAUCAAUCGUGAGCUUGUGAUGAAGUUAGAAACUAAUUUCACCUGAUGCAUUUGAUUGUUGUCCUCAGCAGCAGGCUCACUACUUCCAUCACCCAUAUCAAAAAGCCCAACCCUCUUAUUGUUGUUACCAAGGCUACUUUGGUAUCUGCAAAAAAAACUUUUGAAUUAGCCUUAAAAUUUACAAUAAGUACCAAGUGGAACAAAUGUGGAGGUAUAACAAUUUAAAUUAGAAGUUUCUUAAUUUUAGUAGUAUGCAUCUUUGUAAUUAAGAUUAAAAAAGCAUAGAACUUUCUAUUUCAAGAACUGUUUUCUGUACAGUGCACUUGCGUUUUCCUCAAGGCGACGUAGGAAUUCAACUCUUUGAUCUGUACAGUGCACAAGAAACAUUACAAAAAUGUGUAGGGUGAAAUACAAUCAGGCUACUGGAAUUACCAAUCAUGAAUUGUUUUCUGUCAUUUAGCUGCUUGUUGAUCACAGGUGGAUUAUUUGACUCCUCGUCUUUAAGAAUGCGAUCCUUUUGGCCAUGCGGCAAUGCAAUGGAAAUGGGAUGUCAAGUGAAAGUGGAAACUCGAAUAAUCCUUUUAAGGGUAGUGUAACUUAUGAUAGUGAAAUAAAAUUAAUAUAUAGGAUGACUAAAGACACCACACCUGAAUAGUUUGAAGGAAGAAAAUAAGAACAGAUCAAACACUUUUGUUACUCCUGUCCUUAGGUUGCUCAGGUCGACCAGAAACAUACAUGCCAUUGCUCAACUGAUGCGAAAUCUUGAACUCAUACUCUGAACCAGGAUAUCAACUGUAUCUCAAGUUUUGACCCCCGUGCUAUGUAAUCAACAUGCUAUAUUUGGGUCUUAACAUGCACACCUUCUCUUCUUACAGUAAGACUUACACCUUCCAUGAGCUCCUUAAAGCAUACAUUGAAUUAAACAAUUGAAGUUAGAUGAACUCCUGGUACUACAAGAUCAAAUUGCUAUCAUGGCAAGUUGCUCCUGUGAAAAAGAUGCCAUCUAAUGUUGACACAACUGGAUUACGAGCAAAUUAAGGUUCCACAGAAUUAACGUAUUUCUCAACCCGUCAUGCUAGGUGCAGAAGAACCAUCCAAAUAGCAUCAGACCAUUAUAUUGUUAGAAAAUGGAAGAUGACUCACAAACUUCUAAGAAAAUACUGAAACCAAUGUUUUAAAAACAAAAUACAAGGAAAAAACCUAUGAGGAACAAGGUACCAUGGACAAAUAUUUCAUUUUAGAGGCCAUCUACAAUCAAAAAAAUACAAACAAAAAAAUACACGAGUUUCAAUUUUUCCAUAUCAAUUCAAGCAAGAAACACUUAUUAUUUAUGAUGCUAGUUGGACAUUGUCAUAAAAACAUACCUCAUUAGCCUGUCCAAAUAAUACAUGGUAUGCUGCUCUAUCUUUAAGCAACUUGACCCUUAGAGAGAGAAAACCUCCGUACAUGUUCAAAGUUGUGUUCUCCACGACAAAUGUUUCUGAGACACCAGGUAGCAUGAGGAAACAAUAUUAACAGCUCUGUAACUAUAUAAAAAUUUCUAACAAACUAAAAUACAAUAAGUUUAAGACAACUUUGGUUGCAUAAACAUAUAAAAUCAAAUUAGAAAGGAACAUUGGAUAGAAUACAAAGAAAAGAUCCAUGAAGACGCAUAACCAAAGAAUAGAUGAACCAAACUACUGCAAAUUCAUGACUAAAAGCUCACUGUAAUUGACUUGCUUCAAGAACACAAUAAUACUACUGUGAAUAUGUGAUACAACUUAAUCAUAGUAGUAAAAUUACAUCUGAUGUUGUAUUUGGUAAAAAAAUAUUUUUUCAGAGUUCAGAGCCAACAACUAAACUCAGGUGUUACAAGGUACAACGAACCUUACUAUUCAGAUUAUUAAUAUAAAAACUCAAGACAGGUGUAAUCCUCAAACAAUCAUAAGCAAUGUGUAUAGGAAUUUUAGACAUAAUGGUGCCUACCACAUGCUUUAGUAUUCAGAUUAUUAACACAAACUCAUGACAUAAUGACCAAAAAAUAUUACACACAAACAUGGACAUAAUGUUGUUUAGGAAUUUCAGACAUAUAUAGAGGUCAAAUAGAGGAAUUUCAGACAAUGAACAAUUAUCAUCAUCAAUAGGCUAGAGUUCAAAUUCUUAAUAUAUGAACUUGACAUAUAAUAGUGCCUCUAGCAGUGUCGCCUUAGUUUAAAAGCAGUAAUAUGGCCUAGAGAGGAGAGGAGAGGAGAGGAGAGAAGAAAAGAGAAGAGAAGAGAGGAAAUAAACAAUAUCUAUUGCUUUCCAUAUAAACUCACAAAGUUAUAUAUAUUCCAAUCCCAUGGAGAGAUGAGGGGAGGAGAGCUACAAAAACCAAUUAUGUUAUGUUUCUCCUUUCAGGCCUAACCCUAUGCAGCAGCAUAUUCAUCCAAGAAACCAACAACCUGUAACAUAUCCCUUAUUAUCCUACCCAUUACAAACUUGUCAUUAAAAUUAAAUUCAGUAUUGACUAAUAUUAUCUCGAUCAAUCUUCAAGGACAUCGAGCUCGAUUUUGCUAUGCCACAGAGAAUGGUGCAUGUGGACCCUUCUUCCUUAUAUGCAUCAGGUGGUCUAAAGUUGGCUUUAACCUUUAGCCCACCUUACAUUAGAGAUUUGGACAUCAAAAGAAAGCUAAAACAUUCUAAAGCUUUUAGAUCUCUAGGUUUAGAAGAGGGAGGCAAACAUGCCCUAGAAUAUUGGAGAUCGCAGCUGCUGCUAUCACCAAGUAACACACUAAGAUAUCGAAGACCGCAACUGCUGCUAUCAUCGUUUAAAGUACAGGAUUCAGUGGUGGUGCUUUUGCUUCUACCUUAACAACUAAGAUCUCAAUCCAUCUUAAUUUGUCCAACCAAACUCUGAAUGAAAAAAAGGAAUCGCAUUUCAGGAAUGAUUGACGAGUUAGCACAAUGCAGGUUCAGAACCUUUGGUUAUUUCCAAAAUAAAGACUUGCAUGUAUGGCUAUAACAAUUUAUACUUUUAAAAAUGGAUACUUAUUGAGACCUGAUAACCACAUUCAGCUAGCUUAGCAGGAGGGAGCAUGCUAACUCAUAAUGCCUUGUAAUUACUGAAUACUGAUGAACCAGCGGAGCCAUACCUCAUUGAUAUCCUCAAGUAGCUCUGACAAACAAAUUAGGGGACAUGACAAACAAAUUAGGGGACACUACCUCUGCGUAUCUGCACAAGGGCCCAAGAGAGGUGGGGCCCGACCAUAGGAACGGAGCUCUCAGCUCCCACACCAUGCACUAGUGAAUGCGAGCAGCUGAUCUGGCCUUCCAGUAAUCCGAUCUGCAUGCAGGGUGAUCCAGGAUUCACGUGGAUAAGGAUGAAAUCAAGAGAGCGCUAGCUAGGAUCACACACCAAUAGCACAAGGAAGGAAGGAAUGAGCGAGCGAACCUUGAGGAAAACAUCACCGACGGACUUCUUUGUGUGGCUCUCCGUCGUUGGUCGCAACCCCCGCCACCGCCCUCACUCGUCGCACAUCGUGCUGUGGUCACGGUCGGGGCUGCCCUUCCGUCCGGUCGACCGUUCGAGCAUGGGGUGAUCAAGCAGGACUCGAGGAGGAAGUAGCGGAUUUAUGGCGACGGAUCGGGGUAGCGGGGCCGAGUGUGGGUUGUUGGCUUUUUGCGGCCGUGGGCGUGGAAGGCGGGGGUGGGGUGGGCGGAGGGGUCAUGAGCUAGAGGGGAGAUCGUGGAGGGAGUGAGCAGUUUGGAUAGAGAUCGUGGGGGAUUUCUUUGCGCGGGCGUCUUGGAGUGAGCGGGUGCUCCUGAGAUGGCUGAGAUCGACGAUGAAUAGGAGAGCACGGGACGGAGACGACGCUAGCAGGAAGAGCUAGAGGGCGAGGGCUCGUUGGGCAGAGAAAGCAAGGGAGACUGACUUUGGAAUAUUAUUUGUGUAGCUGAAGUCAAGCUUUAUUGCAUAGCAUGUUCUGACUUUGGAAGGUGCAACUAAGACAGCAGCCGCACCUACCCCGAAGGUUCCCCAAGAACCGUCGCAGAACAUCAUCCAAGCUUCAGCAUCUUUAUUUGCUUCUUCUUCCUGAGCCCCUGGCGUCCAGUCAGCGAUAAAGUAUGCUAGCGCCUGGGACUGAAUCGAGGAUCUAUGCACAUAAUCAAUGCUGAAUUCGUUGAGUUCUGCAGCCCACUUUACAAUCCUUCCAGUAGCUUCUCUGUUCCUCAUGAUGUCCUUCAGAGGCUAUGACGAAGGAACAAUUAUAUGGAAUGCUUGAAAAUAAUGCUGAAGCUUCCUGGAGGCCAUUAAGACAGCAUACAACACUUUCUCCAAUUCUGUAUAAUUUUUCUUUGAGAAGCUUAAAACUUCGGAGACAAAGUAUACUGGGGCUUGCUUUUUUAUUUGUCCUUCCAAUUUCUCCCGCACAAGCGCCGCACUCACUGCAGAGUGCGAAGCUGCCACAUAUAAUAGUAACGGAGCCCCUGGCGCAGGUGGAGUUAAUGUUGUUAUAUCAAUAAAGUAUUGCUUCAGCUCUUCAAUGGCUUUCUGUUGAGCUGGGGCCCAUUGAAAGACUACGGCUGACUUCAGUAUUUCAAAGAAUGGCAAGUUUCUUUCUGCUGAUCUAGAUAUAAAUCUAUUCAACAAAGCCAAUCUUCCUGCCAACCGCUGGGCCCCCUUCUUUGUGCUCGGUGGUUCCAUUCGAAGGAUAGCUUCGAUCUUGCUUGGGUUAGCUUCAAUCCCCUUCAUCGAAACCAGACAGCCAAGGAACUUGCCCUUCUUCACUCCAAAGACACACUUUUCAGGAUUUAAUUUCAGGCCAGCUUGUCUGAAAUUAGCAAAUGUUUCUUGCAGAUCAGUGAUAUGAUUUUCUUGCUUCGUGCUUUUUACUAUGAUAUCAUCAACGUAUGUUAGCACAUUUCUGCCUAUCUAGGAAUGAAGGACCUUGGCUAUCAUCCUGUUGAAACUGCCUCCAGCAUUUUUGAGCCCCUCACGCAUCCGAAGAUAGCAAUAGGUUCCACUAGGGGUUAUGAAGCUAGUCUUCGGCUCAUCCUCCUUCUUCAUCCAAAUUUGAUGAUAUCCUGAGUAGCAAUCCAGAAGACUCAUAAGUUCUAACGAAGCUGCUGCAUCCACAAGAGAGUCUAUCCUUGGUAAUGGAAAUUCGUCCUUCGGACAUGCCUUGUUAAGAUCCGUGAAAUCAAUACACAUUCUCCAUUUGCCAUUGGCCUUCUUCACCAUAACAGUAUUGGCUAACCACUCUGUAUAUUUCACUUCUCUGAUGACACCAGCACUGAGAAGUCUUUUUACUUCAUUCCGAGCACCUUUGGCUUUAUCAUCAGACAUUUUCCGAAGCCUUUGCUUUCUAGGCCUGAAGGAUGAUCGACAUUGAGUGAAUGUUCAAUGACAUCCCUGUUGACACCACAGAGAUCAUUGGCUGACCAUGCGAAAACAUCUUUGUUGUUGAAUAAAAACCUUAUCAAAGUUUUUUCCUGCUCUUCAGAUAAUUGAGACCCCAGCAGUACCUUCUGCUCUGUUAUGUCUUCACAUAGAAGCAUGGGCUUCUACUGAUCAGCCGAAGCAGCCUUCUCUCUUCUGUACUUGUACUGCUCAUAAGAUUUAGCUCCAUCUAUAUUGUGGAUGGCUUUUGAGUCUGUCCAAUUUCCCUUAGCCUUUCUGGCAGCUUCCUGACUUCCAUGAAUUGCAAUAGGCCCUUGUUCCGAAGGUAUCUUCAUGCAUAGGUAUGCUGGAUGAAGAAUUGCUUCAAAAGCAUUAAGUGUCCCACGACCAAUGAUUGCAUUGUAGGGGUACUCCAUAUCAACAAUAUCAAACACAACAUGUUCGGUCCUUGUGUUGUGGACAAAUCCGAAGGUCACUAGCAUUAUGAUCUUGCCAAGUGCUACGAUCUGCCUUCCUCCGAAGCCACAAAUAGGGUGUGUAGCAUCAUGAAUCUUGUCCUCUGGCUCUUGCAUCUGUCUGAAGGCCUUAGCAAAUAUGAUAUCCGCUGCACUGCCUGUAUCAACCAGAACAUUGUGGACCAGAAAUCCCUUGAUAACACAAGAGAUAACCAUAGCAUCAUUAUGAGGGUAAUCCUUGAGCUGAAGGUCCUCCUGGGAGAAGGUGAUUGGUAUGUGGGACCAUUUUGACUUGAUGAAGGGUCCCUGCACCCCAACAUGCUGCACUCUUCUCUGAACCUCCAUCUUUUGCUUCUUGUUGGCCGGUUCUGAACAUGAACCGCCUGUUAUCGGGAGCACCAGCUUCGUAGCCGAAGUCGUUUCAGCUUGGGUUUUGAAUGAAGCCAUCAGCUCAAAAGUGGAAGUGAGUUCACCGGAGGUGGGCGCCAAUGUUGGGGACUUGUUCUCAAAUGCUAUGAAUCAAGAACAAGGCAACACAAUGUUAAAGGUUAAUAUCCUUCGUCCUUCGAAGCAUUAUUUCCCUUAGGAUAUAACGAUCUUCGGACGAAGGUCAUGAAGGACGUACCUUCAUCAUCAUGAUAAGUGAUAAUGAAAGACAAAGCAUAUGAAACAUGAAAGAUAACAUGAACAAUCAUAUAGCAUUAUUCACGUAUCUUCAUUAUACAAAUUCAAGUAUUUAAAUACAAAAUUUAAUCACAUUUAUACCUUCGGCUUGACAGAAGGCAAAAAAUCCAAGCGUUGCACAUGAGCCAAUACAAGAUAGCAUGAACAGUACAGGGGUACUGUUCAUCUAUUUAUAGGCACAGGACGCAGCCUGUGAGAAAUUACAUUCAUGUCCUUUACAAAGGUUUACAAUCAUAAUACAAGCUAUCAUGGGCCGAUUGGUCAUUUCAUCUUUAAGUCGGUGCAUUUGGAAAUGUACUCUGAAGCCCUUUGAUUGAUAGCUUCGGUUUUGUACCAGUCUUCCGAAGGUGUUUCUUCUUAUGGGACCUUCGGCGACGAAGCAGGCCCCUAACAACCGCAUUCCCACACGUGUUAUAGAUAAUACCAGCCCUCUAGAACGCCUGUUUCAAAAAUCACCUAAUUAUUCUUUGCUCCGAGUGUUUGGUUGUGCAUGUUGGCCUAACCUCCGCCCAUACCAAAAACGAAAACUCUCCUUCCGCUCAAAACAAUGUGUUUUCAUCGGCUAUAGUUCCUUGCAUAAAGGAUACAAGUGUUUCGAUCAUGAUUCUAGUCGAGUCUAUAUUUCUAGAGAUGUCAUUUUUUACGAGCAUGUUUUUCCCUUUGCACAUCUCUCCCCAGGCGCUACUUCAUCACCUGAUACUCAAACUAAUUCAUCAUUACGCAAUAUGCAUUUAAAUGAUGGCAGUUCUAAUGUGCAGCAUGGCUUUAUGCAAUUACCUCAUGUGUUUGUUAACCACUUGAAUGCAGAACAUAUGGUGGAAUCUGUCUCCAGAGCACCUUUGGGAUCGUCGCCAGUGCAUGCUGAGGUCCCAUCACCAUUGGCAACACCACCCGUUAAUGAUGCGCCCAUCAUUCUGCCCCUGGACUCUACGGGUCAUGCACCUGCUACUACUGCACCGGACACUUCUUUGGCGCCAGUUCCGGUCUUAGCAGCCUCUAGUUGUCCUGCAUCAACCGAGAUGGCAGUCAAGGUAUCUAACGAACCAACUUCACAUAUCACUGCUCUUUCUGAUCCGCUUUGGCGCCAAGCCAUGCAAGAAGAAUUUCAGGCGCUGAUUCAAAAUAAUACCUGGCAUCUGGUACCUCCGGUCGAUGGUCUCAAUGUGAUUGACUGUAAAUGGGUGUUCAAGUUGAAGCAUCAUUCUGAUGGCUCCAUUGAGCGUCAUAAAGCCCGCUUAGUGGCAAAAGGUUUCAAGCAGCAAUAUGGUGUUGAUUAUGCUGAUACUUUCAGCCCGGUUGUCAAACCAACUACUAUCAGAUUGCUUCUUUCUCUUGCAGUCUCUCGUGGUUAGAACAUACGACAAAUUGACAUCAAAAAUGCUUUUCUUCAUGGAGUAUUGAAUGAAGAUGUCUACAUGCGGCAACCUCCAGGGUUCAUUGAUGCUAAAUAUCCCAAUUAUCUUUGCAAAGUGGAUAAGUCUUUAUAUGGCCUUAAGCAAGCACCACGUGCGUGGUUUCGCGUCUAAGCUCCAAACUUAUUGAGUUCGGAUUCACAGCUUCCAAAGCUGAUGUCUCUCUAUUUAUUUUCAAUAAGGCCAAUCUUCAUAUUUAUAUGUUGAUCUAUGUUGAUGACAUCAUAAUUAUCAGUUCUUCUCCAACGGCUACUAAAAAAUUGUUGCUCCAGCUUCAAGAGGAUUUUGCAGUCAAAGAUUUGGGUUAUCUCCAUUACUUCCUUGGCAUUGAGGUGGCUCAUUAUCCUGAUCGUUUGGUUCUGUCUCAACACAAGUACAUUCGAGAUCUUCUAGCCAAAACCAACAUGGCAACAUCCAAAGGCGUACCAACUCCUAUGCUGCCAACAGAUAAAUUAUCACUUGAUGGAGGCGACCCCUUAUUUCCUGAAGAUGCCACAAGAUAUAGGAGUGUUGUGGGAGCUCUCCAGUAUCUUCUUCUGACACGACCGGAUCUCUCUUUUUCUAUUAAUCGGGUCUGCCAAUAUAUGGUCGCACCAACCACUAUGCAUUGAGCUGCUGUGAAGCGUAAUCUACGGUAUUUGCACGCCACCUAUGAUCUUUGUUUAUGCUUCAUGAAGAUCGGUUCCUCUCUUCUUAGUGCCUUUUCGGAUGCUGACUGGGCUGGUAAUCCGGAUGAUAGGCGUAGCACUGGAGGCUAUGCUAUGUUUUUUGGUGGGAAUCUAGUGUCUUGGAGCUCUCGAAAACAAUCUACAGUCUCUCGUUCCAUUGCUGAAUCUGAAUACAAGGCAAUCGCUGAUGCCACAGCUAAACUUAUAUGGAUACAGGUUUUAUUACGAGAACUUGGUAUACAGCAGGAUUGUCCACCUACACUCUGGUGUGACAAUCUUAGAGCCACCUAUUUAUCAGUGAAUCCUAUUUUCCAUCGCCGUUCUAAACACAUUGAGGUCGAUUAUCAUUUUGUUAGGGAACGGGUUGCGUCUCAUCAAUGGGACAUUCGGUCGAUCUCGACGAAAGAUCAGCUUGCUGAUGCAUUUACCAAACCAUUGGUUGGACCAGCGUUCACGCAAUUUUGAAACAAUCUUGACUUAGUUUUUACGCGUCCAGAUUGAGGGGGUGUUAAAGAUAGAAACUCUGAUCUAUUCUGAGUAUAUAAUCCUCAUGUUUAGGAAGUUGUGUCUCUUGAUUGAUUGCGUGAAUCACGCUUGUAAUCCUACCAAACUUGUACUCUAUGAUGCUAUAUAAGAUGACCGUCGUGGCUCUUGCCAGGCAGGCUAUUCAUGCCAACCAACACAAUCCACAUGAAUUAGGAUCAAACCGAUCAGAGCACUGGUGACGUAGCUAACCCGGCACGAAAAUGUAUUACAUGAUUACAAAUUGUGCGACCAUUGCAACUGCAUUCGACAACAAUUGCUUGAUGGUAGCCAUACCAGGAAUCACAUAAUGAGCAGCACCAAGGAGUCAAACCUUUUAUACACCUGAUCCUUUAUCUAAUUACCACCUAUCCUGCAAGAACUUGGUGUAGUAGCUGAUGGUCGAUAGUCUCCCAAUGCUCGUCGCAGUACUCAUCACCAUUGAUCGUAGUCUCGCAACCGCAAUGUAGCCAAGCAUAGAGCCUGAACAGUGUAGAAGCAUUGUUGCCCAAAGUCAUAGAGAUGGAGGUGCCUGUCAUGCCUUUGACUGCCUGCUCAGGCCUUGAUGGGAAGUUGUGAAGCAUUAAGCCAAAAGUUCACAAGUAACAGAAGACACAAAAUACUUGCUUAAACCUAACCUAACUUUUGGAGUGACCAAGGUAGGUUUUGGUUCAGAGGACGAGAAGACAUGGAAUGGGGUGAUCCUAGAUUUGGAUUAGGGCCUCACAAAAAUAUACACGGCGAGCAAAGUGAACUGCUUCCUCUUCAAUGUCUCCACCAAAUCAUGCCCAAUGAAAAUGGAAACAAAGCGAAAUCCUAUCACCAUAGCUAGCUUGAUGGUGAGGUUCUAAGAAACCUGGCACUUGACUCUAUUUCAAUUGGACUGAAGAAAAACAAAACAGUGCAAUAGGAACUUACACCCAACAUCUUGAUUAGAACCUUGAGGGGAAAUAUCAGUAGAUCACUACCGUAACCCAGAUUGAGGAAUUUGCAUCUCUUCGGAACCAUAUUCAGAAUGUCCAUUUUUCAGCCGAAUGAAGAAGAUAACAUCACUUGGAAAUAGCCCGCACGUGUUUGGGUAAUACAACACCAAUUUAGCAUACAAAACUUUAGUCUUAGGCUCCUAUCGACAAUACAGAACAAACACUAGUUGGUCAGCAGCACAUGAAGGAAAUGAUUGUGAAACUUUUAACCUAGAUUCGCACCCAAAAAAUCCUCAUUGUGAAGGAUCGAAUAAGGCGACUAAAGAGGGAUGAAUGUGAGCUAAUAAAAAUGCAGUCUUGACUUGCUUCCUAAUUUUACAACCUAACCCCCCAAAACUCCAAACGAUAUAUAAGAUAUGUGGAAGCAUCUGCUGGUGGCUAAAUGUUCUUGGUGAUGACUGGAGAUCACAAGAAAGCGCCCAAAUUGGCUAUAAAUGGGUUUGCAAGGACAAUCUUUUAAAACUAGAAAUUGAGCACUUAACCUCAAUAGAAAUGAAGAGAGUGAUCAAACCAAAAGCAUAUCAACCAACUUGUGGUUCCAUGUUUCGAAACAUUCCUGUGGUAUGCAUGAGUCCAACCAAACAAAUGGAUUGCAAAACAAAUAGUGAAAAGUCUGAAACGACCUAAAAUCGUAUCGCUUACUCAGGCUGAUUUUAGUAGCCCCGAAUUAAGUUCCAAAAUGCAAAAUUGAUCCAAAUGGACUCCGAUUAGGCUGAAAUUUUGCACACAUUUUCGCAUAGGAGUUUUAAAGGCUCAUACAAAAUCUGAACUAAAAAGAAUUAAAAUUCAAAUUUAGAACUGAAAAUACGAAUUUGGAUUGGGGUUUUCUAAAAAUGGCUCAAGGGAAUGGAAAAUUAUGUUCUAGGUGAAUUAAUCUAUACCACUUGGUGGCAAUGAUCCUAAGAGAUCAUAACACGUUUCUAUUCAACCCAAAUGAGCCCAAGAACUCAGAUUCGCAAAAUUCCUCAAAAACUCAAACUAGAGUAGUAGAGAGGAGAAGACACAACUCAUGAUCAAACCCCAUCAGAUUUGGCAUGAAUUGAAAACCCCAAAGGGCAAUGUGUGGUUCCAACCACACUUCCUUAAAAUCACACAAACUUAGAUGUAAAGGUUUAAAUCAUCUAAGGAUCUCCUAAUAAAAUGAGAAGGAAAUGAAGAUUACAAGUAAAAGAGGUACUAGAAAGAUGGUUGAAUGGUUUGGAUCUCCCCUCCUAUUUAUAGAGGGUUAUUCCUCUUUCCUAAAGUACCCCUAGAUAUAACUAUCUAUCCACUCAGCCAGGAGCAAAAUGGAUCAACUCUUGGAUUUUUGAUCUGACAGUCACAAACUCUUCAUGAAGUUGCUUCACCUAGACGCACCCUCUGUGAUGACACUACAUGUUGGCUCUGAUUCCCUCCAAAAUCGUGCCACCGAGUUUUGAGGCCCAAACUCAGUUAUACCCGCGAACUGUCAUGUUGGGUGGUUUUGAGGCUCAACCCCUGAAACCCCCGCAGGUAGAGUACUUCAUAUUCAUCCCCCAAGUCCUAGACAUGUGCCAUGCUAGUCCGCAAUCGUGUUGGUGACAUGAUCUGCUUCUCUAUGCCCUUAUGUUUGUUAGUGUCCCAUGGUUUCAGCCGCCAUAGCUAGUCAUCCGGCUUCUCUAGUCCCUCGGUCAAGACUCAGCGCUCGUCAUUCGCCGCUUCUGGUCUAUCAUCAUGAACCCACAUGUCCUUCACCUUCACCAUCGACCACCAUCUCAAGACUCCACACAUACGCCACACAGACCAAGAGACAUGUUGCAAAAAUACACUCAUGUCCCAGUUAGUCCACAAGACUCAACCUAAGACACUACAUUUGUUGACAAUCACUCAUCACAAAUUGAACCACAAGGACAUAUAUCAACCUUGUGUUUGCAAUAUCCUCCUUGAUGAGUGCAUUAUCAACACGACCGCACAAACACAAAGAUUGGCAGAAAAGAAGGAAGAACUCACUCAAAUGAAAAAAUGCCAUACAAAAGCCAAUUCAAGUCAUUGGGAGUGAGCAAACCUUGGUCCCCAAAGAUAUGGGAAACAACUCAAUAUAACCAAGAAAAAAUGGCUAGCCCUCAAGAAGAGGCAAAAGCGGCUCAACAACACUAACCAACAAUCAGAGCAAAAGACCGCCAUAAAACUGAGAGAAAUACUAGUCCCUCAAGAACGAAGCAAAGGCUCAACCCAACUAGCAAAACAUAUCUUAAAACACCCCCUAAAAGAAAUAACUCUCGUUGAAGAAGUGUUGAAAGCCUCAUAACAGAAUGCAUCCUCAAUAAGGUAUUUGUGUAUGUGUAUAUUUACCCCCCUUGUUGAUAAGUGCACGCAGCAAGCACCGCCCAUAAGCACAUAAAAUGCAAAUCCCUCUCAAAAGUAGCCUCCUCUUUGAAUAUGCAUGAAAGCAGAAAAAAUGCAGGAAAUGUAAGACAUCAGUCGUACAAAUCAUGUCAAGGAGGUUAAUAAAUUCCUUUCAACAAAAUGCAAGGAUUCUUUGGAGGAUUGCUGCUAUUAAAGAAAGCCCUGGGUUGCAGACUCAGUAUGGAAGGGUGGUAUGCUUUCCACUAUUGGCGGUUCUAGAUAAGAAAAGGUUGAGUUCGUCUGGCUACCUAGGAGGACAAAGCUUCUACAAUUUGAGUAAUCCUAAACACUAACCCUAAGCCCUAAGUCCUUAAUCGUAAACAUGUGAGAGCAAAAAUGGUGGAGGAGGAGAAAGAUAUGAUAUUUGACUAAGCCUUCUAUUUUGGGUUGAAAUGAGAGUCAUCCUAAGAUCGAUGUAUAUUUCAUCUGAGGCAGAGUACUGCCUCCAUUCUGUAAUGUUUGUCCAAUAUCACAAUAAGUACACAAAUUAUAGAAGCGAUGCCAAGAAAAAGUUGAUGUGAAAUGACCAACCAUGACUCUGUUAAAUAUUAUGAUGUGACAUUUUCAUUUCAAGUUUUUAAUUAGGGUAGUAAUUAGGGAUGGCAGUGGGUAAGGUACCCAGUGGGCACACGAAGCCAUACCCAUACCCACUAGGAAAAAAUUGACCCAUACCCAUACCCACUACCCAUCAUGGGUACAAAAUUACAUCAUACCCAUACCCACCAUGGGUAGCGGGUACCCAUCGGGUACCCAUACCCAUUAACAUUACGAUAGACAUGAUCAUUUGAAUCGCAAAAAUAAGUACCAGCAUAACAAAUGUAUCGAACCCAACAUAAUUUUAUCACAGGUUCAACAAUAUUCAACAUUAAAUGGCAACAUCAUGCCUUCAAAUCACACAAAACAUAGCAUUGAUUCUACAAAACUGUGGACAAAAUCAUGCCUUCAAAUCUAAUUGUUCAAUACACAAUACUUAAUAUUUGAAUAUAUAAGACUUCUAAGCUGUUGGAGCUUAAGGGCAUCCUUCUCUUCCAAUUCCAGUCUUGUUGCUCAGAGUAAAAGCUUCUACAAAGCAGUAAAAGAAGUAUGGGGCAAAUAGAGAGAGCAAAUUCAUUUUAUAUGAGACAUAAAUCCGGACCCAUGUGUCAUAUAUUAGCGGGUUCUCUAUCGCGUAGCGGGUAUGGGGCAACAGAGAACAUACCCACGCCCACCGUACCCAAUGGGCAUAACAAAUGACCCAAUAAAAUACCCAUGGGUAUCAAAAUCCGCCAUACUCGUGCCCUAAUAGGGUUUUUACCCAUCGGGUUUCGGGUUUCGGGUACCCAUUGCCAUCCCUAGUAGUAAUGAGUGAAAAUAUUGCAAUAAAAAUGCUUGGUAUUGUGACAUGGAGAACGAAAACAGUAUAUAAUAGUCUUCAUGAGGAGCAAAAUAAGUGAGCAACUAAGCAUAGCUCGGCUGGUAAGGGCACUUGUGGUGUAAUCUACCCACCAGGGUUCUAAUGAUGACUUGUCCAUCUCAAGAAUCUAGCAGUUAUUGAGUGUCUGCAUUUGUACUUUAUUUUAAAAAGAGAGUGAAACAAGGGUGAAGGUGAUUUGAUUUUAAUAGCUUACUUUAUUUUUAAAAAAAGAAUUUAAAAAGGGAGUGGAACAAGAAUGAAGGUGAUUUAUUUUUUAUAGUUUACUUUAUGUUUAAAAAGAAUUUAAAAAGGGAGUGGAACUUGAGUUAAGGUGAAUUAUUAUUUAUAGUUUUUUAAAAGGCGGAAGGAAUGGAACAAUAGUGAAGUGAUUUAUUGUUUAUAGUUUACUUUAUUUUAAAAAAGAAUUUUAAAGGGAAUGGAACAAGAGUGAAGGUGAUUUAUUGUUUUUAGUUUUUUUUAAGAAAAAGAAAAAAGAGUAGAACUAGAGUGAAGGUGAUUUGUUGUUUAUAGGUUUUUUAAAAAUAAGUAGAGAGCUGAUCAUGACCACAUGAUUUUGCUUUUCUUCUCUUUUUUGUUAUGAGAGGAGUGCAUGUCUUGUGUUUGUUUUGAACUUUUGUGUGAGAGGAAAAGAACCAGGACCACCGAGCUCCGACCUACUUAUAGCAAUUGUGUACACGUGUUCGUGGACAAGUCGGACAGAGUUUUUUCAAGGAACAAAAAUACGCUAGCCAGCGAUGUCUAUGGUGCGCCGUACGCUCCUUGCCUCCAUCGUCCAUAAAUAUGGUUCCCAACUGCAACAUUGAUCUCCCCACACACACGCAUCCAUCAAAGAAACAAGAGCACACAAACAAUACCUCUCUAGCUCGCCACCAACAAUGGCCUCUAGGUUCUCCAUCAUGCUCGCCACAACGGCACUGGCUACGUUUUUUGUGAUUGGUUCGUGCACCACCCCGCUCACCUUCAAGGUCGGCAAAGGCUCCAAGCCUGGCCACCUGGUCCUCACCCCCAACAUUGCCACCAUCUCCGAAGUGGAGAUCAAGGAGCACGGUGGCGAUGACUUCUCCUUUGAGCUCAAGGAGGGCCCGGCCGGCACCUGGACGCUUGACACAAAGGCCCCACUCAAGUACCCCCUCUGCAUCCGCUUUGCCAUCAAGUCUGGCGGCUACCGCAUCGCCGAUGAUGUCAUCCCUGAAAAUUUUAAGGCCGACACCACCUACAAGACCACCCUCAGCAUCUGAUCAUCCUCUUAUGAGGAAUAAUAUUUUGAAAGAGCUCAUCUGAUCCAUGUGCCAGCGAGCUAAUAUUUAAUUUUUGUUCUAUGGUUAUUUUAUGGCACCACACCACCCAAGAAAUAAGUUAUGUUACAUGUCCCUUCGUGCACCUUGUUGUGUUGGGUUAAUACGGUUAUAUAAAUUGAAAUACAAUAUGUAUUUAAUAUUUUUAGAGAGAAAUAUGUUGAUUUGGUCCAUUGUUGGUCACUUGUUUUUUAUUCCUUCAGAAGAUCAAAAACAAGGCAACACAAUUAGAUUAACCUUCAUGAUCAUCCUUUACUCUAUCUAUCUUGGAAGAACGAUAGAUUAAAUG
rnacentral:lncRNA from 1 species